AAGAUUAGCCCGAAGCCGGCGACGUUGAGGAGGAGGACGAUCUUGGCUGUGAAAAUCUUGGCCUUCCUGGGGGCGUAGACGAGGUACAUGAUGAUGUAGACGGUCUCGAUGACGCAGCCGGCAGCGUUGAUGGUGAUGAGGAGGCCCUCGCCGGUCUUGACCAGCGCGUAGAAGAUCCACAGCAUCGCGCUGAACAGGGCCACGACGUAGGGCACCGACUGGAACCCCUCAGUGGAUUUGCUCUUGAAGAUCCGGUAGAAUGUUGGUCUAAUAUUUAUUGUUGUGUGUACAUUAGUUAUGAGAGAACUUAUUAAGAUGGUCUAUCAAAUGAAAACUAGAAAUGACAGAGGCACUUUGCUUACAUCGGGGCGAGGAGGCUCGUAAAAGAGAUGAUGUUGCCUGCACGGCACAAAGUUAGAGAAGUUAGCAACCAGUUGUGAUAUUUGCAGGACACAUUUACAUCUUUCUUUUAUGCGCUUUAUCGUAUGCAAAAUAACAUAGGCAGUUCAUUUGUUGUUGCUUCUUGAUGGGUUGUUGGUGCACCGAACUAGAUGUCACUAGUGCUAGUACUAGACUACAUCAAUUAAUCAAUCUGUGGCAAAGAUAAGAUAUAUAGAUAGAUGCUGCAAAAGGAUGAUCUUAAACGACACAAAGUAGUCUACUAAUACUGCACUAGCAAAUAACAGCUGUAAUAAGAGACUAUCAUAAUACAAGGGGUAAUUCUUGGACAUCUUUUUCUCGUGGUGAGAAUAAUAUACCCAGUAGGCCGAAGGCGAAUGCCCAAGGGUGCUCCAUGGAUAGGCCAGCCAUUGUGAUACGAAGAUAUUGAAGGGAAAUAAGACAGAUAUGAAGUUGACAACAAGCCUGCUGGCAAAUUAAUCAACAGUGGGGCUAGAGGUUGUUUUUUGCUCUUCUCUCACUCUCUGCCUCUCUCUAACCCUAGACUCCUGGAGGGGAGAAGGGAGAGGUCUGAAGAGGAGAGCUCACUGUGUUGGUUGGAACUCUUGGCCUGAAUUGUAAGGUUGUUAAUGGGGUGCUUUAUAUAGGCAGGAAGAUUACAUGACUGCCUUGGUGUAUGCAAGCUAUCCUAUCACACAUAUGCCACACAAAAUUAAUGAUUGGCUUUCUAGAAAGAAAAAAGUUUCCAGCAAUGCAUAAUUGAGCUUAUCUAAUGUGCUAUGCUUUUUUCCCCGAAAAAUCUGAUGUGCUAUGCUUGAUAGAGAUAAUGAUAGAAUUUUUCAAAAGUUGUCGCUUUGGUGUACACUUUAGCUUUACUGUGCAUAAUACAUCCGCUCCUGAAUAUUUAUACACCCGGAGUUGUGUUAUACUACGUCAUUCUUCCGGUCUUCCCAACCUUAGAUCUUUGGGGUGUGGUAAUAGCCGCCACGCAACUGUAAACGAAAUGAGACAUUCCAACUGGGAGGACUCUUCACACUAUUAGUUGAUUAUUGAUUUUACGGAAUGAAAUGUCUUACAAGGAACAAAUAAUUAACUUUUGUAUAUAGACAUAGUGUCCAGUAGCUGAAUUAACUUAGCAGCCUUUUCGCAUUAAAAAUCUACAAGCAAAGAGUCAUUAAAUUAAUAUGCUGACAUUCUCAUACUUUUCGGUGAUCCGCGUGUAUGUUUUUCAUGAUUUGAGACUAACUAUCACGACAUGCAGUGGUCAAUUCAUUGCAUGUAAUGAUAUUAAUUAGCAAACUAACAUUAAUUUCUCUUAUUUUCCUCUCCGUCUAGGUCGCGGUGCACAACCUAAUAUGACUUAUAAACCGAGACGGAGGGAGUACAUGGCCUUGCAAAUACAUUCAAAUAGUGUUACUCAUCUUAAACUCAUCCAAACACAGGUACCACAGUCCUGAAAAGAUUAGUUUCAAGGGAAUACAAUCCAAAUGAAUUUACUUUCACCCUCUGCCUGAAUAAGAUAUACACAGUCAAUAGAACCACACACACUAGCAAAUACAAAGUCAUCCCAGACCAAUACAACACAGACCUCCGCGUCGCUCCUAGGAGAGGCGACUUGGGUGGAACCCUAGUGCAGCCUCCACCCCUUCCCCCUACGAUCAAUCUUGCUUAUCCCGCCAUCGUCAAAGAACGCCUCCGGACAAAGUCCAUGAGGCUGAUGCUGGCGGCGGGUCCUCAUCCUCCUCGCAUGAAUGAUGGCGGCAGGGGGCCCAUCGUUUCUCGUGUUGCGGGAUCUCCGGCCGAAGAUCAUGGCAGCCCUGGAUGGCGUGGUUCGUACAGCAGAGAUGGACAUCGAGGCGGUGGCCCCGGAUUUCUACGGUGACCUCGAAUACCAUUGUGGCCGCGAAGGCGACACAGCAACCGGUUCGGGGGGGGGGGGCUCGGUGCAUCUCAACUACUUAUCUCUGCAUGGUGCGGGUGGUGACGGCGGUGCCCGUUCAGAUCUUCGGCCUACCGUAGGAAACCGGUGGAUGGUGUGGUGAUACGAUCUCUAACAUAUCUAUUUUUCGAUUGCUCCAUGCUAUUAUAUUUUUCUAGGGUGCUUUUUAGGCAUUUAUUUGCUGAUUAAUAUUAUUUUAAGCACUAAUCUAUUAAUCCAGUGCCAAAGUUCUAGUUGUUGUUUUCCGCAUGUUCUAGUUGUUGUUUUCCGCAUGUUUUUAGCUUGUCAGAAAUAUUGUACCAAAAGAAGUCCAAAUACCCAGAACUUUUUGAUUGUUUUUUUCUGGACAAAAUAAGGACCUGAAAGCUUUGAAGGAGACCGGAGGCCCCAUGAGGUGGUGCCAAGCCAACAGGGUGCACCCAAGGGGGGUGGUCGCGCACUGAUGGCCUGGGGCCACCUGCCUUGGCCUCUAGCCCUCCUCCGUGUCCUAUAAAUUCACAUUAAUCCCAAAAACUCUAAGUAGCCUCUGGAAACACUUUUUCUGCCAUCACAAGUCUCUGUUCCGCCAUGUGUUCGUCUGGAGCCCUGUCCCGGUGCCUUGUCGUAGGGGGAUCAAUCACAGUGGGCCUUUACAUCAACCUUGAUGCUCCCAUGCUGGUGUGUGUUUAGUUCACCACACACCCGUGGGUCAAUAGUUAGUACCUAGAUGGUUAUCUAUCUCUCUAUGUUCUUCAUUGCCAUGAUCAUCACGACUCAUGUGGUGAUCCAUCUUAUGUAAUCAUUGUUGUGCGGUGCAUUUGUUGGGAUCCGAUGAAUUAUGGGUUUAUGUUUAGAUUAUUCAUGAAUAAUAUUUGAGUCUUUCUUGAAUUCUUAUAUGCAUGAUUGUGAUAGCUUCGCAAUUCUCUCUGAUCUAUUGAUUUGGUUUGGUCAAGUAGAUUGAUCUAUCUUUAGUGGGAGAGGCGCGUUGUAGUGGGUUCAAUCUUGCGGUGCUCAAUCCUAGUGACAGAAAGAGAUAUGACACGUAUUAUAUUCCUUCCACUAAGGGUAAAAACGAUGGGGUUGAUUCAUAUUAAUUGGAUUUACUUUCUCUACAUCAUGUGAUUAUUCUCCAAGCAUUACUCUGUUUUCACUUAAUACUCUAGAUGCAUGUUAGAUAGAGGUGUGAUAAUAGUAGAUACAUGUAGAAGUCGGUCUCCUUUCUUAGAGAUGUGAUGCAUAUAUGUAAUGCUAAUUGCAAUGAAUGAAUACUACAUAACUAUUCGCUUUUCUAUCAGUUGACCAACAAUAAUUUGUUUACCCACCAUAUGUUUUCUACAAGAGAGAAGCCUCUGAAGAAAUCUAUGGCCCCCGGGUCUAUUCACAAAUAUAUUUAUCAAAACACUAAAUACCUUGCUGCCUUUUAUUGUUUGUAUUUAAUUUUUAUAUUUCAUAUAUUUAAACUAUCUAUCUAUCACUACUUAUUACUUGCAAGUAACGAGUCCAAGGGGAUUCACAACCCUCUUGCCCGCGUUGGGUGCAAGUGUGUGCUCUUUUGUGUGUAGACGCUAAAGACAAAAAAUUGCGUGGUCCUCCUGUUGGUUCGAUAACCUUGGUUCUCAUUGAGGGAAAUACUUAUUUAUAUUGUGAUGCAUCAUCCUUUCCUCUUCGGGGAAAACCCCAAUGCAGAUCACAAGUAUGACAUGGUCAUUGGGUCCUUUUUGCUCUAAGAUGAUGGUGUUCUGCCGGUUGCCAACUCUCAUGGAUCUGCCAUUGACGUGUUCCGAAAUGCUCCGCCAAAGAUCUUCAUUCGGUGCUUCACGCAUGUAUAUUGUUGGAUCGAAUGGAAUUCGGUCAUGUGCGCCCUUGUUUCAGCCCGAGUGGCUUCACGAGGGUCUGACGCGAAAGUUCGGUCUAUGUUGACAUUAUGGGAGAUGACGGUUUUUGGAUAUUCAUGUUGAAGCCAUUAGCAUAGAACGUCAUGGCGGAUGAGCUCUGAGGCCUCGUAAUGUAGAUCGAGUCUUCGUGGAGAUGAGUACUUUCCUUGGUGAUUUGUGACUCAUAGCCUUGACAUCCGCAAGUACGGGCGGUAGCACAUGCGGAGUACAAAGUCUUAGCUUUCAGGGUGAAAACUCAAGGCCUGACCUUAAUUGGUUCUGUAUGGCAGAUACCUUGUCGAAGGCAUUGAUUUGAUAUCACGGAUCUUCUCUAGGGUGAAGACCUUAGAUCUAGGAUAGGCUGAUGGGGGUACUUGCACUAGUAGAGAAAUGGCUAGCCAGAAGUUUUGUUGGUGGGGCGCCAUCUCACACCAAUGCAGAACAAGCACCUCAAUACAACGCGUCGAGUUGCCUUUUCGACCCCUCCGUCGCCCAUCAUGCAGGAGACCAAGGGGACACAACCCCUCGUCGUCGGUCCCCCUCCUCCUAUCCCCUCACCCCUACGCCCCCGCCGGUGGUCGGCGCCGGACUAAGCCUGCGCGUGGGCGGCGGCGGAGGAGGAGUCGCCCUCUCACUCAGGGAUUAGGAUGCACGGGAUCCCAGAUCUCGAGGAUGAGGCCCCGAUCGAUCACGACGAUGUUGUUCUAGCCAUGACAGCCUCCAUUUGGAGUGACCCGACCGACCGAUGACCGAGUGGCGUUCGUGGCGACAGACUGGCUCUGCUCUGCCUAGUCUGCGACGAAGGGUCGUGGAUCCGGGGUGGUGGCCCCUAGGUUGGCCUCCUUGUCCGGCAUGAUGGGGCAGGUGGGUUGCCGGGGAUUGGAUCGGGCAGCGGUGAUCCUGCGACGGCUUGGCGCGACGGCGUGAGAUCUGGAGGUUGCCCCUUUCUCCUGUUGCCUCUCUCGUCGUCCCGGUGGUUUGCGGCUGCAGGCUCCGGUGAUGGUGAGCCCUAGUGGUGUACCUUGGGUCCUGGGGAAACCUUGACCGGUCUGGCCAGCCCGGCAGUGGCGUCGCCCAUGGGUGUCACUUUCCUUCAUGAAGUUCAUUCUGCAUCCGAUAUAUCUAAUUUGAAGAAGGGGGUCAAUACAUAUAUAUGAAUAAAUGAAACUGAACACAAAUGAUGGUAAUAAAAUAAAAUUGUGAAUAUUAUUAUUUGCGCACGUCAUAUUGUUUGUCAGAGUAGCCCCGCUCACAGGUCACGUGGCAGAUGGACUCGCAAAUGUAGUAUCCACAGUAAUCAUUCCCUGGUUACUGCCACAACCACUUUACAAGAAAUAGAGGUCAAUCAAACUGAUAGUUAGCAAGCAUGCUAAAUGGUAUUGAUGAAACUAGCGCUUGAAUCACUAGGAGAUGCGUGGAACAUGCUACUAUAGUACUUACUUUCGGGUGUCUAAAUUGCAGCUUCUUCGGCAGUCCCGGAGUUUUUGCGGUGAAUUUUUUCCAAACCCUGUCAGACAAGAAAACAAUUACUUGAUAUCAGGAAAUGAACAAAGUUGCCGAUAUGGUGCGAUAAUGAUCGAUUUAACUUACUUCUCUAGAAUUCCAGUCAUGUCCGCAUACUCGUUGGGAUCCUUUCGUCUUGAGUCUAAGACGGUUACUAGUCCGUGCUCAAUCUUAAUCUCUAGGAGAAUAUAGUGGAAGCUGCGCACGCAUGCAUAACUCAUCAAUUACAUUACUAUAACCUUGACUAAUAAGGGAAACCGAAUAUGCACAAGACAGUAACACUCACUGGAAUUUGUAAGGAAAGAGUAUUAUAGCUUUGUUUUGAUUCAAUACAAACGAUUGUAGCAGGUUGGCCUCGGUAUCUUUGGCCUGAGAUUUAAUCAUAAAUGCAUCUACGAGAUUUGUGUUAAUGAACCCAAUAUCACCGAUUUGUCUUUUCUUCAAUUCGACGAUCUUCAAUCUGCAUAUAAUAUAGUGAGGAUAAUUAAAAAUACAUGCAACGAAAAAGCUGACCUAUAUAUAGAGACUUAAUGACAGAAGUAGUACUACUUACAGGCAGUAGCAAGUGAUCAUUAAUUUAUCGAGGGCCUUUAGAUUGAAAAACGGAAAGAACUCCUCAAAUGGAACCAUCAACAGUUCAAGUCCAACGAGGUCAUGCUCCUUUCUAACUCCGAGCAGCAAAAUAUUACUCCACCCGGACUCUUUGCAAGUUUUCAUGUACCAAUCAUGGAAUCUUCGCAUCAUCGUUGUUAGAGAUCUUUCAUCUUUGACGAGAGGCUUCCCGUACACGUAUUUGUGUCCGUCCACCUCCAAUCAAUCAAAAUGUGCAUCAUCGGGCAUGUAAUCUGCGGGAUUGGUACCGGGAAACAAGAUCCUCGGAUGAUUAGCGACGAUAUCGCUAGACACCUUGAGCGGGGGGAACGAUUGGUUCGCUUGUUCGCCGAGCUGGGCAACUUUUUUCCCAGCUCCUCGUUCUGCUAACCUUUGAUCACUGACAGUACUUCCUGACCGCAGCGCUUCGAUAAAUGACUUUGUAAUAAUGCGCUCAUAGUUGCCUUUCGUCGGAGACUUUGGUGGUUUCUUCAGGGCAGCCAGAGUACGCUUUGCUUUUACCAGAUCUAUCUUCUCCUCCGGAGGUGGAUGUUUUUUUGCUUUCACCCCUUCAAAGAAGUUCUUCACUUCGGCUUCCACGAUCUUCGUGAUUUCCUCCUGGCUCCUCUCGUAUGGUAACUUCUCUGGAGUCUUCAGAGAAGGACCGUAUCUGUAUUGCCUGCCUUUGGCUGUAGUGCUAGACGCCGGAGCAGACGGAGCGGCUGCGGCUGUCUUUCCUUUCUUACGAGGCGAAGCAGAAGGACGACGCGCCGGAGGAGCCGGUGCGGCGGCGGGUCUCUUCCGCCCUUGUUGACGAGGCGGAGAAUGGGGAGGCAGCUGGCUGCUCGGGCGCGCCAGCGCAGGCGAAGAAGGAGGCGAAGUGUCGCCACGCGCUGGAGAAGGAGGCUGAGUGCCCUGAUCACUCGCCGGAGGAGGCGGAGUGCCCUAGCUCGCCGGAGGAGGAGGAGGAGGCGGAGGCGUCCAGUUCGGAAGGUUGAUGAGUUCCUUCCGCCAUAGGCAUGGAGUCUUCAGAGAAGAACCCAGCCGAAUCUCCCCUUCACCCGUAGGAUGGUCAAGCUCAAGGUCCUCAAAUCCGUCUGUUAUUUGAUCCACCAUCACCCUAGCAUAUCCUUCUGGAAUGGGCUGGCCGUGGUAGGUUGAGUCAGGUUCAUUAGGUAAAACAGAGCCAACAGCCGCCUUGACUUUAAAUGUCAUCCAUCGCGUCAUAAGGUGGCAAUGUUGAGACUCUAUGAUAGCAUCCACGGGGUAGCCCGUGAAGACAGGCUCCAACUGCUGAGUUUUCUCGGUGGAAGCCAGGCUUCUUCUCCGCUGAGAUGGCGGGGUAGCUUCAGGGGAAGCUUCGGCAUGUCGUUUGCUGCGAUCUGCUUCUCGUUCCUCUAGCCCUUGUACCCUUUCGUGCAGCACCUGCAGUUGGCUAUGCUCCACUUUCUUCCUCCUCUCCUGGGUUUUGUAACCCCCUGCGUCCGGAAACCCAGCGUUCCAUGGAAGGGAGCCUGGCGUGCCUCCUGUCCAUCCAGGGUGCUCAGGAUUCCCAAGGGCCAUUGUGAGCUCGUCCUUCUCUCUGUCUGGAACGAACGUCCCUUCCUGUGCUGCGGCGAUAUAGUGUCGAAGCUUCGUGACGGGUAUUCACAGUUGCUCUUCCGUCCAAACGCACUUCCCUGAUACAGGGUCCAAGGUUCCGCCAACCCCGAAGAACCAAGUCCGGCAACGUUCUGGCCAUCUCAAUGUCUCUGGUUCGACCCCUUUAGCAAUCAGGUCAUUCUCAGCCUUCUCCCACAAAGGUCGGGCUCUGAGGUAACCACCUGACCCCGUGCGAUGGUGAUGCUUCUUCUUCGUAGCAUUUUUCUUGUUUGUCGCUGACAUCUUCUUACUCUUUUCCGAUGUCUUGUGGGCCACAAAUGCAGGCCAUUGAUCUCUGAUCUUCUCAAACCGGCCGGUGAAUUCUGGUGUCUCUUCUUUGUCGACAAACGUUUUCAGCUCAUUCUUCCACCUCCUGAAUAGUUCUGCCAUCUUCUUAAGAGCACGAGACUUGAUCAAUUGCUCUAUAACUGGCUUCUCCGGAUCCUCCUCUGGCGGUAGGGUGAAAUUUGCCUUAAGCGUUGUCCAAAGAUCUUCUUUCUGCAUAUCGGAGACAUAAGACGUCGGCACCUCAGGGUCUUCCUUCUUUGGCUUUAACCAUUGCUGGAUACUGAUCGGUAUCUUGUCCCUAACAAGAACCCCGCACUGAGCACGAAAUGCAACCCUUGUCCGGAUGGGUUCAAUCGGCUUGCCAUCGGGCGCGAUUGCUGUGAUCUCAAACCUUUCAUCCGAGCGCAAAUUUUUCUUUGGGCCUCGUUUCUUUACCGAAGUUGAGCUCGAUCCGAAGGGCUAGAGAAAUAAGAAGAAAGACGAGAGUUAAUUAAUAUGUGUACAUAUGAAAACAAUGAAUGCAUCAGUUAACUAGUCAGCACGGGCUUAACUAAUAUAUAUAUACCUGGCCGAACUCGGUUCGGUCACCGGAGCCGUCAUCACGGUCUCCUUCUUGUACCUCGAUUGGGUCACCAGAGCCAUCAUGAACAUAGCCCUCUUCUUGUAUCGGCACUAAUGGGUCACCGGAGCCAUCAUUAACAUAGCCCUCUUCUUCACUCGGUCCUUCCUGACCAUCGGUGUCGUAGAGAAACGACACAAUGACAUCAGUUCCUUGUGCGAUUAUCUCCCCCAACAUCGCUUUUGAUGCUUUGUCUCGGGAGGGAUCCAUAGUUUCUGCAAAUAUUUACAACAUGUCAAUUAUUAUUCAAACAUGGUACAGAUGGAUAUAUAUUAUUGGCAAACGUAGAACUAGCUAGCUAAUCACAAUAAGGAAUCAUGUUAGUGGCCUCGACGUUGCUUCUCUAGGGUUUGGGGUGGCCUAGACAACGCUUCAAGGGUUUGGGGUGGCCUCGACACAACGCUUCAAGGGUUUGGGGUGGCCUCGACGACAACGCUCUUUUAACUUGGUAAAUUUGGGUGGCCUCGAGAGAGUUUGUCGGGUAGGGGCGAGGCGGGAGGGGGUAGGAGACCAACAUCGUUUUUUCUCUAGGGUUUGGGUGUCCUCGAGAGUUUUGGUCGAGCGAGAGAGCCGAGGGGGGUGCUCCCGUGGUAUAAGUUAUCACGGUCGAGAGUGGGUAUAUAUAUCGAUCGCCCCUUAUGUCGAAGUUAUCCGGGAGGGGGUUAUAUCGACAACGACGCGACAUACAUAUACAUGGGAAAAUAAUGUUAUCGGGGAAGGGGUAUAUCGGUACCCCCCCCCUCGAGUUGAAGUUCGAUCGGGAGGGGGUAUAUCGACAACGACAUACCAGAUAAAAAAUAAGAAGACAAAAGAAGAAAUAAAAAGAGGAGAAGAAGAAAGGAAUAGAAGAGAAGCAAUCGAAGAAAAAAAGAAGAAAAAAAAGAGAAGAAGAAAGGAAUAGAGGAGUAAGAAGAAAAAAAAAUAGAAAAUUAAUUUUCUAUUUUUUUUCUUCUUACUCCUCUAUUCCUUUCUUCUUCUCCUCUUCUUUUUCUUCUUUUUUCCUCUUCUUAUUUAUUUCUCCUCUUCUUCCUCUCCUCUUCUUCUCCUUUCUUCCUCUUCUUAUUUUCCUUUUUCUCCUCUCAUUCUUUUUCUUCUUCUUCGUUAUCUUCCUAGCUAUAUAUAAUACUUUUCUAAAAAUGUAACUUUUGCAUAUAUAAAUCUUUUUCUUCUUCUUACUUCUUCCUUCUUUUCCUAAAUAUAUAAAACUUUUCUAAAAAUGAAACUAACCUAAAAUGUAGUAAAUUAGAGAACAUAUAUAGAUAAAACUAACCUAAAAUGUACCCAAAUGUGCUAAAAAUCUAACUUUCAUAUGCACAGAAAACAUACAUACAUAUAUACAUUUUUAUAAAAAUGCAAAAACAAAUCAUCAUUUAUAUGAACAAAGGAGAGGACAGGGUGGGCGGCGCCGGCCUGACCAAGGAGAGGCACGGCGCCGGCGUCGGUGUAGAGGGCGGCGACGGCCGCAUGGUCGGGGCAGGGGCGAUGGCGAUCGACGGGGCAAAGGGAGGUGACGGCGUCGACGGGGCGGGUAGGGGCGCGGUAGAGGCACGGCGAGGGCGCGCGGCGUGGUCGGGGGGCAGGGGCGACGACGGCGUGGUCGGGCCGGGCAACGGCGGCGUGGUCGGGGCAGGGGCGACGACGGCGAGCUCGGGCAGCCUGGCGGCGUCGUCGGAGGAAUCGAAGAAACCGACGAAAUUUUCACAAAUGCUGGCUUAUAUAGCAAAGCCAUUGGUACCGGUUCGUGGCACCAACCGGUACCAAUGCCUCCUUUAGUCCUGGUUCGUGCCACAAACCGGGACCAAAGUCCGCCGCUUCCCGCCCGUUGGGCUGGUGAAAAGUGACCUUUGGUCCCGGUUGGUGGCACCAACCGGGACUAAAGGUCACUUUUCAGCAACCCAAAGGGCGGGAAGCGGUGGCCUUUGGUCCCGGUUGGUGCCACGAACCAGUACCAAUGCACCCCCUUUAGUCCCGGUUGGUUCCACAAACCGGGACCAAAUUCUGCCCGCGUCACGGCCAAAGUUUAGUCACACCUCGCUAGUUGAGAGGGGCGCGCAGUGGUUUAUAAGCCCCACUGCCGCACCCCUCUCGAGCUCCUCUCCACUGCAGGCUUACGGGCCUACUUGCUACUUCUUUGCCUGAUGGGCCUUCUGGGCCUACUAUGGGCCUGAAUCCUGGCCCAUGGAUGGGUUUAUAGUCGUAUUCACGCCGUGGUGGCCCAGUUGGUGGCAAAUGUUUUAUUUUUUCCCAGUUUUUUUUGUUUUCUUUUUUUUUAUUUUUUUUUUUUUNNNNNNNNNNNNNNNNNNNNNNNNNNNNNNNNNNNNNNNNNNNNNNNNNNNNNNNNNNNNNNNNNNNNNNNNNNNNNNNNNNNNNNNNNNNNNNNNNNNNNNNNNNNNNNNNNNNNNNNNNNNNNNNNNNNNNNNNNNNNNNNNNNNNNNNNNNNNNNNNNNNNNNNNNNNNNNNNNNNNNNNNNNNNNNNNNNNNNNNNNNNNNNNNNNNNNNNNNNNNNNNNNNNNNNNNNNNNNNNNNNNNNNNNNNNNNNNNNNNNNNNNNNNNNNNNNNNNNNNNNNNNNNNNNNNNNNNNNNNNNNNNNNNNNNNNNNNNNNNNNNNNNNNNNNNNNNNNNNNNNNNNNNNNNNNNNNNNNNNNNNNNNNNNNNNNNNNNNNNNNNNNNNNNNNNNNNNNNNNNNNNNNNNNNNNNNNNNNNNNNNNNNNNNNNNNNNNNNNNNNNNNNNNNNNNNNNNNNNNNNNNNNNNNNNNNNNNNNNNNNNNNNNNNNNNNNNNNNNNNNNNNNNNNNNNNNNNNNNNNNNNNNNNNNNNNNNNNNNNNNNNNNNNNNNNNNNNNNNNNNNNNNNNNNNNNNNNNNNNNNNNNNNNNNNNNNNNNNNNNNNNNNNNNNNNNNNNNNNNNNNNNNNNNNNNNNNNNNNNNNNNNNNNNNNNNNNNNNNNNNNNNNNNNNNNNNNNNNNNNNNNNNNNNNNNNNNNNNNNNNNNNNNNNNNNNNNNNNNNNNNNNNNNNNNNNNNNNNNNNNNNNNNNNNNNNNNNNNNNNNNNNNNNNNNNNNNNNNNNNNNNNNNNNNNNNNNNNNNNNNNNNNNNNNNNNNNNNNNNNNNNNNNNNNNNNNNNNNNNNNNNNNNNNNNNNNNNNNNNNNNNNNNNNNNNNNNNNNNNNNNNNNNNNNNNNNNNNNNNNNNNNNNNNNNNNNNNNNNNNNNNNNNNNNNNNNNNNNNNNNNNNNNNNNNNNNNNNNNNNNNNNNNNNNNNNNNNNNNNNNNNNNNNNNNNNNNNNNNNNNNNNNNNNNNNNNNNNNNNNNNNNNNNNNNNNNNNNNNNNNNNNNNNNNNNNNNNNNNNNNNNNNNNNNNNNNNNNNNNNNNNNNNNNNNNNNNNNNNNNNNNNNNNNNNNNNNNNNNNNNNNNNNNNNNNNNNNNNNNNNNNNNNNNNNNNNNNNNNNNNNNNNNNNNNNNNNNNNNNNNNNNNNNNNNNNNNNNNNNNNNNNNNNNNNNNNNNNNNNNNNNNNNNNNNNNNNNNNNNNNNNNNNNNNNNNNNNNNNNNNNNNNNNNNNNNNNNNNNNNNNNNNNNNNNNNNNNNNNNNNNNNNNNNNNNNNNNNNNNNNNNNNNNNNNNNNNNNNNNNNNNNNNNNNNNNNNNNNNNNNNNNNNNNNNNNNNNNNNNNNNNNNNNNNNNNNNNNNNNNNNNNNNNNNNNNNNNNNNNNNNNNNNNNNNNNNNNNNNNNNNNNNNNNNNNNNNNNNNNNNNNNNNNNNNNNNNNNNNNNNNNNNNNNNNNNNNNNNNNNNNNNNNNNNNNNNNNNNNNNNNNNNNNNNNNNNNNNNNNNNNNNNNNNNNNNNNNNNNNNNNNNNNNNNNNNNNNNNNNNNNNNNNNNNNNNNNNNNNNNNNNNNNNNNNNNNNNNNNNNNNNNNNNNNNNNNNNNNNNNNNNNNNNNNNNNNNNNNNNNNNNNNNNNNNNNNNNNNNNNNNNNNNNNNNNNNNNNNNNNNNNNNNNNNNNNNNNNNNNNNNNAACUAGAUGCACUUCGUAUACAAAACGGACAAUCUCCUUCGAAGUAUAAGGGUUUCAUACGGAAACUCGUGUGUUACAAAGGGAUUUCAAUUUUUUUAACUUAUUUGAACCCCCUUGUUUUUCUGUGUUCAAAAUGUACCAUUCAAAGCCACAUCAUCAAUUUACAACCCUUUCUGACUUCAUUUGUUAUUUUUCAUGCAUUUACUGAUUAUUUUCACCUAUAAGACCAUGAAAUUGAAAAGCAUUUGAAAUGAACUCUCGAAAGGUUCCAAGUUGGCAUGGUAUCAUCAUUUCACCCACAUAGCAUGUGCAAGAAAGUAGAGAGGCUUGCAUCAAAAACUGGAUGCACUUCGUGUACAAAACGGACAAUCUCCUUCGAAGUAUCAGGGUUUAAUACAGAAACUCGUCUGUUACAAAGGGAUUUCAAUUUUUUUUAACUUAUUUGAACCCCCUUGUUUUUCUGUGUUCAAAAUGCAUAAUUAAAAGCCACAUCAUCAAUUUACAACCCUUUCUGACUUCAUUUGUUAUUUUUCAUGCAUUUACUGAUUAUUUCCAGCUAUAAGACCAUGAAAUUGAAAAGCAUUGAAAUGAACUCUGAAAAGGUUCCAAGUUGGCAUGGUAUCAUCAUUUCACCCACAUAGCAUGUGCAAGAAAGUAGAGAGGCUUACGGCAAAAACUAGAUGCACUUCGUAUACAAAACGGACAAUCUCCUUCGAAGUAUAAGGGUUUCAUACGGAAACUCGUGUGUUACAAAGGGAUUUCAAUUUUUUUAACUUAUUUGAACCCCCUUGUUUUUCUGUGUUCAAAAUGUACCAUUCAAAGCCACAUCAUCAAUUUACAACCCUUUCUGACUUCAUUUGUUAUUUUUCAUGCAUUUACUGAUUAUUUUCACCUAUAAGACCAUGAAAUUGAAAAGCAUUUGAAAUGAACUCUCGAAAGGUUCCAAGUUGGCAUGGUAUCAUCAUUUCACCCACAUAGCAUGUGCAAGAAAGUAGAGAGGCUUGCAUCAAAAACUGGAUGCACUUCGUGUACAAAACGGACAAUCUCCUUCGAAGUAUCAGGGUUUAAUACAGAAACUCGUCUGUUACAAAGGGAUUUCAAUUUUUUUUAACUUAUUUGAACCCCCUUGUUUUUCUGUGUUCAAAAUGCAUAAUUAAAAGCCACAUCAUCAAUUUACAACCCUUUCUGACUUCAUUUGUUAUUUUUCAUGCAUUUACUGNNNNNNGUAUCACGGUUUCAUACGGAAACUCGUCUUUUACAAAGGGAUUUCAUUUUUUUGAACUUAUUUUAACCCCCUUGAUUUUCUGUGUUCAAAAUGCACCAUUCAAAGCCACAUCAUCAAUUUACAACUCUUUCUGACUUCAUUUGUUAUUUUUAUGCAUUUAUUGAUUAUUUUCAGCUAUAAGACCAUGAAUUUGUAAAGCAUUUGAAAUGAACUCUGAAAAGGUUCCAAGUUGGCAUGGUAUCAUCAUUUCACCCANUAGAUGCACUUCGUGUACAAAACGGACAAUCUCCUUCGAAGUAUCACAGUUUCAUACGGAAACUCGUCUGUUACAAAGGGAUUCCAAUUUUUUUGAACUUAUUUGAACCCCCUUGUUUUUUUGUGUUCAAAAUGCACCAUUCAAAGCCACAUCAUCAAUUUACAACCCUUUCUGACUUCAUUUGUUAUUUUUCAUGCAUUUACUGAUUAUUUUCAGCUAUAAGACCAUGAAAUUGUAANNNNNNNNNNNNNNNNNNNNNNNNNNNNNNNNNNNNNNNNNNNNNNNNNNNNNNNNNNNNNNNNNNNNNNNNNNNNNNNNNNNNNNNNNNNNNNNNNNNNNNNNNNNNNNNNNNNNNNNNNNNNNNNNNNNNNNNNNNNNNNNNNNNNNNNNNNNNNNNNNNNNNNNNNNNNNNNNNNNNNNNNNNNNNNNNNNNNNNNNNNNNNNNNNNUCAUUUCACCCACAUAGCAUGUGCAAGAAAGUAGAGAGGCUUACGGCAAAAACUGGAUGCAUGUCGUGUACAAAACGGACAAUCUCCUUCGAAGUAUCACGGUUUCAUACGGAAACUCAUCUGUUACAAAGUGAUUUCAAUUUUUUGAACUUAUUUGAACCCCCUUGUUUUUCUGUGUUCAAAAUGCACCAUUCAAAGCCACAUCAUCAAUUUACAACCCUUUUUGACUUCAUUUGUUAUUUUUCAUGCAUUUACUGAUUAUUUUCAGCUAUAAGACCAUGAAAUUGUAAAGCAUUUGAAAUAAACUGUGAAAAGGUUCCAAGUUGGCAUCGUAUUAUCAUUUCACCCACAUAGCAUGUGCAAGAAAGUAGAGAGGCUUACGACAAAAAAUAGAUGCACUUCGUGUACAAAAUGGACAAUCUCCUUCGAAGUAUCAGUGUUUCAUACGGAAACUCGUCUGUUACAAAGGGAUUUCAAUUUUUUUGAACUUAUUUGAACCCCCUUGUUUUUCUGUGUUCAAAAUGCACCAUUCAUAGUUGUAAGACCAUGAAGUUGAAAAGCAUUUGAAAUGAACUCUGAAACCAAAGUACAUACAUAGUUCUCGAGAGCAUUAAAACCAAAGUACAUACAUAGUUCUCAUUGAACAACAUAUAGCUCUCUAGAGCAUCUAAUUAAACCAUACAUUGAGAUUAUGUAAAAAAUUUCAAUGCAAAAACAAAUGCGAUCAUAACCGCUACCAAGGUAACAACUGAUCCAACUGCAUAAUGAUACCAAGCCUCGGUAGGAAUGGCAUAUUUUCUAAUCUUUUUAAUCUUCAACCGCAUUGCAUCCAUCUUGAUCUUGUGAUCAUCGACGACAUCCGCAACAUGCAAGUCCAAUAUCAUCUUCUCCUCCUCAAUUUUUCUUACUUUUUCCUACAAGUAAUUGUUUUCUUCUUCAACUAAAUUUAACCUCUCGACAGUAGGGUCGGUUGGAAUUUCCGGUUCAACAACCUCCUAGAUAAAUAAAAUCUAUGUCACAUUGGUCGGCAUAAUUGUCAUAAACAAUAAAUGAACCAAAUAGUUAUGAAAAGAUAAUAUAUACCACAUGUGAAUCAUAGACAGGACGAGGGCCGACGGGGGCGGAUACCAAAACCAUCGCACUAUAUAAUAACAAGGAAUAAUAAAAGUAAGAAAAUUAGACAAGUAUCUAUCUGAAGUCAGAAUUUUUUUCUUUCAGAAAGAAGAUAAGAACAAGAGGCUCACCAUGGUGGUGCUGGCGACGAGAUCGGCGCGGGCAAUCGACGGCGAUGAAGACGGGGCGUGACGGACCGCUAAAUCUAGACAAAUCUCGUUGAAAAUGGAGCUCGGAGGUCGAGUUUCGAGAGGAGAAAGCUUAACUAGUGUGGCUCGGGCAUUUCAUCGAACACCUCAUGUGCAUAGGAGGUGAACUAGAGCACCCAAAUGCCCUCCCCUCGCCGGCUUGACAAAAACAGAGCACUGUGGAGUGCUCUGCCGUGGCGGUGGGUAUAUGUAGGCAAGUUAUUUGUCCCGGUUCAAGCCACGAACCGGGACCAAUGGUUGUGGGCCAGCAGCGAGGACCAUUGGCCCCGGUUCGUGGCUCGAACCGGGACAAAUGGUUACACAUGAACCGGGACCAAUGCCCACGAGGCCCCCGCCGGCCCCCUGGGCUCACGAACCGGGUCUAAUACCCCCCAUUGGUCCCAGUUCUUGAAGAACCGGGACUAAUGGGCUGGCCAGGGCUGAAACGAUAGCCCUGUUUUCUACUAGUGGAAGAACCUAAUGAUAUUUCUGCGUCUGAUGCAGAAACACAAUCUGGUGAUGAACAUGAACCUGGUGACAAUAUGGAUAGUGAUGUUCAUAAUAAUGCUCAACCUAGCAAUGAUGAGGAUGUGGAGAUUGAACCGGCGGUUAAUCCUGAUAACCCACAACCUAAGAAGUACCAUAAGAAUGACUUCACUGCUAGGAAGCAUGGUAAUGAAAGGGAGCCAUGGGUUCAGAGACCUAUGCCCUUUCCUGCUAAGCCAUCCAAGAAAAAGGAUGAUGAGGAUUUUGAGCGCUUCGUUGAGAUGAUAAGACCCGUCUUUCUGCAGAUGCGGUUAACUGAUAUGCUCAAGAUGUCUCCGUAUGCCAAGUACAUGAAAGAUAUUGUGACUAAUAAACGGAAGAUACCAGAUCUUGAGAUCUCCACCAUGCUUGCCAAUUACACUUUCAAAGGUGGAACUCCUAAGAAACUUGGUGAUCUCAGAGUGCCCACUAUACCUUGCUCCAUUAAAGGGAACUACGUAAGAACUGCCUUAUGUGACCUUGUAGCCGGUGUUAGUGUUAUGCCGCUCUCUCUUUAUCGUAGACUUGAAUUGGAUAAGUUGACACCCACUGAAAUUUCUCUGCAAAUGGCUGACAAAUCAACUACUUUCCCUAUCGGCAUUUGCGAGGAUGUGCCUGUUGUGGUUGCUAACACCACUAUCUUAACAGACUUUGUUAUCUUGGAUAUUCCCAAGGACGAUGCCAUGGUUGUCAUCCUCGGAAGACCCUUUUUAAACACCGCAGGGGCUGUUAUAGAUUGAAACAAAGGCAAUGUCACUUUCCAUGUCAACGGUAACGAGCACACAGUGCACUUUCCGAAGAAACGAUAUCCAGUACAUUGCAUCAAUGCUAUCGAAAAGACUUCAUCGAUUCUCAUUGGGAGCUUUGAAUGCCCUAUUCCUCGUGUCAAGAUGAAGUAUGAUUUGCUUGUUGGGGAGUUACAUAUCCCCAUUGAGGUGACUUAGUGGCUAUCAGAAAAUUCUCCGUUCUCUCUUGCGAUUCGAGAAGGUUUUGUCAUAAGGACUUGAUCAAUCCCAUUGACGGAUUUCUUUCGAUGACCAUGAAACGGAUGAAUCAAAGAGUCACAUACCUCUGUUUUGAGCUUUCAUUUUAUUUUGCUUAGAAUAAAAAUGAUAGAAUUAGUUUAGUUUUUCCUGUUUUCUGUUUUAGCGUCCGGGAGAAAAAUACCUCGAAAAUAAAAGUUCUUCGAUGGUCCUGAAAAUUUGUAUGAUUUUUUCUGGAAUUUUUGAAAAAUUAUGGGCCUGAGAGCUUGCCUUGGGGCCUGACCAGUGGGCCACAAGCCCUCCCACUGCCACCUACCCCCCUGGUGGUGGGGUGCAAGCUUGUGGGGCCCACAGGCACCCCCUCCACUCAUUCCAGCUCUCAGCCUCUUCUUCCACCUCCAGAAAAAAUUGUUUCGCAGCUCAAACCCAUCUUCUUGAUCAUUUGGCUGUGAUUUUCGAUCUCCUUGCUCAAGCACCAUUCUCCGAACCGUUUGGGAAAAUUACUCCUUGGUAAGUGACUCCUCAUUGGUCCAAUUAGUUUUUGCUCUAGUGCUUUAUCCUUCGCGUAUUCUUGCUACCUUGGUGACCAUGUUCUUGAGCUUGAAAAGUUGAUUUUAGCUGGUCCCAAGUAGUUUUAGCGCGUGAUACGGUCUCUAGGCACUAGUAGGAGUAGUUGCUACAAGUUGGGUUAAUCUUUAUUCGCUUUUCUUUCGAACUCUCUAAAAAUUUCAGAAAUAAAGGAAAAGACGAGGAGGUUCUUGAGAGGCUCUUCAAGCUGUAACCCCAAGGAGGAUGAGAAGAACCACCCCAAGUACGUAGUCCCUCGAGUCACAGAAGUUCGAGCGUGCGAGUGGCCAAGUGAUGAAUUUUUGCGCGCCGCCGGAUUUUAUGAAGACUUUUAUUACUUGGUGGAGAACGCAGGUCUUACUGCGUUCGUUGAAGAUAAGUUCCCACAAUACCUCCUCCUCACCAAUAUUUUCGUUCAAAGCUUCAACUUUUAUCCGAGGAAGAAUCCUCCCAUGGUUGAGUUCAUGAUAUACGAUGUUCCCCAGUGCAUGACACUACAGGAUUUUUGCAAUGUAUGCAAAUUACCUUAUGUUGGGGAUAUCCGUGAUCCUCGUCCACGGGACUUGGAGGAUUUCAUUAGUUCUAUUGCUGUUGGAGAGGAGAGAGGAGUGUCUUGUGCUAGAAUUGCUAGCAUACAUUUUCCUGUGCUCCGGUACUUCUCACUAUUUGUAGGAAAAUGUUUGAUUGGCUGUGGGGAGGCUGGAUCACUUAGUUCUCCAGACCAUGCAGUUUUGCGCGAAGGCCUUUAUAACGAUAAGACUUACAACCUAGGUGUUAUAGUGGCUCAGCGGUUGAACAUCAACCGUUCCAAGGGUGUCGUCUAUGGAGGUAUCUAUGCUACCCGUCUUGCCAGACACUUUGAGAUACCCAUUAGACUGGGAGAGGAAGGAGAGAUGCUUCUCCCUGAGAAAUAUCUGGAUUAUGACAGCAUGGUUUGCCAUGAUUUUCUGGAUAGAGAUGCUAGUAGACGGAUGAUUUAUAACCUGGUAUUUAGUCAGGGUACUCGAGAGACUAUUACUUUGCCUGCUCCUUCUUUGUUUGAUCUUCAUGCAGGAAGGUACACUAUUAUGCCCGUGGACAUCUACGCAUAUUGGGGCUUGGCCCAACCAUAGGCGCCCGUGCCCGAGCCGCCAGUCGAGUACCAGACGCCGGUUUAUCAGUGGGAGCCAGAGGAGCUCACACAGCAGUGGCAUCAACAGUCUGCUCCGGAGUAUCCUGGAGCUGGUUAUUUCCCACCUUGGGAGUAGACCAAGCUAGGCCAAAAGCCUAAGCUUGGGGGAGUGCGUGUUCUCACCGACUUUACGUUCAUGCUUAUGCUUUCACUCUGAUAGCCGGUGUUUACACUUUGCCACUUUAUUAUCUAUGCUAGUUUAUUUUCGUUUUCUUGUUUUCUUGUUUUGUGUCCUUUUGAGAAAACCCAAAAAGAUUUUUCUUUCUUCUUUUGCUUGUUGGGAGCUUUCCCGUGUAAAUAGUUUUCUUUUUAUUUGUGUCAAGGUAGAAGAUGUUGGUUAUAAUGUUUAUUGGUUCUUGCAUGCUUACCUGUUCAGCUUUCAAAGAGCCAUAUUACUUUGUCUUCUCCUUUGUGUUUGUCUGCAGAUUCGGCUUAGUCCAAUGUUCUUAUUAUCGUUCACAUCGUUCGAUCGUGCAAAUGAAAGGAAAUAAUGAUGAUAUAUGAUGAAGUGACUGAGACUGAAAAGCUGGUAUGAACUCUAGAUAUUUUGUUUUUGUAAAUAUGACUAGCUUGUCGACCCACAUUUAGCUUUGUUGUGAGAGAACCAUGUUUGCAAUGACAACUUAGAGAUCACAGUUUCUGAUGCCAUGCUUAUUUAGCUGAGAGUUUAUAAUGGUUUGUCUUGAAUGCCAACAUAGAUUUUGAGAUGACUAUGAUGUAGUAUGAUAGGAUGGUAUUCUCCUUUGAAUGUUUCAAUUGGCUUGACUUGGCGCAUGUUCAUGCAUGUAGUUGAAACAAAAUCAACAUAGCCUCUAUGAUGUUCGUAUUCAUGGUGAUUUAUAUCAUGUUCAUGCUUGCAUUCAAUGUUAGUCAAACUCAUUGCAUCUUGAUGACUGUUGUCGCUCUCUAGUUGGUCGCUUCCCAGUCUUUUGCUAGCCUUCACUUGUACUAAGCGGAAUACUGCUUGUGCAUCCACUUCCAUAAACCCAAAAGUUUUUCCAUGAGAGUCCACCAUACCUACCUAUUUGCGGUAUCUACCUGCCGUUCCAAGUAAAUUUGCAUGUGCCAUUCUCUAAACCUUCAAGAAAUAAUCUGUUUUGCAUGCCCGAACCGCUCAUGUGGUGACAGGGGGCUAUUGGUAUCUUCCAUGCUAGGAGUGUUAUCCUCGACAUGUGUUUAUUCACUGUCAUUCACGAGAAAGGGGCCGGUAAUUGGAAUGCCCAGUUCCACGCUUAAAUCGAAAACAUAACUGUAAAACAAGACUCCCCCCGGAUUGAUGUUAGUAUGGACGGUACCCGAGGAUUCGGCUAGCCGUGGAGUGUGAUUGAUUGGUGGUGGGGGAGUUAAAACUUCACUUUUCUGUUUGGGAACUGCCUAUAGCAUGAGUAGCAUGGAAGAUAUUGAGAACUCUUGGUCAUUGCGUUGACAAUGAAAGCAUGCCACCCAAAAUUAUUAUCUCUGUUUUCAAAGCUUGAGCUCUGGCACCUCCGCAAAUCAAUGCUUCCCUCUGCGAAGGGUCUGUCUAUUUAUUUUCCUGUUGAGUCAUCCUCCUCUUAUAUAAGCACCAAUUAGAGAGCACCUCUGUCAUUUUUAUGCUUUGCUUUUGAUUGAUAUUGAGUAUGACUAUGACUGGAUCUUCGUUGCUAUGAAUUACAAUGUUUAGUCAGCCUUUUGAUCUUUGAAAGUGCUCUGCAUUUAUGUUUUGCAGUCUCAGAAAGAGCUAGCGAGAUACCACCUAUUCAUAUUGCUUCAUGCUUGUUUUGAUUGAAGUGUUGGUAUUUGAAACUCAUUAUUAUUUGCUCGUUAGGUGAUUAUGCCAUUGAUAUUAGUUACUGUGAGACCUUUGUGUCAUUUGCUUAUGUGGUUAACUUGUGAUCUUGCUGAAAUUCUGGUUAUGAGUUAGACAUAGUUGCAACAACAAGAUCAAACAGAGUUUGUCAAAGUUUUUCUUUCUCUCUCAGUUUGUCAACUGAGUUGCUUGAGGACAAGCAAGGUUUUAAGCUUGGGGGAGUUGAUACGUCUCCAUCGUAUCUACUUUUCCACACUCUUUUGCCCUUGUUUUGGACUCUAAUUUCUAUGAUUUGAAUGGAACUAACCUGGACUGACGCUUUUUUCAGCAGAAUUGCCUUGGUGUUAUUUUUGUGCAGAAAUCAAAGUUCUCCAAACGUCCUGAAAAUUUACGGGGAGCAGUUUUGGAAAAUAUAAGAAAUAUCUGCGCCAAGUUCCACCUGAGGGAGUGGGCCAGUGGGCCACAAGCCCUGGCUCCGCCACCACCCCCCUGGUGGCGGUGGACAGGCUUGUGGGGCCCACACGGCUCUGCCGCCCCCAAUCUCAGGUCUAUAAGUCUCCUUUCGUCCCAGAAAAAAUAAAAAGAGAAGUUUUCGUCGCGUUUACGAUACGGAGGCGCCGCCACCACGUGUUCUUCAUCUGGAGGGCAGAUCUGGAGUCCAUCUUGGGCUCCGGAGAGGGGAAAUCCUCGCCAUCGUCAUCAUCAACCUUCUUCCCUCUCCAAUUCCAUGAAGCUCUUCAUCGUUCGUGAGUAAUAUAUUCGUAGGCUCGCUGGCCGGUGAUGAGUAGGAUGAGAUCUAUCAUGUAAUCGAGUUAGUUUUGAUGGGGAUUGAUCCUUAGUAUCCACUAUGUUCUGAGAUUGACGUUGGUACUACUUUGUCAUGCUUAAUGCUUGUCACUAGGGCCCGAGUGCCAUGAUUUCAGAUCUGAAAUUAUUAUGUUGUCACCAAUAUAUGGGUGUUUUAGAUCCGAUCUUGCAAGUUGUAGUUAUCUACUAUGUGUUAUGAUCCGGCAACCCCGAAGUGACAAUAACCGGAACCACUCACGGUGAUGACCAUAGUUUGAGGAGUUCAUGUGUUCACCAAGUGCUAAUGCGUUGGUCCGGUUCUUUAUUAAAAGGAGAACCUUAAUAUCCCGUAGUUUUCUUUUGGACCCCGUUGCCACGGGAGGAAUGGACAAUAGAUGUCAUGCAAGUUCUUUUCCCUAAGCACGUAUGACGACACACGGAAUGCAUGCCUACAUCACAUUCACGAACGGGAGCUAGCCACAUAUCUCUCCGUGUUAUAGCUGUUGCAUGAUGAAUAUCAUCCAAACAAAUCACCGACCCAUUGCCUACGAGUUUGUCCUACUGCUGUUGUUACUACUGUUGCUACUGCUGUUACUUGUCUUGCUCUGUUGUUGUUACUACUGUUGCUACUGCUGUUACUUGUCUUGCUCUGCUGCUGCUACUACUGUUGCUACUUGCUACUGCUGUCACUACUGUUGUUCCUUGUUGCUGCUAUUGCUAGUUACACUGUUGCUACCUGCUACAAUUUUGGUUCGUUGAACGUUGACGGGAACUGACAACUUCCGUCAACACGGCAACUUGGCGCCAUUGAUACAAUCGUUAGGAAUAGUCUGUCGUCAACAGAUCGUCUGUGACAUCGUUGUUAUCAUACUACUUUGCUACUGAUACUUUGCUUGCAAAUACUAAUCUUUCAGGUGUGGUUGAAUUUGACAUAUUCAGCUGCUAAUACUUGAGAGUAUACUCUCACCUCCCAUCGUGCAAAUCAACAAAUUUGGGUCGAAUACUUUACCCUCGAAAACUGCUACGAUCCCACGCGUUGGUGGGCCGUCAACAACAUUCUUCUAGUUUCGGUUGCCGGGGAUUGCAAUCAGCAUUCUUCUGGUGCCAUUGCAGGGGAAGGUCUGUUGUCAUCAGCACUCGUCUAGCUAUUGCCAGAGAGUGCCAGUCAAAACCCUAGAAGCUAGAUGGGCCAAGAUGCAGGCCUGCAGAAGGCCUAGUAGGACCACACGGCAGAGAGUGUGUGUUUAGGCCCGUAGGCCUGCGUUUGAGAGGAGCUCGAGAGAGUUGGCGCAGCGGGGCUUAUAAACAACUCUCAGCUCCUCUCAACUAGCGAGGUGGGACUAAACAUUUAGCCGCAGCAUCACCCCCCUUUAGUCCCGGCUUGGAGCUCUAACCGGGACUAAAGGCCCCCCUUUAGUCCCGGUUGGAGCCCCAAACCGGGACAAAAGGUCCACCUAUAUAAGCUGGUCGAUGGAAUUUUUCCAAUCCAAAUCGCCAGUUCCUUCUUCCUCCUCUUGCCUGACUGCACCGACGACCACCUCGACACUGCCAGGCUGCCCGACUACGCCGUCGUCGACGCCCUGCCGUCCCCGAGCCCGAUGACCAUCGCCAGCGUCGGACCUCCUCGCGCGCCCUCCUCCCUGUCGUCGAGCCCGCUCCUCGUUGUCACCGGCCUCCACAGCUCUCCAUCCCCGGGCACCAGUGAGCUCCUCUUGUCGCCACCGUCGCGCCCACACCGUCGUCGACCUCGUGCCCCCGCCAUUGUUGCGCGACCCGCGCCAUCGUCGCCGUGCCCUCCCCCGAGCCUCCUCAUCGUCGCCGCACCCUCCCCCUCCGGUGAGAAGUAUGGCAUUUUUAUAUGUGCUCUGUUUUUUUAAAUGAGAUGUAUGAGAUGUUUUGUGAAGAUGAGAUGAGAUGAGAUGUUUUGUUUAAAUGUGAGAGAGAUGAGAGAAUUUCUUUUAGGUUUUUUUAGAUAGAGAAACAAAUGUUAAAAUUUGCAUGUACUCUGGCUUUUUUGUUGCAUAAUGAGAUUAGAUGAGAUGAGUCCCCGACGAUCGUCAGAGGAGUCCUCGACGAUCGCCGGUGAGGAGUCCCUGGCGAUCGUCGGAGGAGUCCCCGACGAUCGCCGGUGAGGAGUCCCUCACGAUCGUCAAAGGAGUCCCCGAUGGUCGUUAGAGGAGUCUUAGACGAUCGUCGGUGAAGAUUCCCCGACGAUCGCCUGUGUGGAGUCCCCAACGGUUGUCAGAGGAGUCCCCGAUGAUCGUCGGUGAAGAGUUCUCGACAAUCGUCGAUGAGGAGUCCCCGCCGAUCGUCGGAGGAGUCCACGACGAUCGCCGAUGAGGAGACCCCGACGGUUUGUGGCACGAACCGGCCGGGACUAAAGGUCCUAAAAAGAACUGGAACUGAUAUCCGCCGAGGCCCGACCGGCGUCCUGACCGUUCGAACCGGGACUGAUGCACGGUUCAUAAGUCGAUCUAGGCUAAUGUUCUUAUCAAGCCAUGAUCAAAGCCUGUUUUCUACAAGUGUGAGGUAGUCGCUGUUUUAGGGUUUGGCAUAGGGCCUUUGAUUUUGACGCCCCGUCCCUGAUUCGUGGCAUGUUCUUUCUAGAUCUCUCUAUUUUUUAACGUACAGAGAAAUAAAAAAGUACAAAGAGAAAACGGCACGACAAAAAAAAGAAGCAGAAUUAGGCUAGGUGUAGAAGUGGGAGAUUCCAUCCAAAUAUCUCCUUUGAAACAGUAGAGCCUAGAGGGUGUUUGUUUCCAGGGACUUAUUGGUUUAGGGACUUAAAAAAGUCCCUAUAAGUCCCACCUAAACCAAACACAAGGGACUUAUUGGGACUUGUUCUCGUGAUUAGGGACUUAUCAAAUAAGACUCUCAGGCAGGAGCUUAUUGGGACUUAUCCCGGGCCGGACCUACCCCGCGUCGCUCCAGGCUCGUUCCCCGCACGCCGCCCCGCCUCUCGGUCCAAUCGCCGCCGCCGCCCCGCCUCUCGCCCCGUCGCCGCCCCAUCGCCGCCCCGCCCCUCGCUCCGGUCGCCGCCCCGUCGCCGCCCCGCCUCUCGCUCCGGUCGCCGCCCCGCCUCUCGCUCCGGUUGCCGCACCGUCGCCGCCCCGCCUCGGUUCGUUCUGCCUCGGUUCGCCGCCCCGCCUCGGUUUGUUCUGCCUCGGUUCGUUGCAACGGUGCCUCCAAUCGCCGGACAAGCCCUUUCCUGAGCCUCGUUGCAGCGGUGCUUAUCCUGUGUGUCGUACGCGUUGGCUGAUGACGAUCCAUGUGAACAAGUGUAUUAUUAGGUGCAACAUGGACUUAUAAGUCCCUAUAAACAAACAGUGGGGACUCGGGACUUAUAAGUCCAUGUAAACAAACAGGGCCUUAGGCCCUGUUUGUUUCAUAAGUCCUAGGACUUUUUUAAGUCCCAACUUAUAAGUCAUAAGGCCCUACCUGUUUGUUUACAUGGACUUAUAAGUCCCGAGUCCCUACCUGUUUGUUUACAGGGGCUUAUAAGUCCAUGUUGCACCUAAUAAAAUACACUUGUUCACAUAACCCUUGUUCAUACAAAUGAAUUGCAGAAUAGUGACAACCGAAAUAAUAAUUGUUCAUAACACUUGUUCAUACAAACGAAUUAACACUUGUUCAUAAGAACCAAAAUAAGACAGAGUACAUAACAACCGAGAUAACAGAAAUUACAGAAGCGAAGAACACUUCUUCAUAUCAUUGUUGUUUCAAGGACCACAACCCAUCAGCGACCCAAGCUCUGAAUUGAUUCAUAGCAGCACUGUCCAUCUCAUUUGUUGAAUCAUUUGUUGUAGUCGUUGGCAUAGACAAUGGUACAUAAUUUUCAUCUUGAUCACACAAGUCGAAAUCUAUAUCGGCGAGUUGGCUUUGUCUAAUAAAAUUGUGCAGUGCAAUGCAAGCCACAAUUAUUUUGCUUUGUUUCUGUUGUGGAUAACUAGGCAAGUGAAACAAAAUCCUCCACUUGUUCUUCAGCACUCCAAAACACCUCUCGAUGACAUUUCUAAGUGAAGAAUGGGUGAAAUUGAAGUGUUCCUUUUUUCCUCUAGGCAUUGUGCCAUCACGGUACUCCUGGAAAUGAUAAGUUAAACCCUUGUAUGGUGAAAGAUAACCCGGUCUAUUUGGGUACCCUGAGUCGACAAGAUAGAACUUAUUAGGUGGAGGUUUUGGAAACUUGUCACCAAAUCUGGAUCGGGCAUCAUUGAAGACCCUCAUGUCAUGCACUGAUCCUGGCCAACCAGCUAGGACAAAUGUAAAUCUCAUAUCAAAGUCACACACACACAUCACAUUCUGACUCUUCUCCUUAUGUCUAUUCCUAUGCUGGGCAGCAGUGGCAACUGGUACCACAACUUGUAUGUGUGUACCAUCUAUUGCACCAAUGCAAUUAUCCAUAAACGGUGCAUACUUUCUAGAUCUUAAUUUUAAAUGCACAGUCCUAAAUUGACGAUCUAUUGGCCUGAUGAUGUCUUUUGCAAGCUUGAUCAGACAUGCCAAAACCUUAUCAAACUUCCUUACAAUUGUCUCCAAUGACCUAACAAAUCUGUUUUUUGCUUGUCUUACAGAUUGAGGGGAACCUACUAUCCAUAGAAACAGGCCUAGAGACUCAACUGAUGACAUUCUUUUAGUGGACUUCAAACCAUAGGAAUCAACAAGCACACUAUGCAAUUUCUCAAACACUGGUCUGUGCAUUCUAAACAUGUUGUAACAGGCCGUUUCGUUGUGUAGUGUUGUCAAAACCCAAUGCCCAGACUCUAUUGGUACUCUUCUAGGUCCUUUGUUACAGUAUGAGUCCAAGUGGUACAUACCAAUCAUGCAGGCCAUCUGCAUCAUUCUUCUCUUUCUUUUUUGGUGCAUGAACAACAUCAGUGCUUCGUCAUCACUGCUGCUCCCAUCAUCACUGCUUAUUCCAUCAACAUUGUUGUCAUCAUCCUGAAACAUGCAAACAUUAGUACAACUUAUUCAUCAUGCACCACCUCUGGAACUUGAAAACAUUAGUACGUGCAAAUUAAACACUUGAACAUGGAAUGGUCAUUUAACAAGGUCACACAACACAGGUCCAUUACAUAGUUCUAUUAAAAAGGACAAUCAAGAUAACUAGUACACUAGUACAACUUCUUCAUCAUGCACCACCUCUUCAACCAAGUCAGCCUAGCCUCAUUAGUUGAAAUGUUCUCAAAUAUGACUCUGUUUGCCUCAUCUGCAAAAAGUUGAGUCGCCAUGAAGUACUCAACACUUGUUUCUUCUGCACCACAUUUAACUGCCAACAAUUGACAAUGAGUAAUGGAUUCCUUAGUGUUGUUUGAUUUCUUCUCUCUUGCCUUGUCCUUUGCUUCCUGCCUUUUGUUUGCAUAUUCAGUGAUCAUGUCAGAAGUGUUAUCACUGUUAAUAGUAUUGAUGAGCCCUGUCAUUAGUUUCACCAUUGGGCUCUUGUGUUUCUUUCCUGGGCUUGAAGCUGACUGUUCACCGCCGCUGCUCCCCUUCUUCUUGCUCGUGGUGCUCAUUGGACUCUCCUCAUGUCCAUCAUCGGCAACAUCAUAUUCCUCUUCAUCAUCUUCAUCUAAGGGCACAUAAGCUGAUGAUCCAUCAACUGCCACACCUUGAAAUAGCUCUAUUAGCAUAUCCAAAUACUCAGGAUUGCCACCCUUGAAUUUUCUGACAUCUGGUCUCUCCUGCAUCAUUAGUUAGAUAAUUAGUACAAGGCUGAAUAAUGUAAACAAGUGUGAGCAAUUCAGAUGUAAUUUGAAAAAUAAUGUAUGUACCUUAAUUAUUUUUUUCCACCACUCAUUUGAUGCGGUUAUAGCUCCAUCUCCAGUUCGGCCACAACCAGUUUGCUGCCCCAACCACAUCCAAGCAGUAUAGUAGCUCUUCAGUCUAGCAAUGCAAUUUUUGAAUUGCUUGGUACUAUGCAGGAGGCCCACACGCUGAUAAAUUUUUUUUCUUCAUGUUAUUGUAUGCUCUACUUGUCCAAACAUCAUUCACACAGUGCCCAUCCCUAGCUUCCUCACAGGCGAUGUUACAAAAUAAAGUAAUAUGCGCGUCUGUCCAAUCGGCCUUUGCAAUGGUUUUCUAAACAAAAAUAACAAGUACACAAUUCAAACAUAAAUAACAAGUAGACAUUUCAAACCAAAAAUAACAAGUUCACACAAUUAGCUAGCACAAAAAAAAGAUGAAUUUUAACGCUGAUACAAAAAAAGACCUAUAUACACAAUUUAAAAAGUUACCUCUCCAAAACCAUUGUUGUCAUCUUCAUCUUCAAAGCCUUCAUUCUCGUCGACAUCUUCUGAAGACGCAGCAGUUGACGACACACGUUGCUUCCCCGCAGUUUUUCCUCUAGUGCCGACAGAUGAGGACGCAUUGGCUCGACCUACACCGCGCCCGGUGACCUGCGACACGGUCCUCCCACGGCCUAUGACGCCCCCCUCAACGGCAGCUACGGCCGGGGCGACGAACGGACGCAGGUGAGAGCCGGCUCGACCUCCGAUGUUCAGAGACCGGCUGCGACCUCCUCCGCCCUGGGGCAUGGGCCUACCACGACCAGGUCCGAUCGGAGGAAGGCCAUGACUAGCCGACUGGUCGAAGAGGAGUUGCUGGUACGAGCCCAAUUUCGGGAAAUCGUCGACGUUGCUGUUGAGAUCCAAGGAACGCCCGAAACCCAUUCCCCUCCCGAGAUUUCCACCGGCGGAUGAGAACUGAGAGAAAAAAGGCAUCUGCUCGUCCUCCUCAUCAGCCAUGGUACGGUCACCUCGGACGCGGGGAUCCUCAUCAGCCAUGGCGCGGUAACCUGCAGUCAAUAUGAAUCAUCAUCAGCCUAAUUGUCAACAGCAAACUAGAAAUAUUAUCAUGUGCAAGAAUUGAUUAUUAACUUGCAAUGGAUGUAUGAGUGAGUGCACCGAUCACAGUUUGCUACAUGUGUUAGCAAAAAUUCAACAGCCCUAAUGCAGUACUCGAUCAAGCUGAGACGUAGGUAGCAUACCAGGAUAUAUAUGGGACAAUGAAUAAUUAGAUGUGCCAAUCAAUAUAACCAGCCAGCAGAAAAUAUGAACCUGCAGAUGAACUAGCGAACCUGCAGAUGAACUAGGGAGACGAGGCGGCGGCCGGGCGGCGUCGGGGCGAGCGGGCGGCGGCCCUCGACUCAGUUGGUCACAUACAAUGGCAAUAACACACUAUCAAAAUUAACUGGUCAAUUCUUCGUUUUUAUAUAAAAAGGCAGAACUCCUGCUGGUUCCUCAAAAACAAAAUUAACGUACUACCAAAAUAUGCUGGGUCUUUUCUGUGAUUCGAUCACGGCUGGCGAUCGGUUUGGAGAACCUUUCAACGUCACGGAAACCGGAGAAGGGAACAUGCAUGCAUGCAUGCACGCACGGCACGUGACGAAAUAUACAAAGGCUGGCGCAUACAAGGAGUAGUGGCUGGGGCGCAUGCGCCGAAUUCGUUUGCAUAUAAAAACAGCACGUGGAAAAUAGUUUACGAUCGAGCGCGCGCGCGUGCGUUGAAGAAAACGACGGGGCGGUCAAACCGCGCCGACAUGCGGGCCCCGGUCGCGUGCCGCCGGAAGCUGCCGUGAGUGAUGGCGAUGAUGGUGAGUGCUCCAGAUGAUUGGUGGCGCCACCAUCCAUGCAUGCAUGCAUGCAAGCAAGGCCCUGUCGGUCAGCGGUAGCUUCCACUUGAACCUUGAAUGCUCCGAUUGCGGCUGCGGCGCGGAAGAGUAGUAGGAGUAGCUUUCUUUUUCUUACCUCUGUCCAAGAUAAAUGUAUCUAGUACAAAGUUAUAUUAAACUUGGAACAGUUACUUUGGAACGAAAUAAGUAUGAAAAUGAUUAUCUUCUAUCGACCGAUUACGCGCGGCCGUUUGUCUUUUAGGACAGACAUUUCUCAUACUGGAUAUAAGUAGAGGUGUUUCGGGACACGCUUAAUUGUGAGGGCAAGCGAUUAGAUUUGGAUUUUUUCAUGCAACAUCUUUAUUGUUGUAAGAAAAAAUAUAUAACAUUAGUUAUAUUGCAGAACACUUUUCGAAACAACAAUAUGAAGUUAAAAGAAAAUCUGCAAUGUUAGCUUUGUUGCACAAAAAUCCAUGCAACAACAUCGUUGCAAAAGUUUCGCAACAUGAUCCCUGUUGCAAUCAUCCGAAUGCAACAAUAUACUUGUUGCAAACGUUGUCAGCUUAAUCUGUUGGUCAUUCCGUAUUAAAUCUUUGUAGCAAAAAAAAUCAAUGUCCGUCUGCAGCUCUAUCAGAGUCCGAAACAAAGCGAUUGUUUCCGCAAAUGAUUUGUUGUUUUAAGAAUUAAUGUGUUAAGGAAGGCGAUCGAGUCACGUGCCAGCCUUUAGAUCGGUUGACUGCGCGCUCGGAUCGGAUGGCUGCCGAUGUUUGCGCACCCGGAGAUCCAACGGUUAUUGUGUUGAUCGAUGUUUAAUAGACAUCUGUUGGUGGAUGCGUGGUGCUCUCAGUAUAAUAUAUGCAGAAAAAAUGUUUUAACACACGUAUACGCCAUCGAUCCGGCACUUCGUUGUCGGCUGCGGCAUGAACAGCACGACUGGUCCACCGCCGUGGCAUCGUCAUCUUCGUCGGGCGCCCACAGGUAAGCCCAUGGUAUACAAUGACAUGUGGUUUUGGUUAAGUUACUCACUUGAUUUUGGGCCACACAAAUGGAGGCGUCUUUCUCUUAACAGAAAACACAUUCCUAUGUACGUAACACGUUGACAUAAACUCUACGCACUGGUUUUUUCUUUUUUGACAUUGCUCUACGCACUAGUUUAAUUUGGAUCUUUCUUUUUUUAACUGGAACACCUUGCAUUCCGAAUUACAACGGACCAACCGAAUUGGUGGUUACAAAAUGAAUUACAAUCAAUUUAUGGUUGAAUGGUUAGAGAGACUGUAUUAUCCUCAGUCCAUCAGGGUUCAAGUCCUGUUGUUCGUACUUAUUUCUGAAUUUAUUUUAAAAUUUUCGAUGAUGCUCAUUCAAUGGAAAGAGACGUUUCCGUCGUCGAUUAGGUGUCUACGACAAUUUCGUAAAUCUCAAGAUAUAUGCUGGUUCAGUCUUUCGAUGGUGCUCAUAAAAAUAGGGUGUGCAUGUGUGUGUCUAUAGGGAUGAGUGUACGCCGCGUGUAUAUAAACGUUUGCAUGUGUAUUAUGUUAACAAAAGUUUCUGCUACCAAACAUGAUGGCACUAUGGCACAUUAUAAAUGAUGACUGUGGGCGGCGUACCCGACCUGGAGAGGACCAUCCGGAGCAGGAGCAGCCGGAGCUACGCGCCUCAUGGGAAGGGUUUGCGACGUCGUUGACGCUUCAUCGGUGUGUGAUGGGCCCGGGGGAUGGAGAUCCACCGCUGUUGAGGCCGCCUUGGUCCUACAACGACCGACGCAACACGAUGCGGAGGGCCACCUCCUCCACAUUGACGUUCGAUCAGUCGGAGCUGCUUCCGUCGCCGGCCAUCGGUUCAGAGUGCCGGGAUUGGAAAUGGAGUGGACGGAGACUGAACUGUCGGAUGUCUAGGGUUUUUGGAUUGGGAUAUUUCGUGGGGUCCGUCGUGGCCCGAGAGGGUCUAGGAGCGCCGAACUUUCUAUAUCCGCUCCAUAUUUAAGAUAGAUAUGAUGGGUGUCGGUUAAUCCGGACAUUUGAGGCCCAUUUAGAGCAAGUACAAUAGAGCUGAGUCAGCUAGCUAUGAGGAAUAAACUAAUAUAUUUUUAUCAAAAAUGCUACACUUACGGGCAAGAUACGGAUGAAACUUACGGAUUGCUGCCGCUUAGCCAAUCCCUCUGCCCCGCUGAUUUCAAGGGUGGGCCCUGGUGCCCCAAGUUUCCAGUAAAACAUGGACAGCUGAGUCCGUAAGUUACUUUCCGUAGCUUCCGUCCGUAAAUCUAGCACUUCUCUAUUUUUAUUUAGUUAGAGGAAAGAGAAGAGGAGAGAGAAGGUAAGCGGCCUCUUAGCUAAGAGCCAGCUCUAGCACGUGCUCCUAGGCAUUUUGUUAAUAUGAAAGGUGGACCAUAUAAUGUAGAAGUAGUAUACUUUUACAAUGAAGUAUUGUACAUGUUAGCUAUAAGAUGGGCUAUAGAUGACAUGGCAGUGGCUUAUAGCCAGCAGCUUGCUCUUAGUGCAUUCCAUUUGGGUAGAUUUUCUCUGGCCGUACGCUGAUUGAUCGGCUGUCCAACGUUCGAAACGAAUAUAAGGGUCUGGUUGUAGAUACUCUAAAACCACGGAGGUGGCGAAAAUUACCCUUCAACCAAUCUACGCAGCGGCUAAACUUCAACGGUGUUUCAUACCCACAGAAACGGAAUCUUUCAAGAGCAACGGAGUCGAACAGCAGAAAGGACCGAGCAAGAUGAAUUCACAAAGUCAAAACAUGGAGCCAGCUCAACACCGACCCCGCAAGUCAAUCCGACCCAACCCAACCCACGCAAUUAAUCUCCUCUAAUCUCUUGCUAACACGCGUGGACUUCUUCGCGUGAUCCACUUCCUAUAAAACGCGCGCGCACCCACUCCCCCUCCCAUUCGAUUUGUGUUCAACUCCAUCCACCAACUCGGUCAGCGUCUUCUUCAUUCGCUCUGCUCUCCACCAGAUCCAUUUCACGAGCAAUCCUUCGCGACCUACGGCCAUGGAGGGGCCGACGGUGGAGGUGCCGCCGUACUUCCUGUGCCCGAUCUCGCUGGAGAUCAUGCGGGACCCCGUCACGCUCGCCACCGGCAUCACCUACGACCGCACCAGCAUCGAGCGCUGGAUCUCCGACGGCCACGCCACCUGCCCCGUCACGCAGCAGAAGAUUGCGGAGGCCGACCGGGAUGCCACGCCCAACCACACGCUCCGCCGCCUCACCCAGGCCUGGUGCUCCCUCCACGCCGUCGAGCGCUUCCCCACCCCGCGCCCGCCCCUCGACACCAGCCGCGUCGCCGAGAUCGUCCAAGAGGGUCACGGUGCCGGCCGGCAGCAGGAGCUGGCCGCGCUCCGCGAGAUCAAGGCCAUCGUCGCCGAGAGCGAUCGCAACAGGCGCUGCGUCGAGGCCACGCCCGGCGCCGUCGAGUUCCUCGUCUCCGUCGUCACGAACCAUGCCACCACGUCCAAGUCGGCUCAAGAUUUGCUAGAACUUUCGCUGGAUUCCCCGACGUCCACGAGCUCGCCGGAGGAGGACGCGCUCAGCGUCAUCUGCUCGCUCAAGCCGUCCAAGAAGAGCCUGCUCCGGAUCCUCGAGAAAAACGUAGACUUCCUGGACACCCUGGUGUGCAUGCUGCGGCGACCGAGCUACCGGUCCCGCUGUUACGGCAUCAUCCUGCUGAAGGCGAUGGUGUCGGUCAUGGAGCCGGCGAGGCUGAUGACGGUGAGAACCGAGCUGGUGCAGGAGGUGGUACGCGUGGUGUCUGACAGGGUGUCCGCCAAGGCGGUGAAGGCGGCGCUGAACGUGCUGUGCCGGCUAUGUCCGUGGGGCCGCAACCGUGUCAAGGCCGUCGAGGCCGGCGCGGUGACUGUGCUGGUGGAGCUGCUCCUCGACGAAGGCGGCCGGCACCCCACCGAGCUGGCGGUGGUGGCCAUCGACCACCUCUGCGGCUGUGCGGAGGGGCGGUCGGACCUUGUGGCGCACCCGGCAGGGCUGGCCGUCGUGGCCAAGAAGGCUAUGCGGGUGUCACCGACCACCACCGAGAGCGCGGUGCGCGCUCUGCACGCCGUGGCUAGGCACUCGCCGACGCCGGCCGUGCUGCAGGAGAUGCUGGCCGUCGGGGUGGUCGCCAAGCUGCUGCUGGUUCUACAGGUGGAUGCCGGCGAGCGGGCCAGGGCCAAGGCCAAGGAGCUGCUCAAGAUGCACGCUAGGGUUUGGAAGGACUCGCCAUGCUUACAAGUGCACCUCAAGGCGCAUUACCCUUGUUGAUUUCGUCACGCUGAAUAUCGCUAGAAGAGAAGAGCCCAUUGCUCUCUUUUAGUUUCUCGCUGUAAUUAUCUACACAAACUGUCAUCAAACAUUGACACUGUUUAAUUGAUUGUAAAUACUAGUUCCUAUUUACAAAAUAAAAAUAAAAAACAGGCGAGACAGGCUUCUUGGAUAUAUCUCUUGGAUUGCCGUGUUAUCAGAUUUUUUGCGUCCUUUGUUCCUUUUUGUGAUAUGUCACAGAAGUUAACAUGAAUGCAUAACACAAAUACUAUUUCCGUCUCGGUUUAUAAGUUGUCUUACGAAAACUAAAUAAUCUCAAAACACUAAGGGACGAUACAUUAACUUUCACUUCAUUUUUUGUUUUUUGACAUGAAUAAAUCAAUCAAUCAAUAAGAAACGUGGAACGUUUAUAUUUUUAAUGACUUGAGACUAACUAGCACAACAUGCAGUAGUAUUCAUUAGCAAAUCAAUACUAGUAAUAUUUUUUCUUAUUUUCGUCUUCGUCUUAAUCGUGGUGCACAACUUAAAAUAACUUAUAAACCAAGAUGAAAGAAAUAUAACAGAUAGAGAAUCAUAACUUAUAAGGCUGAUGUCGAAAACAUGCAUUUGCAUGUUUUCUAGAUGGUCCAACAUACUUCACACGUGCCAGAUAGUGUUACCUCGCGAUGACUUACUCUGGAAAGAUGAAAGCCAAUUCAUAAAUAGAUUCUCACUUUCACAAGGAAAUUUCUUUAGCUUCGCGGCACAAAUUAUUGACUAUAUUAACAAUUUUUGAUUAAUUUAAUCCAAAAAUAACUCAUAAGUAUGGCGUUUGAUAGUAUUUAGCUUGUACUUGUAUCAACCCAAGCAAGCAGGUACUACGCAAAUACUCUCUCCGUUUCAAAAUAAAUGUCGCUGAUUUACUAUAAAGUUACAUUAAAUCCACGACACUUAUUUUGAAACAGAGGGAGUAGUAUAUUCGGUUACGCGGACAACAAGCAAGGUAAAUUUUAAAAACAAUGACAAACGGGAAAGGAAUAAACGAGUUAUACCCUCCAAUUGAUCAGUUCACAGUCGCGCGGCAGCGGCGACUGGCUUCUUCCCAACAAAGAGCUUUUCGACAACGAGUUUCUCAACUUUGGUGACUUGAUGAUGAUGAAGACGAUGAAGAGGUAGAUGAAGUAGUGAACGUAGACGAACGGUUGUGAAAAGACGCGUAGGAGACACUUACCAAAAACCUAAUCGCCCUUCUCUCGGUGCAUGAUCUCAAAGAGCGGGCUUUCAGUUCCAGAGGCCCGCUUCACCGUAUAAUUGUGCAGGCGGUUGAAGGGAUGAGGUCAUCGGUGGCAGCAACGACGAGCACAACGAUGAUGGAAAGUACGCCCGUGGAGACAGAUCAGAUGUGACCUGAUUUUCGUGGUGGCUACCCAACGAUCAAUACUUUGGAUGCGGAAUUGGCGAAGUGCCCAUCGCAAGUGUGGCAGUCCAUCUUGGAAGGAAGAGAUAAUCUCCUCUUAGUCUUAUUAAGAGAAAUGGAAUGGUUGUUGAUACGACCGUUUGGUAUGGUGAUUGGAUCCAUGGGACUUCAAACUUCGGGCGUUGUGUUCCAAAUCAACGUACCCGUCGGAUUGAUCAUGCCUUGGUAUCUUGGGUUCGGGCCAUACUUGACGAGCAUUUCUGGACAAGCAGGCGAUCUUUAAUACUCCUUACUUCCAGAAUACAGUACGAUUUCUGGUAAUGGCAUUACAAAAAAAAGGCGUGUUUACAAUGCAUUUGGCAUACAUACAUGUAUCAUCCACUAAGCAGCAGCGCAUGAAUAGGCCCGGAGACAAUCAUGACCAUUCAAAUUAUGAGGAUAGUGGAAAAUCCUGGUCCAAGCUAUGUGCGGUGAAGAUACCUUUGAAGAUAAGGGUGUUUGCUUGGCGACUUGCAAAAAAUUCCCUUCCUACUAGGGGUGUGUGGAAUCAUAUCCAGAUGGCGGACACAACUGUCAGGCCCAAGAUACGACCCUAUCCACAAUUUGGCACGAGGGCCUCGUCAGGGAUAGAAGCGCAUCUCGUCGUGUCGCAAGAAUGGAUAUCGUUACAAGUACAUGUACUGAAAAAAAGAGAUAUAUAGAUAAAAUUGGCUUACACUCGCCACAAGCUACAUCAGAGUCACAACAGUACAUUACAUAAACAUCAUGAAGAAGAGCAGGGUCCGGCUACGGACGAAAACAAACGAGAAAAGAAGAACGACGUCCAUCCUUCCUAUCCCAGGCUGCCGGCCUGGAACCCAUCGUAGAUCGAAGAACUAGAAGAAGAAGAAGAAGNNNNNNNAGAAGAAGAAGAAGAAGCAAUUCUUAAAGAACACUCAACGCGCUCGCGUCAAGUAAAUUUACAUGUACCUGCAACUGGUGUUGUAGUAAUCUGUGAGCCACAGGGGACUCAGCAAUCUCAUUUCCAAAGGUAUCAAGACUAGCAAAGCUUAAUGGAUGAGGCAUGGUUAAGUGGUGAGGUUGCAGCAGCGGCUAAGCAUAUAUAUAUGGUGGCUAACUUACGAGUACAAGCAAUAAGAGAGGAAAGAUCUACGCAUAGCGGACGUGAACUACAGUUGAUCAAAUGAAUGAUCCUGAACACCUACCUACGUUAGAUAUAACUCCACCGUGUCCUCGAUCGGAGAAGGAACUCAUGAAAGAGACAGUCAUGGUUACGCACACAGUUGGCAUAUUUUAAUUAAGUUAACUUCAAGUUAUCUAGAACCAGUGUUAAACAAAGUUUCCACGUUGCCACAUAACCGCGGGCACGGCUUUCCGAAAAUAUUUAACCCUCUAGGGGUGCUCCAACUAGUCCAUCACAAAUUACCACAAGCCGCAUAGAAAUCCUCAAUCAUGAAGCUCGCGAUCUCGUCGGAUUCCCUAGUGGAAAACCUCAACUCUGAGAUUAUCCAAAGCAUCACUGGAAUCCCGAUGCACAAGAUAUCUCGUCAAAGGUAAAACUAAUCCAGCAAGGCCACCCGGUGUGUCGACGAUCCCGAUAGGAGUCGCGUAUCUCGUUCUCAGGACACACCGUCUAUGCAUAGUGGACGGGAACCAAACCUCGAGUUGCCCCGAGGUGGCACCGCCGACUGCUAGGUGGGUGGACCAACACUCAUGCGGAGCACUGGCCCGGGGGUUGAUUAAAUUUCCUCGGGUUAAUUACUCCCUAUGCAGUUCAUUAGUUAUUAAGCAAAUGUAGUACCAAAGUUGGGCCUUGCGAGACCAGCUUUAAUCUAAAACAAAUUAUCAAGGGGGUACCAUAACAACCCCGAUCGUGUUAGGAGCGCUCAAAUAUGGAACAUAACACCGGUAGCCGAAACUAAGGGGCAAAGGUGGAACAAAACACCAGGCUAGAAAAGUCCGAGCCUUCCCCCUUUUACCAAGUAUAUAGGUGCAUUAAAUUAAAUAGCAUUUAAAUAUGGUGAUAUGACAAGGAACCCAUGUUAUCACAUGGAAGCAACUGCACCUGCAACUAGCAACGUUAACACAUGGAUAAGCAAGCAGUAACAUAGCCAAUCAGGGGUUUGCUAGGUCGAACAGGUUGAAGGUUAUCAUGGUAUUGUUGAGAGGCUGAUAUUUAACAUGUGGUACGCAACAAGAUAUAAACGAUAGAAGCGAUAAAACUAGCAUGGCAAUGAUAGUAAUGGUAUCUCGGGAAAUGGUCAUCUUGCCUGAGAUCCCGCUUGGAAGAAGAACAACUCCGUGACGUCGGCGAACCAACGUAGUCGAACGGGUCCUCACAUUCUGACACGCUUGCGGAACUCUAUCGAGACGGACCAAACCGGAAACAACCGUCAACACAGAUAUUCACCACGGCAAAUGCAAGACAUGAUGCACACCCUAAUAUGAUGCAUGAUCAGUUCAAUGAUGCCAGGCAUGGCAAUUCUCCUCACACAAACACUACACAUUAAGUGAAACGCGAUAUGCAACGAGUUGCAUAUCGACGAAACUCCACGUUUAAUUAUUUAAUUCACUCCCGAUUAUUUGCACAGCAAUAUUAAAUUGUUGUUAACAUGGCAAGGGUGAAGCGGGUGAUUCUACCAGUCAUCCUAGUCGGUUAACACGCGGGACAUAGAACGGAGCUACCACACAAGAAAACAUGCAACAUAAGAUAUAUAUGCCAUGAAUGGGUCAUGCAUGCAAGCUCAUAAUAACACGGGCAAGAAGGAAAAGAAUCAAGAAUCGCCACGGCGAGCGUAAAGGAACCAUGGCGGCAAGAUGGAAACGAUGCCACGGCAACGUUCCUAUCCCGAUAACUCAACGAGAUAUCGGUGCCAACGAAUCGGAAGCGCGUGCGGGAACGCUAAAUAAAGAUGGGGUGAUCCCGCUACGGGGUUCCCAUGUGUCGAUGGCGCGACGAAAGAGAGACAACGUGCAACGGGCAAACAUACGGCGCAAACAUACGGUACAUCUCAUACAACAUUUGCAUUCGGUACACGACACGUUCCAAUGGUAUACCUUCGAAGCAUGCAUAUCAGAGCGGUUCGGGUCAUAGCGGACGUCGUGGAAGUCGUUGUCGUCGUGGAAGUAGUGGAAGUCGUGGUACUCAGGUCUCGUCGACGGUAGUCGUGCUCUUGGCGUCGGUGCACGGGUCUUCACAUCGGUAGUCGAACAUGUUUCCGGGGGUCGUCGAGGACGACGUGGUGCUCGGCGAGUUUGUCGAUUCCACGGCGACGGGGAUGGUGCACGCGGCGACGGCAGGCGACACAACAGCAACGAUCGUCGGCGACGGCAGCAAGCAAGCAACAUAGCAACGGCAACAACAUGCAGGCCAUCAGCAAGCAACGCUAGCAGCUAACUAGCACAAGCUAAAGCAAACAUCUACAGCAAGCAUCGGCAUCGGCAAACAGCAACUAACCUAGCAGCAAACAACAAACUACACCUAGCAACUAACAGCAGCAACUAACACUACUAGCUAGCAGCAAGGCAAGCAAGCAGCAACAUCAUCUACACCAAGCUAGCAGCCGAGCAAAGCAACUAGCCUAGCAUGCAUCGGCGCAGCAGCUCGCGGCAACAGCAAGCACGACAGCAGCUACGACAUAGCAACAGCAUCUCGGCAGCACUAGCAGCCUAGCAUCUACAGCAGCAUGCAACAUCCAACACGGCGCGCAGGCAGGCCAGCAGAACGACGACAGGGCAAGCACGGGGGCGCGCGGGACCAAGGCGAGCAGCGGCAGGGCAAGCCGCCGGCGGGGCGAGCAUCGGCAGGGGCGGGGAACCUGCAGGCGGCUCGGGCGGCCGGCGGCGCGCAGAGGGCCUCGGGCCGGCCAAGGGCGACGAGGGGAGCCGCGGGCACGGUGGCCAUGGCGAGCUCGUGAGGGCGAGGGGCCCUGGCAAGGGAGGCGGCUAGACGGGGGGACCGGAGGCGGCGAUUGGCGAGAGCGAGGACGCGGGGCACGGGGCUCCUACAGGCAGGCGACGACACCGUGGGCAAGGGCUGGCGAGCUCGAGACCAGCUGAGGCGAGAGGUGGCGAGGCCGAGGGGGCGCAGCGCGACGAGGGUCGCACAGCGAGCACGCGGGGAACGGCGGCGCAGCGCGGGGGAGCUGCUGCAGGCGCCAGCGGCUGCAGGGAGGGAGCGCUGGAUCGAGCAGAGGGGGAGGCUGCGCUAGGGGGGAGGACGAGGGAGGAGACGAGAGGGGCUGGGGGCACUAGGGCAGGGGAGGGAAGCCUGCUGGGCCUUGGGCCGGCUGGGCAGCUCCUCCUCAACCCCUCUCUCUUGUUUUUUUUAAACAGAACACACGCAAAAGAAAAAAGGUUUAAAUAAAAGAAAAUAAAAUAAAUGCUUUUCGGCUCCUUGAAAAAGAAACCCCAACUAUAAAAAUAGGUUGGGCAUUUUUUUUAAAGAAAUAAGAUGCAACAUUUUGAAGAAUAAAAUAAAACCCUUUUAACAAGAGAAUAAAAUAAAACCCCUUUUAAAGGAGAAAAGAAAAUGAGACUUUGUUUUUUGAAAAUAAACAAAAGGGAAAAAAUAAGGAAACCCAAGGGUUGCCUCCACAUUUAAUAAAAAGGUUUUUUUAAAAGAAGACGAAUCUUUAUAAAGGGGUUAAAACCGAAAUUUGAACGCAACCACAAAACAAAGUAAGAGGGGAGAGAAGGGGAGUUUCUAUCGCUCUAAAGACUCCAAGAGCACUCACAACUCAGAUGACACCACGCAUCAGAUGAUGCAAGAUGCCAUGAUGCAAACUACAUGAUGAUGCCACAAAAUAAAAUAACCACACGACGGAAACGAAAAUAAAGGGAAUCUUCUAGAACGUCGGCGUCGGGCUGUCACAACAACCAAGUGUUUGAUAUGUCAUGUGGCGAUGGACUAGCGCGGCAUUCCCUCUUCUAUUGUCGGAUGUCAAGGUGUGUUUGGGACAUAGUUGAUGAGGAGCUGACCAAUGCUAUCAUAUCAAACCACACAAAUGAUGUUAGGCUGGCCAUUGUGGGGGUAUCAUAGCUAGUAACAUAGUCUUGGGACUAGCAAACAUGGUGAUGUGACAAGUAAUUAAAGAAGAGAGAGAGGGUUAUAGUAACAUAGAUAGAUACCGUAUCACACUAGUGGGGACGGGGCCUUUAGCCCCGGCCCGUAAGGGGCUUUAGUCCCGGUUCACCAACCGGAACUAAAGGGGCGGGACUAAAGGCCUAACCUUUAGUCCCGGCCCUGUUUCAAGCCGGGACUAAAGGUGCUCCACGUGGGCGCCUCGUAGCGCCCCAGGGGAGGCCCUUUAGUCCCGGUUCAUUACACGGACCGGGACUAAAGAGUUUCAGAUUUUGUUUAUUUUUGGGGUUUUUUUUAAUGAAAUUAUUUUUUGGGUUUUAGGGUUUUAGGGUUUAGGUGUUCGGGAGAUUAACGUGAUGCCUCGUUUGGUGUUCGGGAAUUAGUUUUCAUAUAAUUUAAAUAGAAAUAAUUAUGCAUAUAUAUAUAUAAGAUUAACUUAUCUUACAAGCGAGCAUAUAUAUACAAUUAUAUGGAGAUCUGAAUUAUCGGGACUAGAGCCCGUCUAUUCGAUUACAUGGACGAACAUCAGUAAUGGCCCCUAGCUACACUAAAUCGUCCUUUGUCAUCUAUAGCUUCCGUCCUCAGAAAGGUCGCAAGCUCCUCUGCAACAGCAAUCGCGCGUUGCUCUGGUAGUACCUUCGUCCUCAUGGCUGUGUACUAUAUAAGAAGAGGAGAUGAAUAUGAAUAUCAAUCAUGAUAACAAAGAAUGACGGGGAAAAAUAGAGGUGUGAAUGUUCAUUGCUUACGUUGAAUCUGUGAUCCUUGUGCUCAGAGGUAAACGUGCGAAUGGUCUCGCAAACAUAGUAUCCGCAUAGAUGCAUUCCCCGUGGCUGCUGGUCGCACUUUACGAGAAUAGAAUACAUAUAAUCAAAAUAAUAAUCUAGCAUCAUAAAUGUAUUGAAAAUAGAAGUAAAUCAUACUACUACUUACCUGAGCCGUUCUAAAGGUCAGCUUCUCAGGCUCGAUACCGGGAGUCACGCACUUGAACCGCUUCCAAACCCUGCCCCACAAGGAUAAUGAUUUGCUAAGUUUUUCAUUAAUUGAUAUAUCAGAAAAUCAUCGAAAGAGACCGAUAGAGCGCAAGAAUGAUUGAAAUUACCCUUGGAGCAUGUCGUGCAGGCUUUGGAACUAUUCCAAGGGUCUCGAUAAUGGGUCGAAGGCAUCAACUCUUCCCUUAUCAAUUUGAGCAUAGUAUUCAAAGUAGGAGUACUUUUCCAAUUUGAGCAUUCAAUAAGCAAAACCAAAUCGUAAAAUAAAGUAGUAUUCAAAUUAGCAUGGAUUCAAUAAUAAGCAAAUACAUCAUCUCUUUUGUCCGUACAUCGUCGAAUAUUAUCACUAAUACUCCUCGAAUACUAUCAUACAUAUAACAUCAUUGAUACAUCUAGAACCGUAGCGCCCGACGGGUAUCGGCGCGGGCGGUGGACACCCAAAGAGAAGGAACCAUCACAGGAUCAUAGCUCCAGUGAGAUCCCCGAAGAACCUGCCAGGUAUGCUCGAACCUGCCCUCCAACGCAACCAUGUAGCGACGGACGUGCUCAUCCUCCUCGCUGACACGGUGACGUACCACCUCCGCGGUGUCCGGAAGCCUCGGCACCCUCACUGGCCCAUGCGACCGCCACCAAACAAGGAUCGGGUCAACGACGGGCUGGCUCCUCACCAACCUACGCCCCCCGGAAGGUAGCACCUCCCAAUACCAGCCGGGCAGAGCCCAGUCCCGGACAGGGCCACUCUGAUCAAGCAGGUGUCCUCCGCCGAGUCGACGACGAGGAUGCGGGAUAGGCAUCGUAAAAUGAACUAAAAAAUAAACUAGUUCUAUUAAUUUUCUUGCUAAAAAUAAACUAUUAACACUUAAGCAUAUACAAUAGGAGAAUUAAACUAUUAACACUUAAGCAUAUACAAUAGCAAAAUUAAGCAAUAAUCUAAGAAACACUAUUAACACUUAAGCAUAUACACUAUACAAUAGCAAAAUUAAAUGACAAAAAAAAUAUUUCUUCUUGUUGUAACCCUAAACUAAUUUUUCCUCUUCUUCUAUUUCUCCUCUUCUUCUACUUCUUUUUCUACUUCUACUUCUCCUCUUCUUCUACUACUUCUCCUCUUCUCUUCUUCUACUUCUCCUCUCCUCCUCUUCUAAUUUUUUUCCUCUUCUUCUACUUCUCCUCUUCUUCUAUUUUUCCUCUUCUUCUCCUGUCCUCCUCUUCUUAUUCUCCUUUUUCUUGUUUUCUUCUCCUCCUCUUCUUAUUUUCCUUUUUCCUAAUUCUAAAUAUUACUAACCCUAAUAAUCUAGCACAAACCUAAUAACAAUAGGAAUUAAAUGACAAAAAAAAUCUUUUUCUUCUUUUCUUCCCUUUUUCUUCCUUUCUUCUCCUUUUUCUUCCUUUCUUCUCCUUUUUCUUCUCCUUUUUCUUCUUUUCUUCUACUGGCCGGAGUGUUGGGGAGGAGGGGGCGGGGGGCUUACCGGCCGGAGGUGUCGACGGUGCGCGGCGAGGAGGAGGGCGGCGCACGGCGAGGAGGACGAUAGCGACGGCGAGGAGGACGGCACGCGGCGGCAAGCAGGACGGCAGGCAGCCUGACGGCGUCGUCGAGUUCGUCGCUGUGCCGCGCCGGGCAGGAGAACGAGGAAGAAGGAGAGAAGGAAAUGCGAUUUGGGCUGGAAAUUUUCUAACUCCCGCUUAUAUAGGUGGAUCUUUAGUCCCGGUUCGGGGCUCGCUCCUGGACUAAAGNNNNNNNNNNNNNNNNNNNNNNNNNNNNNNNNNNNNNNNNNNNNNNNNNNNNNNNNNNNNNNNNNNNNNNNNNNNNNNNNNNNNNNNNNNNNNNNNNNNNNNNNNNNNNNNNNNNNNNNNNNNNNNNNNNNNNNNNNNNNNNNNNNNNNNNNNNNNNNNNNGGACUAAAGCCCCUCCUCGGUUGCACGAUAAGUUUAGUCCCACCUCGCCCAGCGAGGGGGACUAACACUUGAUUAUAACCCCCGUCGCAGCUUCUCCAUCGACCUCCUCUCUAAAGCAGGCUUACGGGCCUAAACUGACUGAAAAUUGAAACUAUAUUCGAAAUUAUGGAGAAAAUUCAACCUGAAUUCAAAGUGAGUUCAAUUUGAAUUUAGAUUGAAUUUUCUCUAUAAAUUCUCAUAUAGUUUCAAAUUUUUUCUAUUUUCAUAAUUAAUAAUUUUGACUAUCCAAACUAUUAUCUAUUUUGUUAUUUUCAAUUAAAAACUAUGUUUAUUAAAAAUUCUUUUUGCAUANNNNNNNNNNNNNNNNNNNNNNNNNNNNNNNNNNNNNNNNNNNNNNNNNNNNNNNNNNNNNNNNNNNNNNNNNNNNNNNNNNNNNNNNNNNNNNNNNNNNUUUGUUUAUAAUUACUUAUUAAAUUUAUUUUAUGAUAAUUUUUUUUGCUAUUAAAGUUUCUAACAAAAAAAGUUCUUUAUGAAAAUUCUUUUUGCUUUUAAUGAUUUUGAACAGAAAAUACUUUGAUAAUUUUAGUUGCAUAAAUUUUAUAUAAUUUUAGUUUCAAUAAUACUAGAAGUUGCUUAUAAUGUUUUGAAUAGAAAAUACUUUGAUAAUUUUAGUUUCACAAAUUUUAUUUAUGUUAUUAAAGUUUUUUUUGUCUCUACUUAUCUAUUUUAUUAAAGUUUAUAUUAUUUUGUUUCAAAUUACUUAUUUAUUUUAUUUUGUUUUGUUUCUCACUUCAUUUGUUAUUUUUCAUGCAUUUACUGAUUAUUUUCAGCUAUAAGACCAUGAAAUUGAAAGGCAUUUGAAAUGAACUCUGAANAGGUUCCAAGUUGGCAUGGUAUCAUCAUUUCACCCACAUAGCAUGUGCAAGAAAGUAGAGAGGCUUACGGCAAAAACUGGAUGCACUUCGUGUANNNNNNNNNNNNNNNNNNNNNNNNNNNNNNNNNNNNNNNNNNNNNNNNNNNNNNNNNNNNNNNNNNNNNNNNNNNNNNNNNNNNNNNNNNNNNNNNNNNNUUCAUGCAUUUACUGAUUAUUUUCAGCUAUAAGACCAUGAAAUUGUAAUGUAUUUGAAAUGAACUCUGAAAAGGUUCCAAGUUGGCAUGGUAUCAUCAUUUCACCCACAUAGCAUGUGCAAGAAAGUAGAGAGGCUUACGGCAAAAACUAGAUGCACUUCGUAUACAAAACGGACAAUCUCCUUCGAAGUAUAAGGGUUUCAUACGGAAACUCGUGUGUUACAAAGGGAUUUCAAUUUUUUUAACUUAUUUGAACCCCCUUGUUUUUCUGUGUUCAAAAUGUACCAUUCAAAGCCACAUCAUCAAUUUACAACCCUUUCUGACUUCAUUUGUUAUUUUUCAUGCAUUUACUGAUUAUUUUCACCUAUAAGACCAUGAAAUUGAAAAGCAUUUGAAAUGAACUCUCGAAAGGUUCCAAGUUGGCAUGGUAUCAUCAUUUCACCCACAUAGCAUGUNNNNNNNNNNNNNNNNNNNNNNNNNNNNNNNNNNNNNNNNNNNNNNNNNNNNNNNNNNNNNNNNNNNNNNNNNNNNNNNNNNNNNNNNNNNNNNNNNNNNNNNNNNNNNNNNNNNNNNNNNNNNNNNNNNNNNNNNNNNNNNNNNNNNNNNNNNNNNNNNNNNNNNNNNNNNNNNNNNNNNNNNNNNNNNNNNNNNNNNNNNNNNNNNUUUACAAAGGGAUUUCAUUUUUUUGAACUUAUUUUAACCCCCUUGAUUUUCUGUGUUCAAAAUGCACCAUUCAAAGCCACAUCAUCAAUUUACAACCCUUUCUGACUUCAUUUGUUAUUUUUAUGCAUUUAUUGAUUAUUUUCAGCUAUAAGACCAUGAAUUUGUAAAGCAUUUGAAAUGAACUCUGAAAAGGUUCCAAGUUGGCAUGGUAUCAUCAUNNNNNNNNNNNNNNNNNNNNNNNNNNNNNCCAGCUAUAAGACCAUGAAAUUGAAAAGCAUUGAAAUGAACUCUGAAAAGGUUCCAAGUUGGCAUGGUAUCAUCAUUUCACCCACAUAGCAUGUGCAAGAAAGUAGAGAGGCUUACGGCAAAAACUGGAUGCACUUCGUGUACAAAACGGACAAUCUCCUUCGAAGUAUCAGGGUUUAAUACAGAAACUCGUCUGUUACAAAGGGAUUUCAAUUUUUUUUAACUUAUUUGAACCCCCUUGUUUUUCUGUGUUCAAAAUGCAUAAUUAAAAGCCACAUCAUCAAUUUACAACCCUUUCUGACUUCAUUUGUUAUUUNNNNNNNNNNGUACAAAACGGACAAUCUCCUUCGAAGUAUCACAGUUUCAUACGGAAACUCGUCUGUUACAAAGGGAUUCCAAUUUUUUUGAACUUAUUUGAACCCCCUUGUUUUUUUGUGUUAAAAAUGCACCAUUCAAAGCCACAUCAUCAAUUUACAACCCUUUCUGACNNNNNNNNNNNNNNNNNNNNNNNNNNNNNNNNNNNNNNNNNNNNNNNNNNNNNNNNNNNNNNNNNNNNNNNNNNNNNNNNNNNNNNNNNNNNNNNNNNNNACCCCCCUUUAGUCCCGGGUGGAGCCACGACCCGGGACUAAAGGCCCUUUUUCGGCUGACCAGAAGGCGGGAAGCAGGGGCCUUUAGUCCCGGGGCGUGGCUCCACCCGGGACUAAAGCCCCUCCUCGGUUGCACGAUAAGUUUAGUCCCACCUCGCCCAGCGAGGGGGACUAACACUUGAUUAUAACCCCCGUCGCAGCUUCUCCAUCGACCUCCUCUCUAAAGCAGGCUUACGGGCCUAAACUGACUGAAAAUUGAAACUAUAUUCGAAAUUAUGGAGAAAAUUCAACCUGAAUUCAAAGUGAGUUCAAUUUGAAUUUAGAUUGAAUUUUCUCUAUAAAUUCUCAUAUAGUUUCAAAUUUUUUCUAUUUUCAUAAUUAAUAAUUUUGACUAUCCAAACUAUUAUCUAUUUUGUUAUUUUCAAUUAAAAANNNNNNNNNNUUUUAAAAGUAAUUAUUUUGACUAUCCAAACUAUUAACUAUUUUGUUAUUUACAAUUAAAAANNNNNNNNNNGUUCAAAAGUAAUUAUUUUGACUAUCCAAACUAUUAUCUAUUUUGUUAUUUUCAAUUAAAAACUAUGUUUAUUCAAAUUCUUUUUGCAUAUUUGAGAAUUUGACAAAACUAUGAUAAUGAAAAGUGUUUGAAAUUGAAUAAAUAAUGCAAAACUAUUUUNNNNNNNNNNNNNNNNNNNNNNNNNNNNNNNNNNNNNNNNNNNNNNNNNNNNNNNNNNNNNNNNNNNNNNNNNNNNNNNNNNNNNNNNNNNUAUUUUUUUUUAGCUAGUUGACCCUGAAAUUGAAAAGCACUACAAAUGAACUCUGAAAAUGUUGAAAGUUGGCAUGCUAUCAUCAUUUCACCCACAUAGAAUGUGUUAAAAAGUUGAGAGGGCUACGACAAAAACUGGAAGCACUUCGUGUACAAAACGGAAAAUCUCUCUCGAAGUAUCAACGUUUCGAACGAGAACUCAUCUCUUACAACGGGAUUUCAUUUUUUGAACUUAUUUGAACUCCAUACUUUUUGUGUGUUCAAAAUGCANNNNNNNNNNNNNNNNNNNNNNNNNNNNNNNNNNNNNNNNNNNNNNNNNNNNNNNNNNNNNNNNNNNNNNNNNNNNNNNNNNNNNNNNNNNNNNNNNNNNAAUACUUGACACGCAGAAAACAGUAGCAACAAAAUGACACGAUCAACAUGCUACAUCUAUUAGUUUGGGUCUAGUCCAUCACGUGAUUCUCCCAAUGACGUGAUCCAGUUAUCAAGCAACAACACCUUGUUCAUAAUCAGAAGACACUGACUAUCAUCGUUCAACUGGCUAGCCAACUAGAGGCAUGCUAGGGACGGUGUUUUGUCUAUGUAUCCACACAUGUAAAUGAGUCUUCAUUCAAUACAAUUAUAGCAUGGAUAAUAAACUAUUAUCUUGAUACAGGAAUUAUAAUAAUAAUUAUACAUUUAUUAUUGCCUCUAGGGCAUAAUUCCAACAUCUCUCGCCCGGAGGCGCUUUGGGAUUGGCGAGCACGAGCGGCGCUCUCGGCGAGGCUGGGCGCCGGGGCGACGACCCCGGCUUGGACCUGCGGUGGUGACGGCAGCGGUGGCCGCGGGGACCGCGCCUCGGCGCGUAGAGGUGGCUGGGAAGGCUUGACCCCUUGUGGGCAGGACUCGAUCUGGCUCAGCCAUAUCUGGUUUCCGGGACUGCAGGCGGUGCNNNNNNNNNNNNNNNNNNNNNNNNNNNNNNNNNNNNNNNNNNNNNNNNNNNNNNNNNNNNNNNNNNNNNNNNNNNNNNNNNNNNNNNNNNNNNNNNNNNNAAACCCUUAUAAAUAACUGUUUUUUUACAGUUUGCGAAUAAAAAAACGCAUAGACUAGAACCCCUUAACCCUCAAACCCUUAAAAAAAAUUUGAGGAUCCAACCCUCAAACUCCCUCUCAACCUGUAGAAGUGAGGGUUGGAGAGCGAAAACUACCCCAACCCUCAAACCGUUCCAUCGUCGCGCGGGAGGGACUUUUCCCCGUCCCCAACUGCCGCCGCCAUUCCGACCACCGCCGCCGCCCCAUGCUGCCGCCGCGCCCCGCCGCCCCGAGCCGCCGCCGCGCCGUGCCCCACGGCCGCCCGCCGCGAGGCCGGCCCCAGGCCUCCUUGAGCUCUCCUCGCCGCCGCGCCAGAGGCGAGGCGGGCCAGAGGCAGCCGCGCCGCCACGAGCUCUCCUGUUUUUGCCCCUGUUUUUGUUAUAAGGGUUGGGUUUGAGGGUUCUAGUCUUUGCCCCUGUUUUUCAACCCUUAAAAGUGCCAAAAAAUGCAAAUUCUCAACCCUUAAAACUGGUUUGAGGGUUUGAGGGUACUCCUAAAGAUGCUCUCAGAUGAUGCCUCCAACCAUUUCAGGUAAAGACAUCCUUGUCCUUCUGUUCCAUCCACGUACACACGGCUAUAAACAGUUGUUAGUGUUCAGAUCACUGAAGAAUAGACUACAAAGGGACCCAUUGCGUAGACUUCUAGAUAACCUGUAGCAAAGAGAAAUCUGACUUAUAACUAAUUUGUUUUCGAAAAGAAGGAUUACUCCCGGCUAAGCCUGGGCAUACCCCGGGCCGGGCCGGGCCGGGCNNNNNNNNNNNNNNNNNNNNNNNNNNNNNNNNNNNNNNNNNNNNNNNNNNNNNNNNNNNNNNNNNNNNNNNNNNNNNNNNNNNNNNNNNNNNNNNNNNNNCUUCUUUUCUUCUCCUUCCCUUUUUCUUCCUUUCUUCUCCUUUUUCUUCCUUUCUUCUCCUUUUUCUUCUUUUCUUCUCCUUUUUCUUCUUUUCUUCUACUGGCCGGAGUGUUGGGGAGGGGCGGGGGGCUUACCGGCCGGAGGAGGGGGCGGGGGGCUUACUACCCGGAGGUGUCGACGGCGCGCGGCGAGGAGGACGGCGGCGACGGCGAGGAGGACGGCAGGCGGNNNNNNNNNNNNNNNNNNNNNNNNNNNNNNNNNNNNNNNNNNNNNNNNNNNNNNNNNNNNNNNNNNNNNNNNNNNNNNNNNNNNNNNNNNNNNNNNNNNNNNNNNNNNNNNNNNNNNNNNNNNNNNNNNNNNNNNNNNNNNNNNNNNNNNNNNNNNNNNNNNNNNNNNNNNNNNNNNNNNNNNNNNNNNNNNNNNNNNNNNNNNNNNNNNNNNNNNNNNNNNNNNNNNNNNNNNNNNNNNNNNNNNNNNNNNNNNNNNNNNNNNNNNNNNNNNNNNNNNNNNNNNNNNNNNNNNNNNNNNNNNNNNNNNNNNNNNNNNNNNNNNNNNNNNNNNNNNNNNNNNNNNNNNNNNNNNNNNNNNNNNNNNNNNNNNNNNNNNNNNNNNNNNNNNNNNNNNNNNNNNNNNNNNNNNNNNNNNNNNNNNNNNNNNGGGACUAAAGCCCCUCCUCGGCUGCACGAUAAGUUUAGUCCCACCUCGCCGAGCGAGGGGGACAAACACUUGUUUAUAAGCCCCGUCGCAGCUUCUCCAUCGAGCUCCUCUCUAAAGUAGGCUUACGGGCCUAACCUAACUGAAAAUUGAAACUAUAUUCGAAAUUAUGGAGAAAAUUCAACCUGAAUUCAAAGUGAGUUCACUUCGAAUUUAGGUUGAAUUUUCUCUAUAAAUUCUCAUAUAGUUUCAAUUUUUUUCUAUUUUCAAAAUUAAUUAUUUUGACUAUCCAAAUUAUUAUCUAUUUUGUUANNNNNNNNNNNNNNNNNNNNNNNNNNNNNNNNNNNNNNNNNNNNNNNNNNNNNNNNNNNNNNNNNNNNNNNNNNNNNNNNNNNNNNNNNNNNNNNNNNNNNUAAAGACCCCCUUUAGUCCCGGGUCGAGCCACGACUAGGGACUAAAGACCCCUUUUCGUCAGGCGGAGUGGCGGGAAACGAGGUUCUUUAGUCCCGGGUCGUAUCUCGACCCGGGACUAAAGGUGGUAAGUUUUAGUCCCACCUCGCUUGUCAAGAGGCGGUGCAACUAGUUUAUAAGCCCCACCGCCCCGAACCGUCUCGAGCUCUUCUCUAAAGCAGACUUACUGGCCUAAACGCACUCUAAAUUUAAAAAUGAAAAAAUAUAUAUGAAAUUAAAGACAAAAUUCAACCUAAAUUCAAAGUGACUUUGAAUCACUUUGAAUUUGGCUUGAAUUUUCUCUAUAAAUUUUCAUAUAGUUUCAAAUUUUCCAUUAUUUUUGUUUUGUUCUUUGCUUUAUUUAUUUUGUUUUUUUCUACUUACAACUAAAUAUUAAGUUUUCAAAUUUAAAAUUCUUUGAAAUUUGUGAAUACCUUUACUUUCAUUUUUUGCUAUUAAAGAUUAUUUUUUCUCUUCUAUUUUAGUUUACUAUUAAAGAUUUUUACCAGAAAACUUUAUGAAAACUCUUUUGAGCCUAAACGCACUCUGAAUUUAAAAAUUUGAAAUAUAUGUGAAAUUCAAGAUAAAAUUCAACCUAAAUUCAAAGUGAAUCACCUUGAAUUUGGGUUGAGUUUUCUCUAUAAAUUCUCAUAUAGUUUUAAUUUUUUUCCAUUAUUUUUAUUUUGUUCUUUGCUUUAUUUAUUUUGUUUUUUUCUACUUACAGCUAAAUAUUUAGAUUUCAAAUUUUAAUUCUUUUGAGUUGAUCUUUUUAUUGUUUAUUUUUAGUUAAUGUUUUACUUAAAUCUUUUAAACAAAUAAGCACUUUGAUAAUUUUAGUUGAUUAUUUUUAAUUCAUUCAUUUUAUUUAAUGUUUUAGUCGAUUCUUUUUAGUUAACUCUUUUUUUCUAUGAAAUAUUUUAACAAAUUUUUAACAAUUUGUAACUUCAUUUGGUAUUUUUCGUGCAUUUACUUUUUUUUGGCUAGUUGACCCUAAAAUUGAAGAACACUACAAACGAACUCUGAAAAUGUUGAGAGCUCGCAUGCUAUUAUCAUUUCACCCACAUAGCAUGUGCUAAAAAGUUGAGAAGGUUAUGACAAAAACUUGAUGCUCUUCGUGUACGAAAUGGAUAAUCUCUCUCGAAGUAUCAGGGUUUCGAAUGAGAACUCAUCUGUUACAAAGGAAUUUCAUUUUUUGAACUUAUUUGAACNNNNNNNNNNNNNNNNNNNNNNNNNNNNNNNNNNNNNNNNNNNNNNNNNNNNNNNNNNNNNNNNNNNNNNNNNNNNNNNNNNNNNNNNNNNNNNNNNNNNCCAUACUUUUUGUGUGUUCAAAAUGCAUCAUUCAAAGGCACAUCACAAAUUUUCAACAAUUUCUGACUUCAUUUGGUUUUUUUCAUGUAUUUACUUAUUAUUUUUGAGCUAGUUGACCCUGAAAUUGAAUAGCAGUACAAAUAAACUCUGAAAAUGUUGAAAGUUGGCAUGGUAUCAUCAUUUCACCCACAUAGCAUGUGCUAAAAAGUUGAGAGGGUUACGAUAAAAACUGGAUGCACUUCGUGUACAAAACGGACAAUCUCUCUCGAAGUAUGAGAGUUUUGAACGAGAACUAAUCUGUUACAAAGAGAUUUCAUUUUUUGAACUUAUUUAAACUCCAUACUUUUUGUGUGUUCAAAAUGCACCAUUCAAAGGCACAUCACAAAUUUUCAACAAUUUCUGACUUCAUUUGGUAUUUUUCGUGCAUUUACUUAUUUGUUUUUGAGCUAGUUGACCGUGAAAUUAAAAAGCACUACAAAUGAACUCUAAAAAUGUUGAAAGUUGGCAUGGUAUCAUAAUUUCACCCACAUAGCAUGUGCUAAAAAGUUGAGAGGGUUACGACAAAAACUGGAUGCACUUCGUGUACAAAACGGAUAAUCUCUCUCGAAAUAUGAGGGUUUCGAAACUCAUCUCUUACAAAGGGAUGCAUUUUUUUAAACUUAUUUGAACUCCANNNNNNNNNNNNNNNNNNNNNNNNNNNNNNNNNNNNNNNNNNNNNNNNNNNNNNNNNNNNNNNNNNNNNNNNNNNNNNNNNNNNNNNNNNNNNNNNNNNNGGGACGUGAGGACGUUCCACUACAUCAACCGCGUUCACUAACGCUUCUGCUGUACGAUCUACAAGGGUACGUAGAUCACUCAUCCCCUCUCGUAGAUGGACAUCACCAUGAUAGGUCUUCGUGCGCGUAGGAAAAUUUUUGUUUCCCAUGCGACGUUCCCCAAGAGUGGCAUCAUGAGCUAGGUUCAUGCGUAGAUGUCUUCUCGAGUAGAACACAAAAGGUUUUGUGGGCGGUGAUGUGCGUUUUGCUGCCCUCCUUAGUCUUUUCUUGAUUCCGCGAUAUUGUUGGAUUGAAGCGGCUUGGACCGACAUUACUCGUACGCUUACGAGAGACUGGUUUCAUCGUUAGGAGUACCCCCCUUGCUCAAAGAUGACUGGCAAGUGACGGUUUCUCCAACUUUACUUGAAUCGGAUUUGACCGAGGAGGUCCUUGGAUGAGGUUAAAUAGCAACUCAUAGAUCUCCGUUGUGGUGUUUGCGUAAGUAAGAUGCAAUCCUACAAGAUACCUUUGGUCACCACGUAAAACAUGCAACAACAAAAUUAGAGGACGUCUAACUUGUUUUUGCAGGGUAUGAUUGUGAUGUGAUAUGGCCAAUGAUGUGAUGUGAUAUAUUGGAUGUAUGAGAUGAUCAUGUUGUAAUAGAAAUAUCGACUUGCACGUUGAUGGUACGGCAACCGGCAGGAGCCAUAGGGUUGUCUUUAUACUAACGUUUGUGCUUGCAGAUGCGUUUACCAUUUUGCUAGGAUGUAGCUUUAGUAGUAAUAGCAUAACUAGCACGACAAACCCGAUGGCAACACGUUGAUGGAUGAUCAUGGUGUGGCGCUGGUGACAAGAAGAUCGUGCCGGUGCUUAGGUGAUGGAGAUCAAGAAGCACGUGAUGAUGGCCAUAUCAUGUCACUUAUGAAUUGCAUGUGAUGUUAAUCCUUUUAUGCACCUUAUUUUUCUUAGAACGACGGUAGCAUUAUGAGGUGAUCUCUCACUAAAAUUUCAAGACGAAAUUGUGUUCUCCCCGACUGUGCACCGUUGCUACAGUUCGUCAUUUCGAGACACCACGUGAUGAUCGGGUGUGAUAGACUCAACGUUCACAUACAACGGGUGCAAAACAGUUGCGCACGCGGAACACUCGGGUUAAGCUUGACGAGCCUAGCAUGUGUAGACAUGGCCUCGGAACACAUGAGACCGAAAGGUCGAUCAUGAAUCAUAUAGUUGAUAUGAUUAGCAUAGGGAUGCUUACCACUGAAACUACUCUCGACUCACGUGAUGAUCGGACUUGGGAUAGUGUAAGUGGAUCAUGAACCACUCAAAUGACUAGAGAGAUGUACUUUUUGAGUGGGAGUUUAGCAUAUAAUUUGAUUAAGUUGAACUCUAAUUAUCUUGAACAUAGUCUAAGUCCAAUUUGAAUAUAUUUGUGUUGUAGAUCAUGGCUCACCCAAGUGUCAUCCUGAAUUUUAAUACGUUCCUAGAGAAAGCUAAGUUGAAAGAUGAUGGAAGCAACUUUGUAGACUGGGCUCGUAAUCUUAAGCUAAUCUUACAAGCUGGAAAGAAGGAUUAUGUCCUUAAUGCUGCGCUAGGAGAUGAACCACCCGCUACGGCUGAUCAGGAUGUUAAGAACGCUUGGUUAGCGCGUAAGGAGGACUACUCAAUAGUUCAAUGUGCAGUCUUGUAUGGCUUAGAACCGGGACUUCAACGUCGCUUUGAGCGUCAUGGAGCAUUUGAGAUGUUCCAGGAGUUUAAAUUUAUCUUUCAGAAGAACGCCCGGAUCGAGAGGUAUGAGACCUCCGAUAAAUUCUAUGCUUGCAAGAUGGAGGAAAACUCGUCUGUCAGUGAACAUGUGCUCAAAAUGUCUGGGUACUCAAACCGUCUAGCUGAACUGGGGAUUGAACUCCCGCAAGAAGCUAUCACUGACAGAAUCCUUCAAUCACUGCCGCCAAGCUAUAAAGGCUUUGUGUUGAACUACAACAUGCAAGGGAUGAACAAGUCUCCCGGCGAGUUGUUUGCGAUGCUGAAAGUCGCAGAGUCUGAACUCCGUAAAGAGCAUCAAGUGUUGAUGGUGAGCAAGACCACUAGUUUCAAGAGAAACGGCAAAGGCAAUAAGGGCAAUUCGAAGAAGAGCGGCAAGCCUGUUGCCAAUCCGCCAAAGAAACCCAAGGCUGGACCUAAGCCUGAAACAGAGUGCUUCUAUUGCAAGGGUAUGGGUCACUGGAAGCGCAAUUGCCCCAAGUAUCUGGCAGAUAAGAAGGCGGGCAAAGAAAAAUCAGGUAUAUUUGAUAUACAUGUUAUUGAUGUGUACUUAACCGGCUCUCGUAGUAGUGCCUGGGUAUUCGAUACCGGUUCUGUUGCUCACAUUUGCAACUCGAAGCAGGAACUGCGGAAUAGACGAAGGCUGGCGAAAGACGAAGUGACGAUGCGCGUAGGAAAUGGUUCCAAGGUUGAUGCAAUCGCCGUCGGCACAGUGUCACUUCAACUACCAUCGGGAUUAGUGAUGAACUUAAAUCAUUGUUAUUUAGUGCCUGCGUUGAGCAUGAACAUUAUAUCUGGAUCUUGUUUAUUGCGAGACGGUUACUCUUUUAAGUCUGAGAAUAAUGGUUGUUCUAUUUCUAUGAGUAACAUCUUUUAUGGUCAUGCACCGAAUGUGAGAGGAUUGUUCAUAUUGAAUCUCGAUAGCGAUACGCAUAUACAUAACAUUGAGACCAAAAGACUUAGAGUAAACAAUGAUAGCGCCAUAUUUUUGUGGCACUGCCGCUUGGGUCAUAUUGGUGUAAAGCGCAUGAAGAAACUCCAUGCUGAUGGACUUUUGGAGUCACUUGACUUUGAUUCACUUGACACGUGCGAACCAUGCCUCAUGGGCAAGAUGACUAAGACUCCGUUCUCCGGAACAAUGGAGCGUGCAAGUGACUUGUUGGAAAUCAUACAUACCGAUGUGUGUGGUCCGAUGAGCGUGGAGGCACGCGGCGGAUAUCGUUAUUUUCUCACCUUCACUGACGAUUUAAGUAGAUAUGGUUAUGUCUACUUGAUGAAGCACAAGUCUGAAACAUUUGAAAAGUUCAAGCAAUUUCAGAGUGAAGUGGAAAAUCAUCGUAACAAGAAGAUCAAGUUCCUACGGUCUGAUCGUGGGGGUGAAUAUCUGAGUUUCGAGUUUGGUACUCACUUAAGACAAUGUGGAAUUGUUUCGCAGUUAACACCGCCUGGAACACCACAGCGUAAUGGUGUGUCCGAACGUCGUAAUCGUACUUUGUUAGAGAUGGUGCGAUCUAUGAUGUCUCUUACUGAUUUGCCGUUAUCAUUUUGGGGUUAUGCAUUAGAAACAGCUGCAUUCACUUUAAAUAGGGCACCAUCAAAAUCCGUUGAGACGACACCAUACGAACUGUGGUAUGGCAAAAGACCAAAGUUGUCGUUUCUUAAAGUUUGGGGAUGUGAUGCUUAUGUCAAAAAGCUUCAGCCUGAAAAGCUGGAACCCAAAGCAGAAAAGUGCGUCUUCAUAGGUUACCCAAAAGAGACAGUUGGGUACACCUUCUAUCUCAAAUCCGAGGGCAAAGUGUUUGUUGCUAAGAACGGAACUUUUCUCGAGAAGGAGUUUCUCUCGAGAGAAUUGAGUGGGAGGAAGAUAGAACUUGACGAGGUUGUCGAACCUCUCAUCCCUCUGGAUGGUGGCACAGGGCAAGGGGAAACCUCUGUCGUUGCGUCGCCGGUUGAGGAGGAAGUUAAUGAUGAUGAUCAUGAAACUCUAGUUCAAGUUUCUGUUGAACCACACAGGUCGACGAGAUCACGCGCUGCUCUAGAGUGGUACGGUAAUCCCGUCUUAUCAAUCAUGUUGUUAGACAACAAUGAACCUGCAAAUUAUGAAGAAGCAAUGGUGGGCCUAGAUUCCAACAAAUGGCUAGAAGCCAUGAAAUCCGAGAUAGGAUCCAUGUAUGAGAACAAAGUGUGGACUUUGGAGAUACUACCUGAGGGCCGCAAGGCUAUUCAGAACAAAUGGAUUUUUAAGAAGAAGACGGACGCUGACAGUAAUGUGACCAUUUAUAAAGCUCGACUUGUGGCAAAGGGUUUUUCACAAGUUCCAGGAGUUGACUACGAUGAGACCUUCUCACCCGUAGCGAUGCUUAAAUCUGUCAGAAUCAUGUUAGCAAUAGCUGCAUUUUUCGAUUAUGAAAUCUGGCAGAUGGAUGUCAAAACGGCGUUCCUUAACGGUUUCCUUAAGGAAGAGUUGUAUAUGAUGCAACCCGAAGGUUUUGUCGAUCCUAAAAAUGCUGACAAGGUGUGCAAGCUCCAGCGAUCCAUUUAUGGACUGGUGCAAGCAUCUCGGAGUUGGAACAAACGCUUUGAUGAGGUGAUCAAAGCAUUUGGGUUUAUACAAGUGGUUGGAGAAUCUUGUAUUUACAAGAAAGUGAGUGGGAGCUCUGUGGCGUUUCUAAUAUUAUAUGUGGAUGACAUAUUACUGAUUGGAAACAACGUAGAGCUUUUGGAGAGCAUAAAAGGUUACUUAAAUAAAAGUUUCUCUAUGAAGGACCUAGGAGAAGCUGCUUACAUUCUAGGCAUUAAGAUCUAUAGGGAUAGAUCAAAACGCCUGAUACGACUUUCACAAAGCACAUACCUUGAUAAAGUUUUGAAGAGGUUCAAAAUGGAACAGUCCAAGAAAGGGUUCUUGCCAGUGUUACAAGGUACGAGAUUGAGUAAGACUCAGUGCCCAGCAACUGAUGAAGAUAGAGAGCAUAUGCGCUCCGUCCCCUAUGCUUCAGCCAUAGGUUCUAUCAUGUAUGCGAUGUUGUGCACUAGACCGGAUGUUAGCCUGGCCAUAAGUAUGGCAGGCAGGUUCCAGAGUAAUCCAGGAGUGGAUCACUGGACAUCGGUCAAGAAUAUCCUGAAGUACCUGAAAAGGACUAAGGAGAUGUUUCUCGUGUAUGGAGGUGAUGAAGAGCUCGCCGUAAAAGGUUACGUCGAUGCAAGCUUUGACACAGAUCCGGAUGACUCUAAGUCGCAAACCGGAUACGUAUUUAUUCUUAAUGGGGGUGCAGUAAGCUGGUGCAGUUCCAAGCAAAGCGUCGUAGCAGAUUCUACAUGUGAAGCGGAGUACAUGGCUGCCUCGGAGGCGGCUAAGGAGGGUGUCUGGAUGAAGCAGUUCAUGACGGAUCUUGGAGUGGUGCCAAGUGCACUGGAUCCAAUAACCUUGUUCUGUGACAACACUGGUGCCAUUGCCUUAGCAAAGGAACCAAGGUUUCACAAGAAGACCAGACACAUCAAACGACGCUUCAACCUCAUUCGCGACUACGUCGAGGAGGAGGACGUAAAUAUAUGCAAAGUGCACACGGAUCUGAAUGUAGCAGACCCGCUGACUAAACCUCCUCCACGGCCAAAACAUAAUCGACACCAGAACUGUAUUGGUGUUAGAUUUAUUACAAUGUAAUUCACAUGAUAAUGUGAGGGCUAGAUUAUUGACUCUAAUGCAAGUGGGAGACUGUUGGAAUUAAGCCCUAGAGGCAAUAAUAAAUGUAUAAUUAUUAUUAUAAUUCCUGUAUCAAGAUAAUAGUUUAUUAUCCAUGCUAUAAUUGUAUUGAAUGAAGACUCAUUUACAUGUGUGGAUACAUAGACAAAACACCGUCCCUAGCAUGCCUCUAGUUGGCUAGCCAGUUGAUCGAUGAUAGUCAGUGUCUUCUGAUUAUGAACAAGGUGUUGUUGCUUGAUAACUGGAUCACGUCAUUGGGGGAAUCACGUGAUGGACUAGACCCAAACUAAUAGACGUAGCAUGUUGAUCGUGUCAUUUUGUUGCUACUGUUUUCAGCGUGUCAAGUAUUUAUNNNNNNNNNNNNNNNNNNNNNNNNNNNNNNNNNNNNNNNNNNNNNNNNNNNNNNNNNNNNNNNNNNNNNNNNNNNNNNNNNNNNNNNNNNNNNNNNNNNNCCUCACGUCCCUCGAUCCGCCCCGCGAACAAUCCCGCGAUCAGUCCCACGAUCUAGUACCGAACGGACGGCACCUCCGCGUUCAGCACACGUACAGCUCGACGAUGAUCUCGACCUUCUUGAUCCAGCAAGAGAGACGGAGAGGUAGAAGAGUUCUCUGGCAGCGUGACGGUGCUCCGGAGGUUGGUGAUGAUCUCGUCUCAGCAGGGCUCCGCCCGAGCUCCGCAGAAACGCGAUCUAGAGGAAAAACUAUGGAGGUAUGUGGUCGGGCAGCCGUGAGAAAGUCGUCUCAAAUCUGCCCUAAAAGCCCCAUAUAUAUAGGAGGAGGGAGGGGAACCUUGCCUUGGGGUCCAAGGGACCCUCAAGGGGUCGGCCGAGCCAAGGGGGGGAGGACUCCCCCCCCAAACCGAGUUGGACUUGGUUUGGUGGGAGGAGUCCCCCUCCCUUCCCACUUCUUCCCUCUUUUUUUCUUUUCCUUUGAUUUCCUUUCCUUGGCGCAUAGGCCCCCUUGGGACUGUCCCACCAGCCCACUAAGGGCUGGUGUGUCUCCCCAAAGCCUAUGGGCUUCCCCGGGGUGGGUUGCCCCCCCCGCUGAACUCCCGGAACCCAUUCGUCAUUCCCGGUACAUUCAUGGUAACUCCGAAAACCUUCCGGUAAUCAAAUGAGGUCAUCCUAUAUAUCAUUCUUCGUUUCCGGACCAUUCCGGAAACCCUCGUGACGUCCGUGAUCUCAUCCGGGACUCCUAACAACAUUCGGUAACCAACCAUAUAACUCAAAUACACAUAAAACAACGUCGAACCUUAAGUGUGCAGACCCUGCGGGUUCGAGAACUAUGUAGACAUGACCCGAGAGACUCCUCGGUCAAUAUCCAAUAGCGGGACCUGGAUGCCCAUAUUGGAUCCUACAUAUUCUACGAAGAUCUUUAUCGUUUGAACCUUAGUGCCAAGGAUUCGUAUAAUCCCGUAUGUCAUUCCCUUUGUCCUUCGGUAUGUUACUUGCCCGAGAUUCGAUCGUCAGUAUCCGUAUACCUAUUUCAAUCUCGUUUACCGGCAAGUCUCUUUACUCGUUCCGUAAUACAAGAUCCCGCAACUUACACUAAGUUACAUUGCUUGCAAGGCUUGUGUGUGAUGUUGUAUUACCGAGUGGGCCCCGAGAUACCUCUCCGUCACACGGAGUGACAAAUCCCAGUCUUGAUCCAUACUAACUCAAUUAACACCUUCGGAGAUACCUGUAGAGCAUCUUUAUAGUCACCCAGUUACGUUGCAACUUUUGAUACACACAAAGCAUUCCUCCGGUGUCAGUGAGUUAUAUGAUCUCAUGGUCAUAGGAAUAAAUACUUGACACGCNNNNNNNNNNNNNNNNNNNNNNNNNNNNNNNNNNNNNNNNNNNNNNNNNNNNNNNNNNNNNNNNNNNNNNNNNNNNNNNNNNNNNNNNNNNNNNNNNNNNUCAUGUAUUUACUUAUUUUUUAGAGCUAGUUGACCCUGAAAUUGAAAAGCACUACAAAUGAACUCUGAAAAAAUGUUGAAAGUUGGCAAGGUAUCAUCAUUUCAUCCACAUAGCAUGUUCUAAAAAGUUGAGAGGGUUACGACAAAAAUUGGAUGCACUUCGUGUACAAAACGGACAAUCUCUCUCGAAGAAUGAGGGUUUCGAACGAAAACUCAUGUGUUACAAAGCGAUUUCAUUUUUGGAACUUCAUAUUUUUUUGUGUUCAAAAUGCACCAUUCAAAGGCACAUCACAAAUUUUCAACAAUUUAUGACUUCAUUUGGCAUUUUACAUGCAUUUACUUUUUUUGAGCUAGUUGACCCAGAAAUUGAAAAGCAGUACAAAUGAGCUAUGAAAAUGUUGAAAGUUGGCAUGGUAUAUUUAUUUCAACCACAUAACAUGUGGUAAAAAGUUGAGAGGGUUACGACAAAAACUGGAUGCACUUCAUGUACAAAACGGACAAUCUCUCUCGAAGUAUGAGGGUUUCGAACGAGAACUCAUCUAUUACAAAAGGAAUUUCAUUUUUUUGAACUUAUUUGAACUCCAUACUUUUUGUGUCUUCAAAAUGCAUCAUUCAAAGGCACAUCACAAAUUUUCAACAAUUUCUGAUUUCAUUUGGUAAUUUUCAUGCAUUUACUUUUUUUUGAGCUAGUUGACCCUGAAAUUGAAAAGAUCAACAAAUGAACUCUGAAAAUGUUGAAAGUUGGCAUGGUAUCAUAAUUUCAUCCACACAACAUGUGCUAAAAAGUUGAGAGGGUUACGAGAAAAACUGGUUGCACUUCGUGUACAAAACGGAUAAUUUCUCUCAAAGUAUGAGGGUUUCGAAAGAGAACUAAUCUGUUACAAAGGGAUUUCAUUUUCUUGAACUUAUUUAAACUCCAUACUUUUUGUGUGUUCAAAAUGCACCAUUCAAAGGCACAUCAUAAAUUUUCGACUAUUUCUGUUUCAUGUAUUUACUUANNNNNNNNNNNNNNNNNNNNNNNNNNNNNNNNNNNNNNNNNNNNNNNNNNNNNNNNNNNNNNNNNNNNNNNNNNNNNNNNNNNNNNNNNNNNNNNNNNNNGGACAAUGACAAGUGCCAGUUGUGCGGGAUGCAAGAUUCAUGGAGACACUCGCUUAUAGCAUGCUCGGUUGCAAGGUGUGUUUGGGCUCUCGAGGAUGAAGAUAUAGCAGAUUACAUUCAGAAAGCUACAGAUCCUAGAACAAAGCAGUGGUUUUUUGCAACAAUAGAGGAUUUGUCUCAUGCUAGGCUGAUCAAGCUAUCCACGAAGAAAUUUUGCAGAGCCCUCAUGCAACUAAUGCUUUUUUAACAAACUAUAUUGUUGAACUUGCAAGCAUCAAAGAAAAGAAGACACGAGGAACUUGUUCUACCAUGGGUGCCCCCAGGAUUAGGCCGACCCGGUGGAUUGCUCCUGCCCAGGGAGUAGUAAAGAUUCAGGUUGAUGGGGGUAUCUCCAGGAAUGGCACCAAGGGUGCAACGGCAACCAUUUGUCGUUAUCAGAAGGGACUUUUCCUGUGUUCUUCAGCACUGGUUUUCACUGGAGUCAUGGAUCCACCAACUCUUGAAGUUCUCUCGUGUUGGGAAGCUAUGGCUUUAGCGUUUGAUCUGUCCUUGAAUCAAGUUGUUAUUGCUUGUGACUAUGAAGUAGUUAUUAAAGACAUCAAGUCUGGCACAGAGGGAAGAUAUACUUCCAUCAGCAAGGAGAUAAAAAAUGCUGCUCUUAAUUUUACCAAGUGUGAGUUUAUUUUCGAAGGCGAGAAAGGAAUGUUGAUGCCCAUAAUGUAGCUAAAUUUGCUUUUACUUUAGAUGAUGGGCGCCACCUGUGGCCGAGUUCAUCCCAUGACCCUUUUGUCAUACCUGUAAACCGUUCCCCUAAUCAAUAAAGGCUGGUUUACCACUCAAAAAAAAGCUGAUUGUUGCCCUUACGGAGGACCUCUCACUUCAGAAUAUUGUGGUGGCAUGCGAUGGCAAAGUAGUAGUUGAUGACAUACACGGAGGAGAGGGUGGAUCUUAUGUGACAGUCAUUAAGGAGAUUUCCAUGCGCAGAUCUUUUUUCAAUAUUCGUAAGUUUAUUUCUGAGGGUAGAGCAUCGAAUAGCGAUGCACACAAUCUUACUAAGCACUCGUUAUUACUUGAUCGGGGUCGUCACUUGUGGCUCAUUCAUGCCACGACCCUUCUUGUAUCCCUCUUUGUGUCCAAACAGAUCAAUUAAGUUUUGGCAUUUCUCAAAAAAAAAAAAAGAACUUGCCAUAUAAUUUUCCUCAGAUUUUGAGUCGAAUAAGCUAGCCAGCCAGCUUAGCAAAGUUCAAUUGCCCUUCUGUUUGAUUGGAUGAGACCCAUGAUGGCAUUAUCUCUCUGCUUGUUCAUGAUGUGACUUUGAUCACCAAUGAAUAAGAGGGGGUGUGAUUUAACAAAAGACACAAAAAAACUCCGUUCUUUUAGAGAAAACGGCAAAACUCAAGAAGGACCUUAUUGUUUGGGACAUUCAUAAGAGGUAAGCAGCAAAGGCAAAUUAAGAUUGUAGUAUUUGGUACCAUACAACGCGAGGACUGGAAAGAAAGACUUCAUUAUAGUAGUUUUGUUCACAAAAACUAUAUGGCCAACGUUCAGAUUUUAACCUUGCUACUCGAGCACUUCGAGAGUAACUCACUGGUGGAGCUAUUGCAAUGCCAAAUGUGUCAUGUGCUGCAUUUUACAAUUUGUACACUGAUUUUUUCACUUCUCGGUCUUGAAACAUCCGCUCACUGACUAUUUUCUUCGAGUGCGAGAGAGAAAACUUCCCACCCUCGCGUCGCCCCGCUUGGGCGACUCGGAGGCGACAACCCUAGGUCGUCGUCGGGCGCCCCUUCCCGAUGCUCCUCGCUGCCGUGGGGAGUCCUGGACCUGAGCGGCGGCUCCUCUGGUGAGGCUUCGUCGGAUCUGCGGCCUCCGGCGGUGCGGCCGACGGAUUCGGGGUCCCUGUCACUUGGGUGGUGGGAUCUUGGUGGAGGAGGUGAGCGGCUGGUUGCUGCUUUGGCGGCCAGCGACACAAGAUCCCUGGCGUUCCCCUCCCUUGAUUGGCGUGCGGGCACCUCUGGCCAGGUGGUGCCUUUUAUGGUCGCCGUUACCUGAAGAGGGGGUGGCUUGUGGGGUUGGGGCGGCCCUGGCGUAAUCCAUGGCCGGCUUGGCCGGCCGCGCCAACGGCGAUGCGUGCGGGCAUCGUGCCCCUUCCUGGAGGCGUUGGUAUGGACUGCCCCCUCCACUUCCCCUUCCUCUAGGUCUCCGGGUCGAAAGCCCUAACUUUGUUGGGCGGCGACGACGCUUGCAGUGUCGUUCCCUUCUUGAAGGCGUCGCCUUUGGAGCCUUGUAGUUGGGGGCGCUUGUGGUUGGUUGGUGGCACCGGCAGUGUGGCCCUCUUCGUCCUGGUAUGAUGCUCCCCCUCUUCCAGUGCUGGAUGUGUGCAGCGGCCUUGUUCUGCGCAAGAAGAGUCUCCGGUGACUCGUGGGGAUGCGUUGACCCUCUCUAUGUGACCAUCUCCGGCGGCGUCCACCACACCUGUCGACGGUGCGGCGCCUUCGAUCCAGGCGAGGAGGUUGUGGCCUCCUUCGAAGUUGGGUGUUGGAUGCGAUGUGUCGGGGUCCGUAGGUGCAUGGCGACGGCAUGCCAUGCUGAUGUCGGUCCCUCUCUCCUUUGUUCCUGCACGAUCUUGCUUCUGGUGCUAUAUUCUCGGUCGAGGACCUCGGCAUCUUCGGCUUCACCCUUCACUGCUUAUCUUCAGUUGCCGUGGUGUAUGAGGCUUAGUUUCAUGUUGUCCGUCGUUUUUGUAUCUUUCGCCAUGUAUUUUCUUCUUUUUGCUUGAGGGCGUGUGCUUGUAAUCCUGCACGAUUGAUGGCUUUGUUAAUUCAAAGUCGGGCUAGGCUCGAGCCUCAUCUCGGUCUCGGUUGAUGUCUUUUUUAAAAAAAAAACAUAUUUUCUUCGGUUAUGCUUCAGUAUUCUUUUGUUUUUUCUUUGUUUUCUUUCUGUUUCUUUCUCGGCUCAUCACUUGGUUUUCCCCUGUACGUUGGUGGGUUAUUUCCCCAUAUUUUCCUUUUUUUUCAUCAUACAUCAACUUAUCAGUUGAUUUUUUUUCUCCCACGAAGAGUUCUCCUGUUGUAUGUGGGUGGUUAGUCCUUACAACAAAUAUAGCUUGGCAAAGUUACCAAGUUAUAGGUUUCUUCACAAGUAAAAAACGCUGAUGUAUAACUACGUACGUGAAACAUAUUAUAUUAUUAUUAUUAUUAUUACUACUUCAAAUAACAAACAAAUGUAACACACACGUGAAGAAGUCAACUACAUGCUACAUCAAUUUAUUCGGUAACAAACAGAGGAUUAUUUUCUUCCAAAACGGAUGAUGGAGAGAGUUGCCGACGGCAGAGGCUCCCUACUUGAACCUGGCCUUGACGGCGUCGAUGUCUUCGUUAUCAACCCGGAAGGCCUUGGCCAGCACGUCGGUCGGCACCGGCGGUGAGGCAGCCAAGAGCGUGGUGGCGAUGGCUUGGGUGCCCUGAAGCUGGCUGUUGAAGGCGGCGAUGACGGAGGCGGGGCCAUGUCCCCUGUUCUGCUGGAAGUGCACGAGCCCGCGCGGGAAGACGAACACCUCACCGACGGUGACGAACCUAGUGAAGAGCUUGUUGGCGGUGGUGAUGAAGCCCACCUCGAGGGUUCCCUGGGUGACGAAGAUGAUCUCGGUGGCGCGUGGGUGGGUGUGCGGCGGGUUCUGCCCUCCGACCGCGUAGUCGAUGCGCGCCAUGGACACGCCGAGCGUGUUCACCCCGGGGAAUGACUGCACGUUCGCCGCCGUGACGACCGACCCCGCCGGGUUGUUGGUGUUGCCGGCCUUCUUGAGACCGGCGAAGAAGAAGUCGUCCGCCGUGAUGUUCGCCUUGCACGGGAAGCCGUUGAUCUUGAUCGCUGCCGCAAACCAUGCAUUUGGACCAACACGCAGCGUCAGCAAAAGUCAGCGCACGGGAUGCAAGAGCGAGGUUGACAAACUACGAUGAACACAUAAUUUUGCAGGAUGACUCACGGGAUGCCAGGUCGGCGACGCAGACGUCCUGGAGCAUGUCGGGGUCGCCGGCGAGGGAGGGAGCGGCGAGCGCGAGGAGGAUGGCGCAGGCCGCUAGGACGGAAAGCUGAAGCCUGGCCAUGGUGAAUUCGUCAAUGCUUGCUUGCUAUCAGCUUGGUGGUAUAGCUUGGGUCUGGAAAUAGCAGAGGUAGGAGGUGGUACUUGUAGGCAAGGUGGUUCGCGUGUGGAACUACGGAUAGUAUCGCCAUUAUUCAAGGAGGGGUGGCUGCGACGAGGCGACAUGGCCGGAUGGGAGGGGCAUCCAAUUCCAUUAAUUUGGAGCCAAUUCAAUGGGGCUAUACUACUACUACUUGUUUAUGCGCUCCUUGCAGGCUACCAUGUGCCUUCUACACAUGCAUUUCUGAUCAGAUCCACGCUUCAUCCAUUACUAACACUAGGCGUAGGUAAAAUUGAUAAAUUUGAUUCAAAAGCCAAAGAAUUCCAUAAACCGUACCUAAAUAUAAGUCUUUUAAGAUAUUUCACUAGGUAUCUACAUACGAAGCAAAAUGAAUGAAUCUAUACUCUAAAAUAUGUUUAUAUACAUACGUAUGUAGUUCACUAGUUGAACCUCUAUAAAGACUUAUAUUUAGGAAGGGAGGGAGUACGUUUGAAAAAAUUUCACCCAGCCGACCCUUUUGUGUGACGUCUUUAUCUUAAACGUCACACUACACUGUGUGACGUCCGACACUACGUUGUGUGACGUCUGAGACCUAGUGUGACGCCUAAGACAUAAACGUCACACUACACUGUAUGACGUCACACGGUGUAGUGUGGCACCUGACUGUCGGACGCCACAUAAAAGGAUCAGCUGAGUGAAAAAAUUUCAAACAUAGUUUAGUUUGUGAAAUCCUUUAGGUCCUAGGUUAAAUUUAUCAAUUUUGCCCUAGGCGUAUGAUGCGUAUCCUCUCGGAAACUACACCCCUGUUUCGUGGGUAUGGAUCGCCAGGAACAAUGCAGGAUAGCACAUGCGACGGGUGGCAUAUCGAGUAGUUGCACAUGCUAGUUCGUACCGUUGGAUCUCAUACUCCUUCCUGAUUGAUGGCGAGUUGAGUUUCUGCUUCUGGGCGGUUGACCAGUGGAUAUAUUACCCCUUCCUGAUUGAUGGCAAGCCAAGCUAUCUCGGCCAGUAACCAAUUCCACUUGCGUCAGAGAGGAGCCAUUCUGGUCAAGGUCGUCAAUAACUCCAUCCUGAUUUUGCUACAGGCAAGGAGGAGGAGGAGGAUAACUUUUCAUGACUACUUCCUCCGUUUGUAAAUACUGGUCGUAGACAUGGAUGUAUCUAUAUGUAUUUCAAUUUUAAAUACACUCAUUUGUAUUUAAUUUUCAUGGUAAGUAAUUCCGAACGAAGGGAGUAUUUUGCUGGCGAGGCUGAGCUGGAACAGCCCUCCUACAGGGUAGAUUUGAUGUAUAGAAGUACGAAUUGGCGCUGGAAAUCAGGGUGCCCAACACCAUGCCCCAUAUGAGACUUUUUGUUUCUUGUGGGAAUAUUUUUAUCCGGGCUAAACCGAGCACUCAGCCACUGUCCAUAUUCAAAUAUAGCGGACGAAGCAGCAAGGGCGAGGGGACACUUAUGCCAAAGAAUCAGAUGCGGUCCCUCGUGGUUAGUCGUCACAGAGUAAAUCCGUAGCUGUCCGGCCGUCUCUACCACCGACGGCUUGCGUAUUUUUUUUCUUCUAUGAAUAGAUAAUAGAGAAAGUACUACUACAAGGUAAGGUACAACACACUACAUGAUGUUUGCUUACCACCAAAAGGAUACUCCUAGAGGCCAAGUGUGAAACUCUAGAAGUUUUCAAUGUGGUGUAUGAUGAUUUUACCGUCGAAUUUGAAGUGAGGUCAAAAGUUGAUGGUUUUCGAUGGGUGCUUGUGGCAGUUUAUGGAGCAGCUCAACAGGAGCUCAAGAAACUGAAUUUCUUUCAGAUCUUGUGAGGAUCAGUGGAAACGAAGGGCUGCCAAUUUUAGUUAGAGGAGAUUUCAAUAUCAUUCGGAGAAGAGAAAAAUAAUGAUGAUUUUCAUGCUAGAUGGUCAUACAUGUUUAACAUGAUUAUUGAGAGUCUUGACUUACGGAAAAAUGAACUCACCGGUAGACAAUUUACAUGCGCGAAUUCACUACCCAUCACGACGUAUGAGAAGCAAGAUCGGUGAGUGUUGAGUGGGAACAGACGUUUCCUCUUGUGACGGUCCAGGCUCUGCAGAGAGCAGUUUCGGAUCACACUUCACUCCUCGUCGACUCAGGGUAGGCGACACAUGUGGGCAAUAAAAGUGUCUUCUCUAUUGAAUUAGGAUGGUUCGAGAGAGAGGUAUUUUUGGACCUAAUAGCUAAUGAAUGGGCUAAAGAGACUGGAGGGACAUCUAGCAUGGAUAGAUGGCAAAAUAAAGUCAGGCAUUUACGCUAGUCCUUGAGGGGCUCGGCCAAAAAUCAAAGUGGGAUUUACAGAGUAUAAAAAGAAAGACUUAUUCAUCUUAUCAAAGAGUUAGAUCUGAAAGCUGAAGCAUCAGUUCUUAAUAGCUAUGAUCGGAGUAUUAAGUACGAGGCUGGGGAGAAGCUUCGUGCUUUAUUCAGAGAGGAAGAGAUUAAAUGGACACUGAGAGCUAAGGUGUCUACGGCCAUCCAAGGGUAUGACAACACACAAUUCUUCCACAUGAUCGCUAAAGGAAAGCGAAGAAAGAAGAAAAUAAUUCAACUCAAACAAGAUGAUGGUACAAUUGUAGAGCAUGAAAACCUGAAAUUGUAUAUCUCUGAAUAUUAUAAAAAACUGUUCAGAGCUCCCGAAGCUAACUCUAUAUCCCUAGAUGAAAGUGUAACAGAGGACAUUCCUCAACUCAAUAUAAAGAGAAUGGGAUGCUUUCGUCUCUGUUUACCGAGAAAGAGGUGUUUGACGCAAUCAUCCAACUGAAAACAGAACAAGGCUCCAGGACCGGAUGGGUUUCCAGCGGAGUUUUAUAAGAUGUGUUGGCAUGUCAUCAAACAUGAUGUUAUGCCCAUGUUCCAUUAUUUAUUCAAUGGGCAAUUAAAAUUAUUCCACCUAAACUUUGGGGCAAUUACAUUGUUACCAAAGGAGGGGGUUGUAUGCAUUAAGCAGUUCAGGCCGACUUGUUUGCUUAAUGUGUGUUUCAAUUGUUUUUACCAAGGUGGUAACAAAUAUGUUGACGCAGAUAGCCCAUUCGGUUGUACAACAGUCUCAUACAAGUUUCAUGCUAGAUAGGCACAUCCUAGAAGGGGUUGUGGUACUACAUGAAAAACUUCAUCAAAUUCACACCAAGAAACUCGAUGGAGUCAUCUUUAAGGUGGAUUUUGAGAAAGCCUAUGACAAAGUCAAAUGGCCUUUUCUCCAACAAGCUUACGUAUGAAGGGAUUCAAUGAAGCAUGUAGGAAACAGGUUGAUUCAUUUGUUCAGAAAGGUAGUGUUGGGAUAAAGAUGAAUGAUGACAUGGGUCAUUACUUUCAAACUCAUAAAGGUUUAACCCAGGGAGAUUCGAUGUCCCCCAUCUUAUUCAACAUAGUGGCUGAUAUAUUAACAUUUCUCAUAGGACGAGCUAAAGAGAACGAUAUAAUAGGAGGACUAGUACCACAUAUUGUGGAUGGAGUGGUUUCCAUCUUACAAUAUGCGGACGGUACGAUUAUUUUCAUGGAGCAUGACUUCGCAAAAGCUAGAAACAUGAAGUUGGUUCACUGUCAGUUUGAACAAUUAUCGGGACUCAGGAUAAGUUUUCAAAAGAGCGAAUUGUUCUGUUUUGGCCGAGCCAAGGAAGAACAAGAUGCUUACAGAAAACUAUUCGAUUGUGAGAUGGACUCCAUGCCGUUUAGUUAUUCGGGUAUACCUAUUCAUCACCGUAAGCUUACCAACAAGGAAUGAAAGUGCAUAGAAGACCGGUUUGAAAAACGACUAAGCUGCUGGAAAGGAAAGCUUAUGUCUUAUGAAGGUCGGCUAGUGUUAAUAAAUUAUGCGUUGACAAGUUUGUCGAUGUUUCUAUUACCAUUCUUCGAAGUACUAGUAGGGGUAGCGAAAAGACUUGACUUCUAUAGAUCUAGAUUAUUUUUGGCAAAAUGAUGAAAGUAAGACGAAAUAUAGACUGGCUAAAUGACACAUGAUGUGUAGACGCAAAGAUCAGGGUGGAUUAGGAAUUGAAAAUUUACAAACUAAAAAUAGAUGUCUUUUCAGCAAAUGGGUGUACAGACUCUCUGUGGAGGCAAAAGGUACGUGAAUACAAAUUUUGCGUAAUAAGUACCUACAAACAAAGUCCCUGGCUCAAGUUACAGUGAAACAUUCGGACUCACAAUUCUGGAAAGGCUUAAUGAGGACAAAAGAAGCUUUUUUCAUAGAGUCAAGUUUCACAUUGAGAAUGGUAACAAAAGCAGGUUUUGGAAAGAUGCGUGGUUAGGGGAGAUGCCCCUGGCUACACAAUAUCCAUUUUUAUAUAACAUCGUGGAACGCAAAGAGGCCUAUGUGGCUACAAUUUUGCAGACUGUCCGUAUGAAUAUUCAAUAUAGGAGAUCUCUGGUAGGGGAACGAUAGAGUGCGUGGCUCCACUUGGUACAUAGAUUGAUGGAAGUUCAACUUCCGGACCAACCAGACACAAUUCAUUGGAAAUUAACUACAAGCAGUAGUUCCUUCGACAAAUCAAUGUAUCUAGACCUUAUUAAUAACGGGCCAAUACCUACUUCUCCAUACAUUUGUAAAAUAAAAAUACCGCUUAAGAUUAAGAUCUUUAUGUGGUUUGUUCACAGAGGAGUGAUACUUACAAAAGAUAAUUUGAUUAAGCGAAGAUGGGUGGGUAAUUCUAGAUGUUGUUUUUGUGAUCUGUCGUGGGUAUAAGUCUGACAGUAGAUGUGUAGGGUACGAAAGGAUGGGCAGAGCCUUAGCUACGGCGAGGUUGUAUGAGUUCAGGCCCCUCUACGGUGGAGGUAAUAGCCCUACGUCUCAGUGCUCUGGGAGCNNNNNNNNNNNNNNNNNNNNNNNNNNNNNNNNNNNNNNNNNNNNNNNNNNNNNNNNNNNNNNNNNNNNNNNNNNNNNNNNNNNNNNNNNNNNNNNNNNNNNNNNNNNNNNNNNNNNNNNNNNNNNNNNNNNNNNNNNNNNNNNNNNNNNNNNNNNNNNNNNNNNNNNNNNNNNNNNNNNNNNNNNNNNNNNNNNNNNNNNNNNNNNNNNNNNNNNNNNNNNNNNNNNNNCCCUCCACAACGGUUCGGUGCACAGGGGUGGAGUAGUGGCGAAUAAAUGCCUACGUUACAGGUAACGUAUGUCUUGAAUGCUAAUAAAGGCACAUGGAAACGUACAACCAUUUCCCUCUAGGGGGGUUACGAUGCACAGAGUGGAAUCCAGUCGGUUAAUUUGUUACACUCCGAAUGCUCAUCUCCGACUGGAUGGUGGAGGAUUUGUUACCGACUGGAUGAUGGGAAGUCCAUAAGACAGUCGGAACUGACUAAGGGUCUUAUCCCUUAUGAAGGGUAGUCCUUGGGUAGGACUUAUAGGGCAGGCCUAUGACCCUAUCCUAGGACUAUAACCCCAUCAUUAGUCCCCGAAUGGAUUGGGGUUGGAACGACGAAGCGAUGUUUGAAGUAUGGAUCCGACUGGUACGGAUGCGACUUUGGCGCUGCUUGCCUUGAUCCAUUUUGUCUUCUUUGUCCAACGAUCCGAGUCGAAGUAUUUGUGAAGCGAACUGUCGGGAACCGAGUGCUUCCGUGGUAUCUUCUGACGUGACCAGUCAACUCACAGCGGCGGAUUUUCCGGGAUCCUCAAAUUUCGGUUGCCGCGCGCUCAGUGGGGAUGACGACAUCGCGCUCGAGUAGUACCUGACGCCUCGAUUUCGCCGCGACCGGUCGGGGGAUAAGAUUUCGGGGCCACUUGCGAGUGACCCAGUCGGAACCUUAUUUAAACCUCAGCGGCGAGGGUUUUUUCGUUACACUCGCCGGAUAACUUGCCUUUGCCUGCCCCACUUCUCUCGCCACCUCCUGCGCAUCCCAAGCUCCUUCCUUCUUCUUCUCCCUCGCGGAUCAGCAGCCUUCGCCAUGACAAAGGGGCAGACUAGCAAGCUAGAGGUGAAGAAGAAGAAGGGGAAGACGGCAGCUCCUACCCAGCGGCGGCAGCGCACGCUACCGGCGGGGUGGAUCCAGGGGGAUUUCCUCCCCUCCACGGUGACGGAGGAGAACCUGUUGGAGUUGGUGGAGCAUGGGAUGAUUGCGCACAAGUCGUGGAGGUUGCCGGUGGAAGGCGAGACCGAGUCGGCGCCCCGGGAGGGGGAGCGCGUCUUGCUGCUGAGCCAUGUGUACAGAGGUUUCUCUCUGCCUCCUCACCCCUUCUUCAAAGGUAUCAUGAACCACUUCGGGGCGCAGCUCCACCAUUUUCCUCCCAAUGCCAUAGCUCAUCUCUCUGCCUUCGUUGUGCUGUGCGAGUGUUUCAUCGGCUGUCCUCCCCAUUGGGGGGCUUUUCAAACAUAUCUUCUCUGCUAGAUCCCAGACCAUCAAACGGCUUAGCCAGUCGGAUGACAAAACCCACCUUCUCCAGCUCUGCGGAGGCUUAGGCUUCCAAAAGAAAAGUAAAAGUAGCUAUCCUGCUCUGUAGUUGAGUGAACCUAUUAGGAACUGGCAGUCGACAUGGUUCUACUGCCAGGACGUUGCUUGCCCGAAUGCUACCACCGGACUCCCCCCUUUUAGCUUAGACCGACCGGCUCCUCCUAGGCAGCUCGCGCUCACGAAGGCGGAGAAAACCCAGAUCCAGCCUCUGUUCGAUGCGCUUGUAGAGGUCGUCCGAAGGGGAGUCACUGGCAUAGAUUUAAUGGAGGUUUUCCUGGGUCGGCGUAUCCAGCCUCUGCAAGCUUGAGACCACGCCAUGUGGCAUUACACAGGGCCUGAGGACUCCACUCGGACUAACGUCGAGUGCGUGACCGGGGAGAUGGUGGCGUCGUGGGUCCUCAACAUCACCGGCGCCUGCGAAAACCCUAGAGGAGCUCGGCGAGUGAAGGCCUUCCGGGCGGGCAACCCUCCUCCAAACGCAGUGAGUACAACUUGUCGAGCGUACACAACUGUCUUAGAUUUAUUGCUUCCUUGAAUCACUGUCUGACGUCUAAUGUCGUCGACUGUAUCUUGUGCAGGAGUGGACUAACUGGUUUUCUCCCGUCUCGAAUGGGAAUCCGGCCGAGGAGGAGGAAGGCAGCCAGGAGGGCAGCGUGGAGAGCGGCGAGUACGUCUCCGACAGUGGGGAGACGGAAGAGGAGUCCGCAGAAGAAGAAGAGGCAGAUGAGGAGCAGAACUCACCACCUCCACCGCCAGAGCCUCGGACUAAGCGUCGUCAUGAACCUGUGGUUCCUCCAGCUCCUCCAGCAUCCUCAAGUGUGCCGCCAGCUCCGCCAGCUGCUCCUGUGGUACCGAGUGCUUCGCCAGCUGUUCCCGUGGCUCCGAACGUUCGGAGCACAAAGAGGACCAGGGACUCUGCUGCUGAACCUGUGGGUCAGCCCUCUAAGGUAGCUAAACCGAGUGGAUCUAAGCCUCGGAAGGCUCUGCCGCGGAUGAGGGUCACAGUUCCCGUCACCUCAACGUAAGUGCAUGGUUCUUCUAUCUUCUUCCGGUAUUUGAUUGAACUCCUGCUUAUUGGUCGAAUGAAUUUCACUCGACAGAGUUGCCACCUCUGCCACCUCUCCGGCACGCCAGGGGGACGAUCCCAUGGACAUGGACAACAUUGUCACAUCCCAGCCAGGUGCGUCAUAGCGAUUCCGAGAGUUUACAUUAUUGCAUCACGAAUUCUGUCUUUGGUCUUGCCUUUUUCCCUGUGAUCUCACGUCGUUCGGUCGGGUUUCCCUCAGGGGUGAUUUAUGUGGAGGAGGGCGACCAGGGGAGGUCUGAGCAAGCUGCGGUGCCUGUCCUUGAGGCUAUUCCGCCGGUUGCUACUCUCGCCAUGGACGCGCCGCCGACUGAGGCGAUGCUGUCGACUGAAACGACGUUGGUUGCUGCUGAACCGACUAGAGCAGGUCUUGGGAUGCCCAAGGAGCCUCCUACGAUGCCGGGCCCGUCGACUGUCGAGUACAACGUCCAGCGCCUCCUAGAAGAUCAGGUGGGAGCUGCCAAGGGGGCCGUGGUGCAGGCGGAGCUGAUGGCUGGAGAGGCCAAGAAGGCGUACGACUCCAUCGCGUCCUUGUACAAGCGAAGCUUGGAACUGCGGGACGAUAUCCGAGUAAGUGGGCUAGUAAGUAUUUACUUUCCUCUUGUAACCCACUGGGUGUGCUUGGAUAGCGUAUGAUUUUUUGCAAUGGGUUCACUCGUAGUGAACCCAGUGGGUGUAGUCCCCGAGACUUCUGUCGGGUGCUUGCACCGGCAGUUGUCUUUAUGCAUGUUCUUUAACUUGAUCAGAUCAAAAAUUAAUCUGUUCGAAUGUUAACAGUUGGGGCACUCGGAGUGCACCUACUGGAUGAGUCCCCGAGAGUAAUUUUACUCAGGUCGGGUAGUAGUAGCCUCAUAGGCUUAUUUGUUGUCAUGUAGCUCAAUAGGGCGGACAUGUUUGAGUUUCAUGCCAGUGGGGUCACUCUUAGUGAACCCACUGGGUGUAGUCCCCGAGACCACUGUCGACUGCUUGCGUCGACAGGGGUCUGAAGAACUUAGAAUUUUUAUUGUUGUCCUUGUUGAAUUUGUCUGACCGUCUCUUGGCGCUGACUUGCAGAAAACUUGCGAGAUGGGGACAGCGUAUGAGACUCUGAGGCUGAAAAGGUUCAGUUUGCUGGUGAACUGGAUGCAGCAAUGGUUGCAAUGGCUGGUAUGAAGGAUGUUCUGGUGGAACGAGAAAAGUCCUUGGAGCAGGCCCGUGAGGCAAACAAGGCAUUGACUGCUGAAGUGGAGAAAAUGGGGAAACAAAGGACGGAACUGAUGGGGCAGAUGAAAAUGUUGAACAGGCGGUGCAUAGCACAGGAAAAUUACGUCAGUGACUGGGCCCGGAAGAUGAUAGCGCUUCUCGGUGGUAAGUUCUAUUUUUCCGAGUGCUUGUGGACUGUGCAUUUCAUUCUGCGCUGACUGUUUGCUCGUCCUGUCUUUGCAGAUUUUUGCAUGGACGCGGAGGUUGAAGCGGCUGACGUUGAGCGGUCGAUUCUUGAGAACAUUCCACUCGGCGAGGACGCCAAUCGAGAUCUGCUCCGAGCGCACAUUCGCCUGGGCAAAGUUGGACCUUUCAUCGGUCGACUGAGAGAAGUCGUCGGCCGAAUUGACAAGGAGCUUUGGCCUGAAGACGAGUCUCGGCACGAGAUGGAAGGCUUGAUGACUCGGCUGGAGGAGGUCCCGAACCGAGUGCAGGCGUGGAAAAAGUCUGCGGCUCGCUGUGGUGCGGACGUCGCUCUGUCUUUGGUCCGAGUGCAUUGCAAGGAGGCGCGCAAAGAGAAGCUGAAGGCGUUGUAGGUCGCCAACACGAAAAAGCUUCGAUUCGAAGACUUCAUGGAGACCUUCCUUGAGAGCGCCACCCGCAUCACCGACGGGAUCGACCUCGACACGUUCGUAGAGCCUGCCAGUCCUGACGACGUUUGAGAAAACUUUUACCUCGGUAUGCCGAGUGUUGGUUGUAAGAAACUUUGGCCACUGUUGUUGGCCGCCACAUUCUUGGUUCGGUGUGGAUAAGCUUGAUCUACACCGAGCCAACUAUCCUUAGGUGAACAUUGAAUUUGAAUCGAAUCUUUUUCUCUUCUUUUGCCAAAGAGUUGUUGAUACGAUUUUGGCUCGUGGUGUUUGUUUGGCGUUUCUUGGUGAAGCCAAUGGCAAACAUGCGGAGCAUGUAAUUGUCAGUUGUCUUGACAUCUGCAUGAGCCUCACUGAGGGUCUGCUGAGUGUCCGAGUGGAUCUGUAGGAUACACUCAAAGGCAAUAGAGUACUUAGGCGAUUCGGGAUCGCGGCUAAGUCUUCGAGUGCGACUGUGAGGUCGUACUCGGAGCGAGUUGUUACUCAUGUAAUUGUCAGUGGUCUUGACAUCUACAUGAGCCUCAAUGAGGUUCUGCUACUCAUGUAAUUGUCAGUUGUCUUGACAUCUGCAUGAGCCUCACUGAGGGUCUGCUACUCAUGUAAUUGUCAGUGGUCUUGAGAUCUACAUGAGCCUCAAUGAGGGUCUGCUACUCAUGUAAUUGUCAGUUGUCUUAACAUCUGCAUGAGCCUCAAUGAGGGUCUGCUACUCAUGUAAUUGUCAGUUGUCUUCACAUCUGCAUGAUCCUCAAUGAGGGUCUGCUAAGCCUCCGAGUGGAUCUGUGAGAUACACUCAAAGGAAGCUUUCUUUUUAAGCGAUUCUUAAUCGCAGUUAAGUCCUCGAGUGUGACGGUUAGUGCACGCGUGGAGAAAAUUUGUACUUAGGCGAUUCUUGAUCGCAACUAAGUCUCCGAGUGCGACGUGAAGUGCACACUCGGAGAAAGUUAAUACUUAGGCGAUUCUNNNNNNNNNNNNNNNNNNNNNNNNNNNNNNNNNNNNNNNNNNNNNNNNNNNNNNNNNNNNNNNNNNNNNNNNNNNNNNNNNNNNNNNNNNNNNNNNNNNNNNNNNNNNNNNNNNNNNNNNNNNNNNNNNNNNNNNNNNNNNNNNNNNNNNNNNNNNNNNNNNNNNNNNNNNAAGUGCACACUCGGAGAUAGUUUGUACUUAGGCGAUUCUUGAUCGCAGCUAAGUCCCCGAGUGCGACGUGAAGUGCACACUCGGAGAUAUUUAGUACUUAGCCGAUUCUUGAUCGCAGCUAAGUCCCCGAGUGCGACAUUUAGUGCACACUCGGAGAAAGUCAAUACUUAGGCGAUUCUNNNNNNNNNNNNNNNNNNNNNNNNNNNNNNNNNNNNNNNNNNNNNNNNNNNNNNNNNNNNNNNNNNNNNNNNNNNNNNNNNNNNNNNNNNNNNNNNNNNNNNNNNNNNNNNNNNNNNNNNNNNNNNNNNNNNNNNNNNNNNNNNNNNNNNNNNNNNNNNNNNNNNNNNNNNNNNNNNNNNNNNAGUGCACACUCGGAGAAAGGUAGUACUUAGGCGAUUCUUGAUCGCAGCUAAGUUUUUUUUUUGAGACCGGAGUCUGCGACCGCGGAAGAAUUUUGAAUCUGCAAAAACUCGAUCUGCUUUGUAUUAUUUCACCAAUACUUGUUCUUUACAUUGCUUCAGUCGACGGUCACGUGUAGAAGCGCUUCAGGAGAUCUCCGUUCCAUGCUUGCGGCUCGUCUGUUUCCCUGUCGAUGUUGUAGAGUCUGUAUGCUCCGUUGUUCAGCACCUUGGAGAUGAUGAAGGGUCCUUCCCAGGCGGGAGCCAACUUGUGAGGUCUUUGCUGAUCCACCCGGAGCACCAGGUCGCCUGCUUGGAAUGUACGACUCCUGACGUGUCGCGCGUGAAAGCGCCGCAGAUCUUGCUGAUAAAUGGUUGAGCGAGUGAGUGCCAUCUCGCGCUCCUCCUCUAGAAGGUCCACUCUGUCUUGCCUUGCUUGUUCUGCUUCAGCUUCGGAGAAGAGUUCGACUCGUGGAGCAUUGUGAAGCAAGUCACUCGGAAGGACCGCUUCUGCUCCGUAAACGAGGAAGAACGGGGAUCGCCCCAUAGAUCUAUUCGGGGUUGUGCGGAGACCCCAAAGCACUGAAGGUAGCUCGGCGACCCAUGCGCCAGCGGCAUGUCCCACCUCUCGCAGGAGCCGGGGCUUCAAACCUUGUAGAAUAAGUCCAUUCGCCCGCUCUGCUUGUCCGUUUGUUUGAGGAUGCGGCACAGAUGCAAAAUCCACUAGGAUACCUUGGCUUGCACAGAAACCUUUGAAUCUGUCCGAGUCAAAGUUUGUCCCGUUGUCCGUGAUUAUGCUGUGAGGUACUCCGAAUCUGGAGAUGAUGUCCCUGACAAACUUGAUGGCUGUUAGGGCGUCGAGCUUCUUGAUGGGCUUGCCUUCAAUCCAUUUUGUGAACUUGUCGACUACCACCAACAGAUGUGUGUAUCCCCCUUGGCCUGUCCUGAAUGGACCGACUGUAUCUAAUCCCCAUACUGCAAACGGCUAAACAGGAGGGAUUGUCUUCAACGCAGAUGUUGGCUUGUGGGACUUGUUGGAAUAGAAAUGAUAGCCUUCACAUCGGUCGACCAUAUCUUUAGCCAUUUCGUUCGCCUGCAGCCAGAAGAAGCCAGCUCUGAGUGCUUUGGCGACGAUUGCUCUUGAAGAGGCGUGAUGACCGCAGGUUCCCGAGUGAAUUUCUUCCAGGAUUAAUUGUCCUUCCUCAGGGAAGAUGCAUCGUUGAAGAACGCCUGAAACGCUUUCCCUGUACAACUGGCCAUCAAUGACAGUGAACGACUUUGACCUGCGGACGAUCUGCCUGGAUUGGACUUCGUCUUCUGGUAAUUCCUGCCUCCGGAUGUAUGCAAUGAUCGGCAUAGUCCAAUCGGGGAUAACAGCAAGAACCUCCAUGAUCAAAUCAACCACAGCUGGUACGUCGACUUCAGUCGGAUCUGUCAAGCUCUUUGGUUGUACUGGUUCCUCUGUGAAAGGAUCUUCUUUAACUGCGGGGAGGUGGAGGUGCUCGAGGCAGACGUCACUCGGGACUGGUCUCUGAGUGGACCCGAGUUUUGCCAACUCAUCAGCCGCUUGGUUCUUCAGUCGCGGAACAUGGUGGAGUUCUAGACCUUCAAACUUCUUCUCGAGCUUCCUCAAUGCAUUGCAGUAUGUGGUCAUGGUGGGGUUCCUGACGUCCCACUCUUUCAUCACUUGAUUAACCACCAAAUCCGAAUCGCCAUAGACCAUCAGGCGACGGAUGCCGAGUGCGAUGGCCAUGCGCAGUCCAUAAAGGAGAGCUUCAUACUCUGCCUCAUUGUUGGAGGAAUCAAAGUGUAUCUGCAGCACAUACUUGAGUUUGUCGCCCUUAGGUGAUAUGAUCACAACGCCAGCGCCGGAGCCGUUCAACAUCUUGGACCCAUCGAAGAACAUUGUCCAAUGAGCCGAGUAGAUGUGGGUCGGUUGCUGUUGUUCUACCCAUUCUGCUAUGAAGUCCGCCAGAGCUUGAGACUUUAUAGCUUUCUUGGCCUCGAACUUGAUGUCGCAGUACAACAUCUCCAUUUCCCACUUCGCCACUCGGCCUGAUGCGUCCCGAUUGUGGAGGAUUUCCAACAACGGAGCAUCAGAAACGACGGACACCGAGUGGUCUUGGAAAUAGUGAGCCACCUUCUUCGCAGUCAUGUAAAUCCCGUAGAAAAGUUUUUGAUAGUGGGGAUACCUCUGCUUGGAAGGAGUCAGGACUUCGGAGACGUAAUACACUGGCCGCUGAACUUUGUAUGCUUUUCCUUCUUCUUCUCGUUCGACUGUGAGAACAGUGCUGACGACUUGAUUUGUAGCCGCGAUGUACAAAAGAAGGGGCUCUUUACUGAGCGGAUCAGUAAGAACCGGCUGGGUGGAAAGUAGGACUUUGAGGUCGUCGAGUGCAACUUGGGCUUCAUCUGUCCACUCGAAAGUAUCUGAUUUCUUCAUGAGUCGGUACAGAGGAAGUGCUUUCUCGCCGAGUCGACUGAUAAACCUGCUCAAAGCCGCUAGGCAACCUGUGAGCCGUUGAACAUCGUGUAUUCUGACCGGCCGCUCCAUUCGGACGAUUGUCCCGAUCUUUUCGGGGUUGACAUCGAUCCCUCGUUCAGAAACGAAGAAACCGAGUAACUUUCCGCUAGGAACGUCGAAUGAACACUUGGCGGGGUUGAGCUUGAUAUCGUACCUACGAAGGUUGGCGAAUGUUUCUGCCAAGUCAGUCAGCAGGUCGGAACCUUUGCGUGACUUGACUACGAUAUCAUCCAUAUACGCCUCCACAUUCCGACCGAUCUGGUCGAGGAGGCAUUUUUGGAUCAUGCGCAUAAAGGUUGCUCCUGCAUUCUUCAAACCAAAUGGCAUAGUGAUGUAGCAGAAGCACCCGAAUGGGGUGAUGAAGGCGGUUUUUAAUUCAUCGGGGCCAUACAGACGGAUCUGAUGAUAGCCCGAGUAGGCAUCAAGAAAUGACAAAGCUCACAACCCGCAGUCGAAUCGACAAUUUGAUUGAUGCGGGGGAGCGGAAAAUGGUCUUUCGGGCAGACCUUAUUGAGAUGCUUGAAGUCGAUGCACAUUCGGAGCGACUUGUCCUUCUUGGGCACCAUGACAACAUUGGCGAGCCACUCGGAGUGGUGUACCUCGCGAAUGAAGUUGGCUACCAAAAGCUUGGCCACUUCUUCUCCGAUUGCCUUCCUCUUGUGCGCGGCGGACCGUCGCAGGCGUUCUCGAACAGGUCGAGCGGUGGGAUCCACAUGCAGUCGGUGCUCAGCCAACUCCCUGGGUACACCUGGCAUGUCAGAAGGCUUCCAUGCGAAGAUGUCCCAGUUCUCACGGAGGAAUUGGAUGAGCUCGGCUUCCUAUUUAGGAUCGAGGGUGAUGGAGAUGUUCGUCGGGGCAGCGGUGUCGUCUGUCGGGUGGAUGCUGACCUUCUUCGUCUCUUCCGCCGACUGGAAUGCGGACUCCGAAGCUGGCUUCUUCGAACGCAUCAAGUCAGCGGGGUCGACCGUUUUCUUGUACUCGUCAAGCUCGAGGAUAGCCAUCUGUUGAUCGGCGAUUCUUGAUCCCUGCUUCAGACACUCCUCGGCCCGCUGUCGAUUGCCUGUGAUAGUGAUCACACCUUUCAGGCCUGGCAUCUUUAGAUUCAGGUACACGUAACAUGGGUGGGCCAUGAAACGCGCAUACGCCGGGCGGCCCAGAAUUGCGUGGUAAGCGCUCUGGAAGUCCACCACCUCGAACGUCAGCUUUUCCUUGCGGAAGUUCUUGUCGGAGCCGAAAAUGACGUCCAACGCGAUCUGGCCGAGUGACUUGGCCUUUCGUCCAGGGACGACUCCGUGGAACUGCAUGCUGCUCUCGCUGAGUUUGGACAUCGGAAUGCCCAUCCCCUUGAGAGUGUCAGCGUACAUGAUGUUCAAACCACUGCCGCCGUCCAUGAGGACUUUGCGCAGUCGAACUCCUUCCACCACCGGGUCGACGACCAGAGCUUGCCUCCCUGGGAUGGGCACGUGUGUUGGAUGAUCUGACUGGUCAAAGGUGAUCGCAGUCUGAGACCAUUUGAGGAACUUGGGGUUGGUCGGCGUGGCCAUGUUCACCUCCCUGUUCACCAGCUUCAGUCGGCUCUUGCUCUCAACGUCAGCAAAAAUCAUCAGUGUUGCAUGGACUUGGGGGAACGGAUCCUCCUUAUCCUCCUCAUCCUGUUCAUUGCCUUUUUCACUCAGUUGCCCUUUGCCGAACCCCUGAAGCAGGAGGCGACAUUGCCGAGUGGUAUGCUUCGGAUAUAUGGCGUUGCCCUCUUCAUCCAUCUUCGUGUGGAUCGGACAUGGCUGGUCCAGGAUGGGGUUGUUGAACUGCUUCUUCUUGGGGGUGAACUGAGCCUUCCCUUUGCCCUUGAACUUGGCAUUGGUAAGAACUGCGACUUCUGCCUGCGGAGUGGGCGGAGCUUUCUGCUUCUGCUUCCGAGUGUUAUUCCCAUCUCCAUCGGCGACUGUUUUGUGCUUGCCGCUACAGAUGCGGUCCUCUUCUUCGCCAUUUGCAUAGCAUGCUGCUAUCUCCAUCAUCUUGCUCAUGGAGAUGUCGCCUGUUCGACCGAACUUCAGGUACAGAUCCUGGUACCGCACACCUGCCUUGAAGGCGCAGACUGCUUGGUGUUCUGUGACGUUCUCCACCGUAUGGUAGAGGGUCGUCCAACGCUGAAUGAAAUCGCGCAGGGGCUCAUUCUGCUUCUGGACACAGUGCUGGAGCUCCACGAGGCCAGCAGGGCGCUUACACGUCCCUUCGAAGGUCCUGACGAACACUCGGGCCAGAUCUCCCCAGCUGUAGAUGCUUGAGGGGGCCAAUUGGGUCAGCCACGCUCGCGCCGAGCCGUCGAGCAUCAGAGGGAGGUGCUUCAUGGCGACGUGGUCGUCCCCUCCUCCGAUCUGGACUGCCACUCGGUAGUCAUCCAGCCACGUUUCUGGCUUAGACUCUCCUGUGAACUUGCUGAUCCCCGUCGCCAAUCGGAAUUUGGGAGGGAUGUCAGCCGAACGGAUGGUCCUGCUUCCACUCGGACGGUCAAUAUCGUGACCAUCGCGGUGGGCUCGGCCCCUGUCGACCCUUCACUGGGCGAUAUGCCCUCUCGCGUCGGGCCUUGGAUCGUAAGUGUCGCCGACUGAACGCCGAUCAUCAUGAUGUCGGGGCCCGUAGGGCCCACCCCGCGGAGGGGUGCGUGAACGGCAACGAUCUUCGGGGUUCAUGGAACGGCUGCCUCCCCUGGGUCGCUGAUGAGAACCAGGGCUGUGAACUGACCGAUGCGUGUUCGCAUGGACAGAACUAUUGUGGAUCAUGUUGUGCGACUCGGAGACCGCCGAGUUUUGCUGCUGCGCCGUGUGCAACAGGGCGCGGAUUUGCUCGAUCCCCCUGCCAGCCUCUGAAUCAGUCGGCUGAAGGGAAUCGACUAUCUUGGCAGCGGCAGCCAAGUUGAGGAUGGGUGUGCGGAACAACUCCACGUUGCUCCGCCGAGUGUGCCGGCUGGCAGAACGGCGAGGUGGACGGUGAGCGCCGGAUGUUUCGCCGAUCUCGUGCUCGUUCCGGCUAGUUUGGCGGGGACUUUCGUGGGAGUUGGCCAUGUGUACUUCUGCUGCAGGCCCGCGACCCAAGUACUCGGAAGGAAACUCAGUCGGAACCGAGUCCCAGCGCUGGGACGGCGGGGCAACCACAACUGACUCUAGGACCGCCACUUGUGAAGAUGCGUUCUGGCGCGCCGGUGCGUGUUGCACCCAACGCUGGAGCCGCGGAUGGCGGGACCGCUUGUUGCGGCGCGUGACGGUGGUGUAGGUCGACACCGGAGCCGACUGCUGGAGAAGAAGAAUGCCGCGGGCGCCGGCACGGAAAUGCGAAGCUCCGCGACGGGGAAGCGGCUCGACGUCGAGAGGGGCGUCCCGAAGCCAUGCUGAAUCAUCGACGAUGAAGGAGAGAGCACCGAAGAGGAUCUCGUGACCCAUGCUCGAAUCUCCACCGAAUGACAUGACGAAAAGAUGUAGUCGCAAACUCGCCGGAAGUCGCUUAGACGCCUGCCCCACGGUGGGUGCCAACUGUCGUGGGUAUAAGUCUGACAGUAGAUGUGUAGGGUACGAAAGGAUGGGCAGAGCCUUAGCUACGGUGAGGUUGUAUGAGUUCAUGCCCCUCUACGGUGGAGGUAAUAGCCCUACGCCUCAGUGCUCUGGGAGCNNNNNNNNNNNNNNNNNNNNNNNNNNNNNNNNNNNNNNNNNNNNNNNNNNNNNNNNNNNNNNNNNNNNNNNNNNNNNNNNNNNNNNNNNNNNNNNNNNNNNNNNNNNNNNNNNNNNNNNNNNNNNNNNNNNNNNNNNNNNNNNNNNNNNNNNNNNNNNNNNNNNNNNNNNNNNNNNNNNNNNNNNNNNNNNNNNNNNNNNNNNNNNNNNNNNNNNNNNNNNNAGUGCGCUACCCUCCACGACGGUUCGGUGCACAGGGGUGGAGUAGUGGCGAAUAAAUGCCUACGUUACAGGUAAUGUAUGUAUUAAAUGCUAAUAAAGGCACAUGGAAACGUACGACCGUUUCCCUCCAGGGGGUAUGAUGCACAGAGUGGAAUCCAGUCGGUUAGUUUGUUACACUCCGAAUGCUCAUCUCCGACUGGAUGGUGGAGGAUUUGUUACCGACUGGAUGAUGGGAAGUCCAUAAGACGGUCGGAACUGACUAAGGGUCUUAUCCCUUAUGAAGGGUAGUCCUUGGAUAGGACUUAUAGGGCAGGCCUAUGACCCUACCCUAGGACUAUAACCCCAUCAUGAUCACAAUGAGACUAUUAAACACUUUUUUCUCCAGUUUCCAUUGGCUAGACUUCUACGCUUACUAUUCAUGUAGCCUUCAAUAUAAACCCUCCAAUAAGUAUGAACACAUUAUUUGGGACGUGGCUUAAUGGAGUGGACGUUAAUUUAUCUAGAUAAAUUCAAAUAGAAAUUUGUGCAAUGCUUUGGGCUAUAUGAAACUGCAGGAGUGACAUGAUAUUUAAGAGGAAGAACGUCGCCAAUUUCUUGCAGGUUAUCUACAGAGCUACCGCAUGGAUCCGUACAUGGUCGUUACUCACACAUGUGGAGUCCAGGGAGCUUUUGGUUACUAGGUGCAACUAGUGGGAGACGACAACAUGGAUUAUCUUCAACCGAUAUGGAUGACGGCAAACUAAUAGGGUAGGUGUUUAGCCAUCGUAGCCUGCUUUUAUCAUGCCACAUUGGCAUGUAUUUUCCUUUUAUUUUCAGCUCUUUGAGCUCCACUUUGGAUACUAUAGUUUCGGUGAACUUUUUUGGCUUAAUAAAAUGGCAGCAUGUAUCAUCAUGAUGCAGAGGCCCGGGAGCAUCCCCUUUAUUUAAAAAAAAACUACAUGAUACAAGAAGACAUGAACAUAGUACUCGGAGCAGACAGAAAAGGAAUACUCAGCCCAAACAAUUGACACGCAUGUGAGCGCGCGCACACACACUGCUAAACCCGUCUAGCCUCCCCUUCACCUAUACAGGGUAAGGAGAUGCGGGUUCACGAGACCCAGACCGCAUCAAGACUAACACGAGGCACCACAACCGAGCGGCCACGACUCAAUGCUCAAUUACAUAAACGUACAUCCGUCUAAACCGCCAAGAGAUCGGCGAGUAAGUAACAGGACCUGGCCAGGCCGGAGGCGGAAGCCCACGUAAACAUCGCCGAGGACAUGCAUAGGGCCCAAAAUGUCCAUGCCUUGAUAGGCGGCCCACCUUUACAUUUUCUCCAAAAUAAAUGCCCAAAUUUUGAAAUUACAUGAACAUUUAAUAAAGCAUUGGAAAUUUUAGAAGUUAUUCAAACCUUUUUGAAAAAAUACAAUAUAAUUUUUUGAAAGAUGAAAACACCUUUUGAAAUUAUAUGAACUUUUCAAAAAUUUGUGACAACUUUUCAAAUCACACAUAAUUUUUAAAUACGUAACUUAUUUUCUUACUUACUAAAAAAGAAAUAACGGCUUUCAUUUUUUUUGAACUUUCAAAAAGACCAUGAAAUUUAUAAAUAGUCAAUACGGUUAAAUAAUUUUCAAACAUUUUAGAAAUAUUCACACAUUUGAAAACUGUUCAAUUAUUUUGUAACAAAAUCAUUCACGCAAAAAAAGGGUUCAUAUCCGUAAAAUCUUCAUGAUCAAGGGAAAAAAUAAAUAAAAUUUUGCAUUAAAAUAAUGAAAAUGAGAAAAAAGUAAACAUUACUAGGGAAAAAGAAAAAUAAUAUAGUAUAAACGAAAUAAAUCCGUCUUACAUGGUACAAAACGACAGGAAAAACACGUCAUGUACAAAACCAUGGAAACCGAGAGAGAUCCAAAGAAAACAGUUUUAGCGGUGAGGUGCGAGAUGAGAGAAAGAACAGAGAAAAGCUUAAUGGGAUGGCUGCCCGAUUUCUUCAAUUUUGCUAGUCCCCAUUGCUACAAGUUCGCAUAAGUGUUCCUCUGUUUUGAAUGCAACAGAUUUUUUUUUCUUUUGAGAAAUGAAUGGACCGGAACAAGAAAUAAGUUUGGACCCUGCGCCAGGAUAUGCGAAUAUACCUCGCCUGACGCGAAGAUGGAAACCAGGCUCGCCCGUGCAGCGCCGUCACAUUGGGACAGGCGGGCCGCCAGGAGGCUAUAUAAGACUCACUGCUCGAUUUGUUCAACAAAACGUACACUUUUCUUAGUGGCUGGAGCUAAUUAAUGCCGUGCGGCCAUGAUCGAAUCCGGCAGUGUACAUUUUUUUUUAAAUAGUAAUACAUUCAGCAAAAUUUAAAAAACACCUUGCAUAAUUUUAAUAAAAAUACUAAGCAAACAUUUCUAAAAAGUUAAAUGUGCAUAAUUGUUUUUUCAUGUAUACAGAAAAUAUACAAUGUGUAUGAAAAAAGUUCAUCAUGUAUUUAAAAUAUAUGUUCAUUAAGUAUUUCAAUAAAAUUAAUGAAUCAUUAGGAAAUGAUAAAUGUGUGUGGGCAAAACUAUUUUCUUGUAUACGAAAAACAUAUAAAAAAUAUAGGUUUGUUAAAUUUUUUAUCACGUACUAAAUAUUUUUUCCCAGAAGAAUAUACUAUCUCCGUCCGAAAAUACUUGUUAUAAAAAUGGAUGUUUCUAGAUGUAGUUUAGUUGUAGAUACAUCAAUUUUUAUAUAUUUGUGCGACAAGUAAUUCCGAAUGGAGGGAGUACUCACUUUUUAUAAAACAUGUAUAAACAUAUGUCCGGAUGUAAAACUGUACAAUGGGUAUGCAAAUAAUAGACACAAAAAUAUACUCUAUUUAGAAAACAUAUGUUUGUAAAAAAUAAAUCAUGUAUCUGAAAAAUAUUCACCAUGUACACAAAAAAUAUUUCCUGUAUUUGAAUAAAAAUUAUAACAUGUGUAAGAAAUGUUCCUUUUCUAUAUGAAAAGAGCAAGAAAAACCCAUAGAUAACCGAGAAAGACAAACAAAACAAAACAAUGAAACCUGAAAAAAGAAAUGAAAGAAAAAACCCAGAGGAAACCAAGAAAGGAAAAGAAAUCAAAGUAUGACAAAAAGAAAAAGUGAAAAACAAGCGGAUAAAAUCCAGUGAAAUCCGAAAAAAGAAAUAACGAAAGCAAAUAAAUCAUAGAAAAAAAUCUAGUAAUACCAAGAAAGAAACAAAGAAGACUAUUGAAAAGAACAAAGUAAACCUAUAAAAAAGGAUAACCAUGAAGAAAACAAAGAAAACCAAAAGAAAAACGAAAAAAAAAUAGCAAAAAACAAAAAAAAUCUGGAAGGAAACCUGACUGCACUAUCAGCGGCCAACCCACCGAGUGGGGUGAGCCAGCGACCCCGGUUAAAAUGCGGAGAGCGAAAUAUUCAGGUGGCAUAUGCCUCGCUAUAAGUGCGAUAUAGGGCGUGGCAAGGGCACAAGGGCGACAAUCUACUAGACAAAAAGGAGAUGCCAACGCAGUACAUAUGUAUACGGAUACAGGGACAUGGUAUAUUGUGAGAUUUUAUUUUUUAUGAUAAUAUGUGUCUCAUUGAUAUUAUAAAAAUAAAAAUACAAGUUACGUAUACCAACAUGACAAAACUAAAAAAAUAACAGAACAUCUCUAAGUUUGACACCAACAUAUGUCGCGUACCUCUGACACUGUCAUAGCAGCCACCAAAGAAAAGAAUGGCGAAUCACCUCCUCAACCAAGCUCGACGCGAUUCCAUCGCUUACAUGCAACUUUGCGGACCUUGAAGGUGACUUAUCAAAAGUGAAGCCAUGAGGCUGGUUGUAACGGGGAGUGUCAUAUACUAGUAUCAUGCAUAUGAUAUUAGUGUAUGAUAGUACAUCCGUAAUGCAUAGUAGCAUGUCCUACUAUCAUAGGACAGUUUAUUUAUUGUCAUGCAUGAUACAUAGUAGUACAACAUUUAAUAUGAUAUGAUAUCAUAAUAUGAUGUUUAAUAUUUUUUUCUUCAUUUAAUUCUAUGUCAUCUCAUCAAAUAUGGCUAGUUUGAUACUACUACUUAUAAUACUUUCAUUAUGACUAGCCUUAUCGUUGAACGAAUCAGACCAGGAUAACACCUCGAACACGCCAUCAAACUUCACAUAUGACACCCCACCGAAAGAUAUAUCUUGCCUAGAAUCAUAUUUAUCAUGUACGUAGUACUCCCUUCAUCUGGAAUUACUUGUCGCAGAAAUGAAUCUGUCUAGACACAUAUUUACUUUUAGAUAUAUCAAUUUCUAUCCAUUUUUACGACAAGUAAUUUGGGACGGAGGGAGUAGAUACCAACCUUUUUAUAGAUCAGAUAUAUACCAACUAAACACCAACUAAACACGUGCACAUGCUAGAUCGGCCGGCCCUUUACGAGGUUUGUCUGUGUGUUUUUCCAGCCGGUUUGGGGAAGUUCUAGAACCUUCCUUAAACUGAACUUUCUCAACAUUUUCUGUGUUUUCCCUUUUUUCAGCUGUUUAUACCAAUUUUUUUUUUUUUUUGGAUUUUGAUUUUUUCAAUUCUCAAACAUUAAUAUUGUUUAUCUUUCUGUCCUCUUCUUUUAUUUUUUUUCCCAUUUUAAUUUUAGAAGAAAUUUGUAAUUCACAUACAUUUCUGUAUUCAUGAACUUUUUUGAAAUUCUUAAAAAAAUUCUAAAACUCACGAAUAUUAUUUCAAUUCAUGAACUUUGUUUGAAUCGACAAACAUUUUCUGAAAUUUGGGAACAAUGUUGUAAAUUUGUGUCCAAUUUUUGAAAUACAUGAAUAUUUUUUAACAUGUCCGGGAAUCAUCAACACGACGACCGCCUAUAUCAACUUUGUCGUCUUCAUCAACAUCUUCAUCAAUUUUUCUGUCUAUUCAACAGUUCUCUCUCCCAGAAUCCUCUGUAAUAUCCUACUUAAACAUGGUGUUGGAUAUUGUUAAUUAUUAUAUGAUGAUUUCUUGUGUCUUCUAUAGGUUUGAGUAGAUUAUUUUUGUCAUAUGGGUUAAUUGAUGAACUGUUGUGAUUGGUUUGAGUUUCAUGUUGUCCUUUGAUACCCAUCAUAUGAGCGCUCACGUUGAUGGCACUCUAGGGUUUGUUCUAUGUUGAUACGACUAUGCAUACGGUGGCUGAAGUGACCAGAACCUCGCCACACUAUUGAAAUUAAUGCAUAUGGAAUUGAAGGGGACCAAUAUAUCUUACUGUUAUGGUUGGGUUUACCUUAACGCGCGUGUUAGCAUUUGCAGAUGCUUACUAAUGGUUUCAAUCAGAAGUACAUAUGAUUAAACAUGAAAAAUAUAUUCCUAGAGGCCUCUCCCACAUAUAAAGCUGUGAUGAUAAUAAUCGGUCUAGUAACUUAGUCAAUUGUCCAGGACGAUGAUAAUAAAUUGUGUCUCGAUCUCUAUAGUGCUUUGGAUACUUUGGAAUUUUUGACACACGGAACAUGAGAAACAUAUCCAUUUCAUGUCCUUCUCAAUCUAUCUCGAUUGGCUGCUUCCAAAAAUCCUGACAACCUAUCCAUGAACCCAUUGCUCAAACUGUUCUUGCAAACAUCCAAGCUCGAUCCACAUCCGCAACAUAACAAAAGUACCACAUUAAUAACCUGCUAUUACAAAAUUAUACGUGCAUCAUAAUUAUAUUAUUAACACAUUAGCUAGCACAUCUAUUUUGUUUACUUUGCAUAUUAACUUUGUCUUGUGAAUUUUUUGUGAAUUUUGCCCAACCUUGUGAGUCAUCCAUUUCAAAUUAUUGACCGGCGGCAACACUCCCUCUCGAAAUGGUGCCCGACAAAACCCCUCCAUAUCGAUUCAGCAACAACUUCCCCCCUCUCAAAACAAUGACUAGUGACAACCUUGCACCUUAGGUUUGUGAUAAGCAGGAGCAAUCAUCCCACUAAACAGGGCAUCAAGUCAAUGGACAAAUCUCACACUGAACUCAUGGUUAGUGACAUGGUAACAAACAUUCCAGGUAGUUUCCAAAUAGCAACCCAGUUUCAUUUUAUAGUUGUCUGCAGUAAGGUUGCUCGUAAUGAGAGUAUCAUAGUUAGUAUAAUGCAUGUCAACUAGGCAAUUUUGAUGUGCUCACAUAAAAUUAAAUGAAGAAAGAUAAGAUUGAACAUUAUAUCAUGGUACCAUAUCAUAAUAAAUAUUGUACUACUAUGUGUCUUACAUGAUAUUAAGUAAAAUCAUCUAUGAUACCAGCAAUAUAAAUAUAAUAUUAUAUAUUAGUAUCAUAUGCAUAUGCAUGAUACUAAGAUAUUAUACUACUCCCUCCGUUUCAAAAUAUAAGUCUUUUAUGAGAUUGCAUUAGGGACUACAUACAAAUAUAUAUAGACAUACUUCAAAGUAUAGGUUCACUCAUUUUGCUUUGUAUGUAAUCUGAAAUCUGUAAAAAGACUUAUAUUUAAAAAACGAAUGGAGUAGUCACUAGCAACAGCCUAAACAAGUAUUACAGGCGGUUUCCAAACUACAUGCAAUUACUGAUCAUGGGGAGCAAUGUACUCCUCUAGUCGUCUUGUUGAUGGAAAAAAUAUUUACAAUCAAAUUAAUCAGUGUGAAUGUUGAUGGAAAUUUGUGUUGGUAAUUACAGCGAGAAAUUAAAGAAGCAGGGCAAUGUGCUCCUCCUGGCGUCGACGAUCAGCGUGACGAAAUCAGCAAGGGUAAUACGCCUUGAGGUGCGCUUGUAAGCAUGGCGAGUCCUUCCAAACCCUAGCGUGCAUCUUGAGCAGCUCCUUGGCCUUGGCCCUGGCCCGCUCGCCGGCAUCCACCUGUAGAACCAGCAGCAGCUUGGCGACCACCCCGACGGCCAGCAUCUCCUGCAGCACGGCCGGCGUCGGCGAGUGCCUAGCCACGGCGUGCAGAGCGCGCACCGCGCUCUCGGUGGUGGUCGGUGACACCCGCAUAGCCUUCUUGGCCACGACGGCCAGCCCUGCCGGGUGCGCCACAAGGUCCGACCGCCCCUCCGCACAGCCGCAGAGGUGGUCGAUGGCCACCACCGCCAGCUCGGUGGGGUGCCGGCCGCCUUCGUCGAGGAGCAGCUCCACCAGCACAGUCACCGCGCCGGCCUCGACGGCCUUGACACGGUUGCGGCCCCACGGACAUAGCCGGCACAGCACGUUCAGCGCCGCCUUCACCGCCUUGGCGGACACCCUGUCAGACACCACGCGUACCACCUCCUGCACCAGCUCGGUUCUCACCGUCAUCAGCCUCGCCGGCUCCAUGACCGACACCAUCGCCUUCAGCAGGAUGAUGCCGUAACAGCGGGACCGGUAGCUCGGUCGCCGCAGCAUGCACACCAGGGUGUCCAGGAAGUCUACGUUUUUCUCGAGGAUCCGGAGCAGGCUCUUCUUGGACGGCUUGAGCGAGCAGAUGACGCUGAGCGCGUCCUCCUCCGGCGAGCUCGUGGACGUCGGGGAAUCCAGCGAAAGUUCUAGCAAAUCUUGAGCCGACUUGGACGUGGUGGCAUGGUUCGUGACGACGGAGACGAGGAACUCGACGGCGCCGGGCGUGGCCUCGACGCAGCGCCUGUUGCGAUCGCUCUCGGCGACGAUGGCCUUGAUCUCGCGGAGCGCGGCCAGCUCCUGCUGCCGGCCGGCACCGUGACCCUCUUGGACGAUCUCGGCGACGCGGCUGGUGUCGAGGGGCGGGCGCGGGGUGGGGAAGCGCUCGACGGCGUGGAGGGAGCACCAGGCCUGGGUGAGGCGGCGGAGCGUGUGGUUGGGCGUGGCAUCCCGGUCGGCCUCCGCAAUCUUCUGCUGCGUGACGGGGCAGGUGGCGUGGCCGUCGGAGAUCCAGCGCUCGAUGCUGGUGCGGUCGUAGGUGAUGCCGGUGGCGAGCGUGACGGGGUCCCGCAUGAUCUCCAGCGAGAUCGGGCACAGGAAGUACGGCGGCACCUCCACCGUCGGCCCCUCCAUGGCCGUAGGUCGCGAAGGAUUGCUCGUGAAAUGGAUCUGGUGGAGAGCAGAGCGAAUGAAGAAGACGCUGACCGAGUUGGUGGAUGGAGUUGAACACAAAUCGAAUGGGAGGGGGAGUGGGUGCGCGCGCGUUUUAUAGGAAGUGGAUCACGCGAAGAAGUCCACGCGUGUUAGCAAGAGAUUAGAGGAGAUUAAUUGCGUGGGUUGGGUUGGGUCGGAUUGACUUGCGGGGUCGGUGUUGAGCUGGCUCCAUGUUUUGACUUUGUGAAUUCAUCUUGCUCGGUCCUUUCUGCUGUUCGACUCCGUUGCUCUUGAAAGAUUCCGUUUCUGUGGGUAUGAAACACCGUUGAAGUUUAGCCGCUGCGUAGAUUGGUUGAAGGGUAAUUUUCGCCACCUCCGUGGUUUUAGAGUAUCUACAACCAGACCCUUAUAUUCGUUUCGAACGUUGGACAGCCGAUCAAUCAGCGUACGGCCAGAGAAAAUCUACCCAAAUGGAAUGCACUAAGAGCAAGCUGCUGGCUAUAAGCCACUGCCAUGUCAUCUAUAGCCCAUCUUAUAGCUAACAUGUACAAUACUUCAUUGUAAAAGUGUAUUACUUCUUCAUUAUAUGGUCCACCUUUCAUACUCAUAAAAUGCCUAGGAGCACGUGCUAGAGCUGGCUCUUAGCUAAGAGGCCGCUUACCUUCUCUCCCCUCUUAGCUAAGAGGCCGUUUCUGUGGGUAUGAAACACCGUUGAAGUUUAGCCGCUGCGUAGAUUGGUUGAUGGGUAAUUUUCGCCACCUCCGUGCACUUAAACAUCUACAACCGGACCCCUUAUAUCUGUUUCAAACGUCCGGUCGACCGGUCGGUCAAUGUCCGAUCGAAAAAAAAGCAAUCCAAACGGGCGUUCUAAACGGGUCUCAAAUACACGAGCUGACCGACAUCCAUCAUAUCUAGCAUAAAUAUGGAGCGAAUAUGUGGAGCCCGUGCGUGCCCGGACAUGCUUGCCUGGCAGGCCUGGGCCACCAUUGACCCCACCGACAUGUCAGUUUGGCCCACCAUGGACACCAUGAAAUAUUCCAAUUCGGUAACCCUAGACAUCCGACAGUUCAGUCUCCAUCCACUCCAUUUCCAAUCCCCCCACUUCGAUCCAAUGGCUGGCCAUGGAAGCAACUCCGACAGAUCGAACAUCGAUGUCGAGGAGGUGGCCCUCUGCAUCGCAUUACUCCGGUCGCUGCAGGACAAAAGGGGCCCCGUCGGCAAUGCAUGUGCAUCCUCCGGGCACGUCGCACACCGACGGAGUGCCGGCGACAUCGCAUGCCCUUCCCGCAAGGCACAUAGCUCCGACCGCUCCUGCUCUGGCUGGUCCGCUCCCGUUCUGGUCGGUACGCUCUAGGUCAGGUACGCCACCCAUCUCCACCACCUCCUGCUCCAAAAGCGGUGCCCGACCACCGUGGAGUCCUCAUGCCCGCGCCGGGGACGUGGUGCACGAUGAUACCGGAGUUCGGGGUGCAUGCACCCGAGCGACAACGGACGAGGAAGAGGGGGGAGGCCUUGGUCGCGCAGCGUUCGACCUUGAGCGCACCGGUCGACCCCGAGGACGCACUCCUCGCGGGCACCUACGUCGCUCGCUGACUACAGCGGAGACGAAUGCAUGCCGCCUCCGCCGCAAGAAUGCUAACUCACCUCGACUAGCCAUCCAGUUAUCAGAACGCGAGGGAGCUAAAGAGGCGGCGGCGAAGGCAAAAGUGGUAUGUCACGCGAAGGAGCAAGACCGCCUACUCCAUAGGCUGUUCAGCAUGCGGGGCAGCUCCGACGAGGACGACAACGACACCUCCACCUCCGGCUCCGAUGUUAACGACGACAAUGCUCCACCGCACGGUGACGUCUAAACGUAGAAGAGGCAUAACCGCGUGGAUGACCGAAAAGGGAAGGGGAUAAAAAUGGAGGGAGUGCUACAAAAGAUGUCCCUGGGGCCUGCUGAUCAUUCGCCAGAAACUGUGGGAAUGAAUAUGAUACAACGCCGUAGUAUCAAUCGGUUUUCACUUUGUUUUUCGUCAACAGCUGGUUACUUUUUCUAACGAAAUGAAAUUUUCUCCUAGAUUGCGCUUUCAGUAGGCAUCGACUGCGUGUUGGAAAACUAUGCAACCAUUCCAUUAUUUGUAAUGGGCAAAACUAUUUUUUUCGUCCUUUUACCUUUUUUUAAAGUUGGUUUGUUGAACAUUAAAUAUACCUGUUGCACGUCCCGUAACAUGUGUAGUUAAAACUUUAAAUAAUUCAGUUGUACUACUAAUAUCUUUUGAUGUGUUAGUUUGAUUUUCAAAACUUUAGAUGACCAGUUGCACAUCAUAUACACACCGUUGCAUAUUUUCAAGAUGUGCAUUUGUGUAGUGUGCAAUGAUUUCUGUGUUAUGUGUAUGUUUUUCAUAAUUUUCACGGGUGCUAUUUUCCGCUUUUUAUUCUUGCUGAUUGAAACUUUGUUUUUUUUCUCCAUGUACUAAUAUAUUUUUCAUAUUACCAAUUAUAUUCACUGACGGAGCGUCGGGGGGACCAAGGAGGGACCUCCCCCGNNNNNNNNNNNNNNNNNNNNNNNNNNNNNNNNNNNNNNNNNNNNNNNNNNNNNNNNNNNNNNNNNNNNNNNNNNNNNNNNNNNNNNNNNNNNNNNNNNNNNNNNNNNNNNNNNNNNNNNNNNNNNNNNNNNNNNNNNNNNNNNNNNNNNNNNNNNNNNNNNNNNNNNCCUCUUACAAGAGGAAAAUUGCAAGGAUAUGCUCCUCUAAGCAUAAACUCUCUGGUAAUCUCCCGGCAUCCUUAAUUUCUCUAGCUAGCCCCUCCUUGGAUUUAGAUUACGCUUCCGCCACUUAGUAUAUUUGUGCAUAUUUGUUGAGCUUUAUUUUCACAUCUUCGUUUGGUCAAGCACAUAUUCAAAGUACCAAUCGGACUCUCUUUAAAAAACAGUUCUAGUGUGCACGCCGGUGUAAAAUCUCGAUGAAAAGAUCGAAUAUGUGAAAUUUAGAAGCUUUGCAGUUUAAUCGUGGCAGGUUUCUUUUAGGAUCUAAGCUAAUGUUUGUUAUAUGGAAUGCAAAGUGUUCCAGUUUAUAAAGAAAGAUCCAAAUUAAACUAAUGCUUAGAGUUUUUGUCAAAGUGUUCCAUUUGUCUGGCCCAGAAUCAAAUGGGUAACUUAACCGAAACCACUUGUCAUUGUAUUCCAUGGGCUUACCUAUGAAGCAUUGAUACAACAAUACAGAAUACGAUAAUUUUUAAAAACAUCAAUACGUCAAUACAGUAAGUAUAUACAAAUAAUAAUAAAAUAAUUGUAAUAAAAACAAACAUAAUAAAUUGUGUUAGAAUAGAUCAAAAUGUACUAGGCGAUGAAUAAAACUCCCUUUCACCCACAAAAAAGUGUAAUAGGCAGUGCAUUAGUAAGUUGUUCAUGGCUUAAUAAGAAGGUUAGCGUAUGUUUUAGGAUAAUUCUUCGGGUGCGCUUUGUCAGCGGCUCAUGUCCCUUUUCUUUGCGAGCGGACGAGCAUCGCGGAGUUAACACUGUUAGCAUAUGACUAAUUAUUAGCAAAGCAGUAACAUUAGCAAGCAACUACUAUCUCUACACAACCUACUGAAUCAAGUAAUCUACAACUACAAGGAGCCAACCUGCUCAAUCUACUACAAUGUCAACCUACUUCAUCACUAAUAAUUGAAGACGAAAAGAUGAAUGGAUAGAUCAAGUAAAGAGGUGGCGAGUGUGACCAGCAACGACGACAGAGUUCAGUCGAUGUGGGGCGUUAGGAGUUGAUAGGGCAGCGAACAGAGUGAAAUGAGUACUCAAGUUAGGGUUAGUAUUGGGCUUGUACUGGGCUGGCCGUAUCCCAGCCGUGGACGGUGAACAACAUGUAUCGGUGUUUUUAUCUUCUUUUUUUCAAAUUAAAAAAAGAUACUUCGGUGAUACCAGUAUUGAUGCCGUAUCACACGUAUCAGCGUCUGAAAUACAGGACAGCGAUACACAUGUCUUACAAGUAUCGGUGCUUCGUAGGGGCUUACUGGGAUGGAGUGUUAGUGGACAGCGGACGAAGAUGACGAUGCCACGGAGGUCGACCAGUCGGCAGUCGUGAGCUGUUCAUGGCGCAGCUGACAACGAAGUGCUGGAUCGAUGGCCAAAUUUAAUCAAGAAAACAUUUUUUUCCCUGCAUAUAAAAAGAGAAAAGGAAAGGUAGUACGUACUACUCUUCCCCGCCGCAGCCGCNNNNNNNNNNNNNNNNNNNNNNNNNNNNNNNNNNNNNNNNNNNNNNNNNNNNNNNNNNNNNNNNNNNNNNNNNNNNNNNNNNNNNNNNNNNNNNNNNNNNNNNNNNNNNNNNNNNNNNNNNNNNNNNNNNNNNNNNNNNNNNNNCAAUCGGAGCAUUCAAGGUUCAAGUGGAAGCUACCGCUGACCGACAGGGCCUUGCAUGCAUGCAUGCUGGCGCCACCAAUCAUCUCGCGUAUACGUGUCGGAGCAUACGAAGUGGCCUGAUCGAUGGCGUAUACGUGUGUCGUCUACGGCCAAAUUGAAUCAAGAAAACUUUUUUUCCUGCAUAUAAUAAUAAGAGAAAAGGAAAGGUACUACUAUUCCCCGCCGCAGCCGCNNNNNNNNNNNNNNNNNNNNNNNNNNNNNNNNNNNNNNNNNNNNNNNNNNNNNNNNNNNNNNNNNNNNNNNNNNNNNNNNNNNNNNNNNNNNNNNNNNNNNNNNNNNNNNNNNNNNNNNNNNNNNNNNNNNNNNNNCAAUCGGAGCAUUCAAGAUUACUCCCUCCGUACCUAAAUAUAACUUUUUAAAUAUUUCACUAGAUGUCUACAUACAAAGCAAAAUGAAUGAACCUAUGUUUUAAAAUAUGUUCAUAUACAUCCGUAUAUAGUUCAUUAGUUGAACCUCUAGAAAGACUUAUAUUUAGCAAGGGAGUAGAUUUCAAGCGUAAGCAACUGCUGACCGAUAGCCAGAACCAUGCAUGCAUGCAUGCAUGCAUGCUGGCGCCACCAAUCAUCUCGAGCACUCACCAUCAUCGCCAGCACUCACGGCAGCUUCCGGCCGCACGCGACCGGGGCCCGCAUGUCGGCGCGGUUUGACCGCCCCGUCGUUUUCUUCAACGCACGCGCGCGCGCUCGAUCGUAAACUAUUUUCCACGUGCUGUUUUUAAAUGCAAAUGAAUUCGGCGCAUGCGCACCAGCCACUACUACUUGUAUGCGCCAGCCUUUGUAUAUUUCGUCACGUGCCGUGCGUGCAUGCAUGCAUGCAUGUUCCCUUCUCCGGUUUCCGUGACGUUGAAAGGUUCUCCAAACCGAUCGCCAGCCGUGAUCGAAUCACAGAAAAGACCCAGCAUAUUUUGGUAGUACGUUAAUUUUGUUUUUGAGGAACCAGCAGGAGUUCUGCCUUUUUAUAUAAAAAAAGAAGAAUUGACCAGUUAAUUUUGAUAGUAUGUUAUUGCCAUUGUAUGUGACCAACUGAGUCGAGGGCCCGCGCUGCCUGCGUUAGAUCGAUGAUGACCUAACUACGUCGACCAGCUCUCCUACCAGAGGCGCUCAGUCGUAUUUAAGGCGGUAAUAUAAUGCUACCGGGAAUCUUCUAAAUUGCCAGGAAGUGCGGAAUAGAGGGGUGGUUUUCUGAGCGAUCCCAUCAGCUCUCCUACCACAGGCGCUUUGGUCGUAUUUAAGGUGAGGAACUGUUCUUUGUUGAUCAGGAGACGACCAACUCUUCUAGUGGCUCUACUGUUUCAAAGAGGAACCUUGGCUGGAAUCUCGCAUUUCUACACCUAGUGUGAUUCUACAACUUUUUGUCGUGUUGUUUCGCCUUUGUAUUUUUUUUAUUUCCCUGUAUAUUAAAAAAAUGGGACUAUCUAUUUGUCAUCCGACUAAAAAUCAAUUGGACAUCAUUCACAUUUUCCGACUGAAAAUCUGUUUUACCCGGUACAUUCCAUGUUGUUCUAUCUUCAUAAAAAAUGUCCUACUUUUUUUCGAAACCACCGUCCCAAUUGCUAAGGUUUCCGAGGAGCGCUCUACGCAAUUAUUGACCUCUUGGUCACGGCAUGAACACCUGCGACUACUUUUCCAACGACGACUUCUUCCCUAACAUCGACAACCUCUUGGGUGACAACAACAUCAAUGCCAAUGCCAAAGCUAAUGCCACUGCAUAACUCAGUUUGUGUUUAUGUCUUUUUUGUUCGAGAUCCUACUAGAGUUUCUUGUUCUUGUAUCUGUUCUAGAUAUGUUAUCUUCUAAUUCACAUCUUCAUAUGCUACUCGCCUUCUCUCUGUUAGAUUGCAUGACUUGUUUCGUAUCUGCUAUAUUAGUCAUGUUUUAUCUACUAUUUCUAUUAAUAAAAUCAUAUGAUAAAUUGCUUAUUUUUUUAUCAAUUCAAAAACCUUAUAAUAGGCAAUUUAACCAGAGUAGUUUUGCUGCUUUCAUGAUGCCUCUUAGGUUUAAGGGUGUUUACUAUAAGAGGUGAUGUGUGAGAGCAGUUUUAUGGUUUCAAACCAUGAGCUGCUAUGAUGCCAAAGCCACUUUGGAACAUCCUAUGUUUGCUCUGGUACUUCCGAGAACAAUAUUUUCAUGGCUCAGUUGUGACUUACUAUUUACUGUAAAUCCUCUUUCAAAGAACUGCUUGGUCUAGCUACUACGUACUACCAAUCAACUGGUUUUACCUGGUACAUUCCAUGUUGUUCUAUCUUCACAGAGAAUGUGCUGCUUUUUUUUCGGAACCACCAUCCCAAUUGCUAAUUGUACUUACAAGUACUAAUAUGUUUUCACCUAGUAACAAAACAUUGCCGUCACGUUCAUUUUUUUUCGACGGUCUCGGUGGUUCUGCUAGUUUACAACUGGUGCUUCCAAGCCUAGUUUCUAUAUGCAUUAAAAGUCACUAGCAAAAUGGCCCGUGCGUUGCCACGGAAGAUAAAAACAUAAUCUCCAAUGAUGGUGACCACAUUAUGUUCAUAUAUCAUCGCUUGAUUUUAAAAAUUUAUGCACAAAUGCGAGAAAAUAUUUCUUCUUUUAAAUUUAUUCACAAGUUGAAGCAAUCUUUACAUUGUCAAAAAAUAUAUAUCAUGGUUGUCAAAAAUCUUGGUAACUCAAAGAUUUAUUCUGAAUUUCAAUAUUUUUUAAAAAAAACAUACAAUAAUAAUUUGAUCCAUCCAACAAUUAAUUCUUCAAAAUUCACACAGGUAUAUUGUCACAAAGACAUAGAAGUAUUAAUGUUUCACUACAUACAUUAGAUCUUUUGUGGAGAAUUUUAAAAAUAUGGAAAUAAUUUUAAAAUCGAGAACAUUUUUUACAAUUUACAAACAUUUACUAAAAAUCGUGAAUAUUUUUUAUAUUCCGAACGGGUUUAAAUAUUUUCUUUUGAAUUGGCGACCAGUUCAAGAAAAGACGAUCAUAAUUUUUUAUGUUGGAGGAUUUUAUUUUAAAUUCACAAACAUUUUUUGAAAUGCAUGAAGUUUUUCUGAAUAAACAAACAUUUUUAUAAAUCAGUAAUAUAUUUACUAAAUUAAUGGACAUUGUUUUGGAAUUUGCAAAAAAAAUAUAAUAAUCCGGCGCUUUUUUGAAUCCACAAACAUUUUAUGUUUUCGUCAGCAUUUAAUUCAAAAUUCCUCUUUUUUAAGAUGCAAAAGUUUUUGUAAUUCUAAAUUAUUUCAACUAGAAAUAAACAAAAAUGGAACGGAAAAUUUUAAAUAAAAAAAAGAAACUAUCGAAACAGGCAUUAGCUAUUUUUAAAAUUUUAGGACAUUCUUUAAAUGCAUUACCAUAUUUUGAAUUAGAAAGUAUUUUGUUAAAUGCCUUUAAUAAUUUUUAAUACAUGGAAUUGUAUUUGAAAUCAUGGACUUUUCUUAUUGUACAAACAUUUUAUUGUAUAUGCGAUAAUUUUUUACAAAACUCCGAGCAGUUUUUGAAGUCACAAACAUUUUAUUUUUUAAAAUAUGUUGAUUUAUAAUUUUCAGUUUAUUAAAUUUUUAAAGAUUAUUUGAAGUUCUAAAUUAUUGAAAAUAAAAAAUAAAAUGGAACUGAAAAUAAAUAAAUAAACGGAACUAAAAGCAGGCGUCUGUGCAAGGGCCGGCCCAUACGGUGUGCUGGAUAUUCUCCCAGCGUGCAGAGCGUAAUAUAGGAGGUUUUUACAUGGGCCGGCCCAGUUCAAGAUUUUUUUGCUUUCUGAAACAUUUUCUAUUACUUACCAGUGGCAUGGUGGGUAAUAAAUGCAAAUUUUAAGGGUAAUCUCCAUGACGGACGACGAGAAACCGAAUUUGCUUUAUUAUUAGGGAGAGAUAUUUUGGACUCUCUGUCUCUAUCAAUAGCCUUUCAUAUCCUUCUAUGGCUGCAUCCAUCACAUCCAUAUAAUUUAUCAUUGUUCAUCCCUGUAAGCCACUUCUAAUUUACUUCACUUCACUCCACCCACCUAUCACAUAGAGGAAGAGAUAUCCAAGGUAAGAAAAUAAGAGAGGAGUGCUGGAUGAUUCCAUGUCCAGUGUUCGAUUUUUGUAAAGCCAAGAGCUCCCCUUUCUCGAAUUAUGGAGAGAAGCUUUGAUGCAAGAUCAUUCAAGGAGUACUUAUCAAGUGACUUUUAUUUUCUUGUUACUCUUGGAUAGUAAGCACAUAACCUAGAUGGUUAGGAGUCACUUAAAAUAUAAUCCUUUCAAGUUCUAGGUGUGAAGGAUCCAAAAGCUUGUGUUGUUUUGUCUUUGUACAUUUCUGUUCAUUGUGCAUUGGAACAUGCAAGAACUAGAAAACAUGUCGGGAGAUCGACUUGGGAGGCGACACUCGAGGCGAUUCCGACGAUGGCACGGAAUUGAUUAGAGCAAACAAACGUGGUUACCAUGCAAACUCCUCCUGUUCCGGAGUGAGAUCAACGAGUGACACAUUGUAAAUCAUCUUAACACCGCGGGGUUGUAAGGAGGGGAGAUGUGGAUUACAUGUUUGUGCUCCAAAGUAGACCAUUUCUUGCCAGUGUUGCUGGACCUUUGCCGGACGCCUUUAGCAACUGAGAUGUUUUUCACCAUUUUCGUUGUAUUUCUUAGUUUCAUUUUCUUGUUAUUAUUGUCUUUUGUUCAAAACCACAAGGCUCUGUCUAGCCAUGAAUUGGUCUUUACAUUCCCUCAGGUAGAUCUUUGGCAAGUGUGAUUUUUUGGUCUUUUAUGUUUUGAUUUUAAUGUGAUUAUGUUUACAACGGAGUUGUGGCUUUGAGAGGUAUUCAGAAAGCUGAUUAAGCGCCCAAUGACAACAAGAUACGUGUUCCAGCAGGACAAGAUACUACGCCCAAAAGAAACUCCAAAUUUAUCCACAAGAAUCAAACUUCCAAGGUGAUUUUUUUUUGUUCUAGUUUGGAUAUGGUGAUAUACAUCCAUUUCCAAUCACUUCACAACAAAUUAGUUGUACAUGUAUUUAUUUUAGCCUUUUCAUCUGCUAUGUAUAAGAUAGGGGGUACAAGUACAAUCCGUUAAUUUCGACAUUAUUCUUCUUUCUGAAAAAUGGAUGUUGUUAUAGUGAUCCCAUUUCACACGCGCUAUCUCUGAUUGCUAAAGUUCUUGGCCUUUUCUGAUACAUAACAAAAAGUGCAGAAAUAAACUUUGCUCCUAGGUAUUGUUACAUACAUGGGCGGAGCUGUAUGGAGCUACCCUGUUGCAUGGGCAACAGGUCAAGUAGCUUCUUACAUGUAGUUUAGUACUUGGAUUAAGCAUGUGUAUAAGUGCAUCAGGCUAAACUAGCAAGGGUGCAACAGGGUAAAUGCAGAUGCAGCUCCGCCCCUGGUUACAUAACCCUUGGCAACCUUGUUCUUUUUUCUAUCUUAUUUCAAAACUCAAUGCCAAACAAGAUAAGACCACGCUUGGAGGUUAGUGUUGUCUCCGUUAGGCUAACCAACACCUCAUCAUCGCAGCCUUCCUCGUUGUAGAACUCACCCAGCUCCACCUCCACCCAACCGUCGUCCCUCCUCCGAGGGAUUGCCAUGUCAUCUCCAAGAGUAAUUUCCCAUUCUAGUCUAUAUGCAGAUGAUUCCAAGACAUGUAUACCCUCCUCCACACAACUUUGCAGGCAAACUUGCGAGAUUGAUAUCUGUCCUUCUCCUACGCUAAAUGAAGCCUCCUUGAAGGGAUAAUCCAACCCACAAAAUGAAGUGGGGUGUAGUUUAAACACCAUGUAAGCGGCAUACGUUACGUUUCCGGAGAGCAUCUUGCUGUGUAUCUUGCCAUGGAUUUCUAGCUUGCCACACUUCCUAAUCGUCACGACAUGUGGGAAUCUAUCACGAAAUAUAGACAGAAUUAAGAUUUUUUUUGAAACGGAGGUAAAAGCUUUGCCUUAUCUCAUUAAUAAAGAAGAAGAGCAUUGCCCGGUUGAAUAACGAAAAACCGGGUGAAAAACCAUUGCAACAUGUCCACACAUGACACACGGGGUGACCUGGCAACCCGUAAAUGAACGCACAUACGUCACCGAGGAGAGAACACCGUUGAGGCUGCAACCCGGUGUCAUCGUCAUCACACCUACACAAGCGCGACUCCAACUUUACCAUCGACGACCAUCAAUAUAGCCCUCACCGUAAGCAAACGCUGAGGCCCACGCUGACCACUACCAAACAGUCAACCACACGCGCCAACUACCAAGCAGCUCCGACUGUGCCGACGAGCAUUCUAGUAGAAAAGCACUGAGACUGAGCCGAGCCAGCGCCAGAACCGACCACCCGCCUCGCGUCAUCAUCGUCGCAAGGCCCCUCCUGAGCAGCUUCGACUCCAGGAAGGCAAAGUGAGGUGCAGCAACCCCUCGAACAUGCGGAUGAGACCGACUACCAAAACUCAGCAACAAACCAACUACACCCAAAACCGCCAUCGUCACCGCACAAGAAGUUGCGCCAACCACAUCACCAGUCGGGCACCUGCCGACCACGAUGUCGUAUGUGUCCAGCUCUUGGAAAGCAUGAAGGAGGCCAAUGACCCUCAAGGCAACGCCCCCAAGGGGGUAGAGCGAGGUGAGAGGAUGAAGCCGUCACCCGACUCACAUCGGAGUCUUAGGCUUUCGCCCGAUGACCAUGGUCCGAAGGUGCUGGGCAAGGAGAGGCUCCACAAUGACCCCCAAGGAGGAAAAACGAUGUCCGCGGACGCCGUGACGUCUAGGAUUUUGCCCAGAGCCACCUCGGCGAGCACCCCCAUGCAACGAGUGGCGCAACACCAUCGCUCUGUAAGCCCGCUGUCCCACGCAGCUCCUACGCGACAACGGUGCCAUCCUCACGCAAGAGCCACCAACCUCAACGCCUGCAAACUCCGGCGAGCCGGAGCCGGCCAAGUCGGCCAAAUCCGACGCCCACCACCGCCACAGAAAUGCCUAGACCACACCGGGAGCCCGAUGCGAGGCCGUCGCCCAACCUUCAGCCGCCCGACGCGACCACCUCGAGCCAGACCACACACGCGCCAGAUACGCGCCACCAUCCGCGCCAGCUCGCAAAUGGCCGCGCCGCGCGCCAAGACCACCUCGCGCCGCCUGGUGCAGCAGAGCACCGGCGCCGCCCCUCGGUGCCACCCGAAUCCACCGCCGGCCCGACACGUCACACCAAGCUGCGCGCCUCCACAAGGUCGGUUGCCCUGCACCGCCCGAAUGCCUCAUGGGGAGAGAUGAGUCCCGCCGCCGCCGACGCACGCAUGGGCUUUGCCCGGCGGCGUCCCCGAGCAGCGGUGAGGAAGGGGAGAGGCAAGUUGUGGGGUGGCGGUGGCGGGGAGCUAGGGUUGCGCCCGGGCCGCUCGAGGGAGCGGCACGGGGCGGGGGUUUAUUCCUAUGGAACGAUCUUGUGGACUGUAGUUUCGUCUGGCCUGACAGAAUUAAGAUUCGUGCCAUGCGUGGAAAAAUACUACUCCCAAUAAUAUAAUUGGGAGAAUUCGUUAUCAUGGAAAUGUAAGGCUUUAUUAACCUUUUGCUAGUGUUGAGAGCUUCGUAAUCAAAACCGCUAGGACUCAAGUACUAUAGGUAGCGCCGGUACUUGGCGAUCUGUAGUAUCUCCGCGGAAAGCACGAAGCACUUGGCGCCGGUAGCCUUGUCGAGCCUCAUGUGCUGCACCACACAUGUGUGUUUGUAGGUAUGUGCAGCAAAACAAAACGAAUAAACCGCGAACAUUUUAAUUAGUGCAUGCAUGGAUCCAUAUGAAAACAUCUCUCGUGCCGGUCGAGGAAUUAGAAGAAAAAAAAACCUAGCUAGCGAGCUUUUAUAUGUUUUACGAUGAAAUUCAGAUGAAGUUUGAUGGUGGUAAUACGACAUACCAUGAGCUUGCGCGGGAGGAAGGCGGGCAGGCAGGAGAGGCGCUGGAAGAGCGCCUUCUUAGACACCGCCCAGCGCCUCUCUUAGACACCGUCGUCGGGGCAAUCAUCUUCUUGGCGAAGCGCGGAAGCUCACGUGGCACGAAGCAGAACCAUACGGUGUCGGCGGCGGCGCGGAAAGGCCGGGAGACGGCUGCGGCAUGGCAGGCGGCCACCGGCGAUGUGAGGGAGAUCACCCGCACAAGUAGCUUGUCCGGCAGGCACCGAUCUGAGAUGACGCAGUAGUAGAAGAUGGUCCAUUUGUCCCGGUUCCACAGGCCCAUUAGCCCCUGUUCUGGACCGGGACUAAAGGGUCGGGACUAAAGCCCAAAACCUUUAGUCCCGGUUCGCUUACCAACUGAGACAGAAGCAGAUCACGUGGACGAUGUUCAAUCUGCAUAAUAUAUAUAGUGAGGAUAAUUAUAUAUACAUGCAAUGAAUGAGCUGAGCUAGAGAAUUAACUAUAUAAGUAAUACUUACAGACAGUAGGAAGUCAUGAGUUGUUUGUCAAUGGUUAGUUGAUUGUAUAACUGAAAUAACUCCUCAAAUUGGAUAGGAAUCACGAGAAGUCCAAUGAACUCGCGCUGUGGUUUCACUGCCACAUACAUAGCGUCUUUCCCAGACUCCCUGCAGGUUUUCAUGUACCACUCAUGCAAUUUGUGUAUCAUCGUUGUUAGAGGAAGAUGACUAGGUUUUACGAGAGGCUUCCCAUGCACGUAUUUAUAUUGUUCUUUUGUUACCUCAGCCGUUUCAAAAAUUACAUCAUCCCCCAAGUAAUCAUCAGGAUUGGUACCGGGCACCAUCCCCGGAUGAUUAGCGAUGACGAUAUCGCUAGACACCUUGAGCGGGGGGCACGAUUGCUUCUCCUAUUGGCUGAACUGGGGAAUUGUUUUCCCACUUCUUCGUUCUGCUAUGUACCUUGCAUCACCGGAAGUAGUUCCUGACCGCCGCGCUUGUGCAUAUGUAUUUUUAAGAAUGCGGUCAUAGUUGGAAUCCCGGCAGAGGCGGUGGUGGUCGCUUCAGUUGAUUGAUAAUGGGCUCCACUUUCCCCGGAUCUAGCUUCUCCAUCUGAGGUGGAGUUAUUUUGCAAAAUGGGCCCUCAAUACGGCACGACAUAUGUCCUCUCAUAUGGUAACUUUUCCAGAGGCUUGAGAGAUGGAUCGUAUCUGAAUUGCCUCCCGCCUCUGCUUGUACUUCUAGCCGCCGGAGAGAAGGAGGCGUCUCUCUUCCGCUUGAGAGAAGGAGGCGGACUGCUCUGACGCGCCGGAGGAGCCGGAGCAGCGGCGUUUGUCUUCCGACGUUGCCGACGAGGUGAAGGAGGAGGCGGACUGCUCUAACGCGCCGGAGUAGGCGAAGGAGGAGGCCGGAGUUGGCCGUAGCAGCAACAGUGACAUCGGUAGCAUCCUCUGCCGCCUUUUUCUCGGCUUCGGCCUUCUCGCGGGCGAGACGGUCGGCUUCGGUUGGUGAAGACAUGGCGAUGACGAAGGCGACAUAGAUGUAGAUGAAGCAGACGGACGGAGGCGAGCAGUCACGUGAUCGCUCCCUAAAAACCUAAUUGCCCCUCUUCCGUACCGGAUCAGUAGAGGCGUGGUUUCGGACGCCUGCUCUCCCGUCGACCGUGUACACUAUGAACGACCCGGAGUCGCCGGCGGCAGUAGCAGCAAAAGGAAUGAGCGCAUGAGGCAUAGGCGAUCUGAUCUCGUGAAUGCUAGGGUUGGCGCUAGCCGUGCUUAUAUAGGUGCGACCGGGUGGAGAGACGUGGGCUGGACCCACGUCCGAGUCGGUAAUAGCCCACAAAAAUAAGUGCGUACGUAUGAGUUCAGCUCGGCUCAUUCCCGCAACCCGUGGCGCGUCGUGACGAGGCGUCGCAUGGUGAGGCGGGCGACGGAGGAGGAGUGCGCGAGGGCCUCUUCUCUUCUCAUGCUCCAAUAGGAUGUAGAAGAGAGACCCUUAUAAAGGGGUCUAAUUCCCUCUCCACUAGGCCCUUGUCAUGCCACCAGUUACAUAGGCCCUUGGAGAUUUCUGAAAUUUUCUCAUGGGUCUUAGGCCCAUCACAGAUUUCAACAAUCCCCAUCAGAUCUCAAGGGCACAUUGUAUUCUUUCGUUCCAAUCACCGUUUUGAUAUACCAUCAUUUCAGUGAAGACCUGUUAAGGUUGAGCUUCACCUAGAGCAAGCAGCUACACUCCUUUACAACUGAACAAUGGACUAUGCCUUGAAUUGAUAGUUUGGCGUAAAGAAGUUUCACCACAAGUCUUACUAGUACUAGGCUGCCGAAGGCUGACCCCUCGGGUGGAGCAUAUUAGUCACACUCCUGACCUAUUCAUGAGUUUACUGGAGAUCACCCCAAUCUCAUAGAGUGUGACCAGUAGUUGGUUUCAUACAGGUGUGUUCCUCCAAAGAUCGCUCUGCAGGAUAUCAUUUUGCUUGCACAUAAGCUUUAGAACACAUUAAGACGUUAGUCAUCCUACUAUACAGUAUCGGAGAGUAUUGCAUCUUCAACGGAGUGGGUUAGUAAAGUUACUCUCCUCGGUUCACCACUUGCUUGUUUUCCCAGGUCCUACUUCACGGGAUCUUCGAUCACAUAGGUUGGGUUACUGCCAUGGCAACUCAUAUGGAUCUCAUACCCAUCUCCCUUGAUGCACUAUCUAUCACAACAUGUAAUAGCCCUUUAGUAAAGGGAUCUGCCAGAUUCUUAGCCGUUUGGAUGUAAUCCAACGCUAUCACUCCGGAGUUUCUUAAACGUGCGACAGACCUCAAUGUCAUUGUUAUAUGUUUGUUGGACUUCAUGUUGUCCUUUGAACUAUUCACUUUGACAAUAACUGUCUAAUUAUCACAGUUCAUAAGGAUAGCCGGAACCGGCUUCUCAACCACACGAAAGUCCAUCAACAGAUCUUGAAGAAAUUCUGCUUCGAUACCAGAUGUGUCUAAUGCUGUUAAUUCUGCUUCCAUUGUCGAUUUUGGUAAGAUCGUUUGCUUGCAACGCUUCCACGAAACAGCACCACCUCCAAGAGUAAACAUAUACCCAGUAGUGGCCUUCAUCUCAUCAGCAUCAGAGAUCCAAUUCGCAUCACUAUACCCUUCAAGUGUCGACGGGCAUCCUGUAUAGUGAAGUCCGUGGUUGAUAGUACCUUUUAGAUAGCGCAUAAUUCAUUCAACAACAUGCCAAUGAACAUCACCCGGAUUGGCAACAAACCGGCUCAGUUUGCUCAUAGCAAACGCGAUGUCAGACCUCGUUGCGCUAGCUAGAUAUAUAAGUGAACCAAAAAUUUGAGAGAAUCUCAAUUAAUCUAUAUACAUGCGUGUGAACUUUCGAAUCAACGCACUAGGAUCAUAUGGUGUUGGAGAAAUUUUGCAGUCUGAAUAUCCAAAAUGACUCAAAAUCUUCUCAACAUAGUGGGAUUGCGGAAGUGUAGUCCCACCCUCAUCAUCUCUGCACAGCUUGAUGUUCAAGAUAACAUCAUCCAUUCCAAGGUCCUUCAUCACAAAGUUCUAAGACAGAAAAGAUUAACCUCCUCAAUCACUUUGAGGUUGCUUCCAAAUAUCAGUAGGUCAUCAACAUACAAGCACAAUAUAACUCCUUCCCCUCACCAUGACGUUAGUAUACACAUUUAUCAGCUUAAUUAACAACGAAACCAACAUAUGUCAAAGUUGUAUUAAACUUCUCAUGCCAUUGCUUAGGUGCUUGUCUCAUGCCAUAUAAAUAUUUCAACAACUUACACACUUUUCCUUCCUCUGCACAAUCGCACAUCAAGAGAGUUCUACAAAGAUUGGAUGAAAAUCACAAGUUUCUUCUCAUCCUCUUCCUCUGCACAAUCUGGCACUCCUAUCAUUGCCGCCUGCAAGAAAAAAAUGAUGGCAAGGCUCAGAAAGCAAACCAAAGAAACUAACAUGAUAGAGCAUCAAAUACUAAUGUAUAGGUUAGGCUGUGGACAACGAGCCACAUAUAAUAAUAAAAGGGCAGCACAUAAUAACCCAUUAUAGGUUCGCGCACAUGUACCACAAAACAUUUUCUUAUAUUAUUUAUCUCAAGACUUUCAUGUAGAUGUUAGACAUGCUUGAAAAGAAACCUAGCUUAAAGAGAAAAAUAAAUCUACAAUCUUAGGAUAAUCAUGACAAUCUUGGUAUAACAAGAAUCUGCCCACGAGCAACAGAUCAGGCUACAUAUAGAUAAAAGAAUUAACGAUUGUAAUUUUAGCUCAUAACCAGUUCUAAAAAUUCUAGUUAAGCACUUGCUGCUAACAAUGGAUGAAUUGUGAAUAAUCUAUAGUAAGUUUGCCCAAUUAAUUUCUUCUGGAGAUACGUUUAGUUGAAAGUAGAUAAGUCCUUUUGGAGCAUUACAUUGUUUCUUUAGUUUACUUAGCUUUUGUUUUUUAGAGACCACAAAGUGCAGCAUCGAUCAAACCAGGGUCUAGUUCCAGCCUUUCAAUACAAAAUGCUACUCGACAAUGUAAAGAUGCAAGUGCACAUGAAAAGAUAUCAUUUAUUAACAUGAAACUACCAAAAGGAGUUGAUGUCAUAUUUGAUAUGACACUGAAAUUCAUUACUAUGCUAGAAAUAUAUAUAUGUAAGGUCCACUAGGCAUGAUAUAUUUGGCUUUUAGAAUCAACAGCUUCACAAAGUCAGUGUUGUGCCACAAAAUACAGGUCGACCCAACUGCUAAGCAACCAACCACUCUACUGCUGAAACCACUGUCUGCCGGCAGACGCUUCUACCGGACACCUACUGAUCCAACUAUCACAUACUAAAUUUUCACCUUGCCCCGAUACCAACCCAGCAACCCGAGCAGUCACCUAGAUAAUGAAACCCAUGCGUACAUAUUGAUUUUAGUAGCAACAUGAGGAGGAAGGGGGUGCUUACAAUGAUAACUUGAAGAUGUUGGUUUGGUUGGGUGAGAGCAAGAAACCCGUGGCAGUCCCGCUCGUGGUUCUUCCGUCGAGGGCAAGCAAGCUCAAGGCGACGGUAGCAGUAGUCGGGACUCCAUCUCGCCACCCCAUGUCCAAAGGCGCCGUGCUGCAAGAUGAGGUAGACAAAGCCGGUGACGGGACGUCUUCCUCUCCGACGACGCAAGCAACGACGAUCGCUCGUCUCAGAUGCACGGAGGAAGGAGGGGGAUCACCUGGUGGCAGUGAAGGAUAUGAGUGGCGAUACAACGAUGGAAGAGGAUAGCGGUGGUGGGAGUCGAUUGGAUCUGAGAGACAACAAGGAGAGUGGCACAUGUACUCGGUGUAGCGGGGGCACGCAGGGAUGGAUGCCAAAAAUGAAUCGGCAGGGUGUGAUCUCCUCUAGCACGAGCUCUGGAGGAUAGCGUUGAGAGGAGGCGCUGGUGUUAUAUCCACCGUCGCCAUGGUCGUCCACGCCCACACCAUGGCCUCCUGCACUAAACGGGAGAAGAGAGUGUGGCAGCCAAAUCCGCCGACGCCAAUCUCGGGGCCUGCCGCAGCGAAUAGGGCAUAUGGGAUCGUGGCUGGGAGGUUGAUGGGAGAGGUGGAGAAGGGAGUGCAGGGGCCUGCUGCGUCGAACGGGAGCACAAGGGAUCUGGUGAGGGAAGGAAGGCUGGCGGCGGGAGAGGUGGGAGGAGAGUCGAGGGGGACAAGUCUGGACUCUGGAGAUAGGGUUAGGUUUCUGGGGAAGGGACUUUAUAUCCUAUUCCCUUUUUUUAGUGAAUUAUAUCCUAUUCACUUAAUGGGUCUACUCAAGUCCGUAUAGAUAUUGGAUUUAGGAAAUAUGGACCCAUAUUAUUGUCUUUAAUUGUAUUUUUUGAUUACCUAAAAAGAGGUGGUUUAAUCGUAUAUCCACAUCAUUGUACUUAUCGAUGGGAUGUGGUUUCGUUGUAUUUUUCAGGCACACAUACUGUAAGUUUAGGUGUAUUUUGUGAUGAACAUGCGGUGCAAAAGAGCACUUGUGCAGCCAAUCGGCAAGGCGUGUCACCCUUGUAUCACUGUAGGGACAUACAUUUAACGAGGCAAACAUAUUUGACUUUGAAAAUAAGAAAAGAAGAUAUGUAUCUCAAAAGGGCUCCCACCUCUCUACUUCUAUACAAAUUGCAUGUGGGUUGUCAUUGGAAAAAAAAAAAUUCAACAUACUAUGUUGAAAACUUUUUAUAUCUCCAUACUUCUUACCUGAACUUUUACAAUAAUUGUGUUAGAAUGAGGCAUGAGAUCAUGUUUAAGUUUUUAUUGUCUCAAACACCAAGUUAAGGUACCCUAUACCACCUUUCAUUUUUUAAUCUAAAUAGGGUCUACAAAUAAUGAGAUUAGCAUGUGCCCAUAUAUUUCAUUUUGGUAAUUAUAUUGUAUUUUCCAAAAUAUUUAGGAUAUGAAAAUGAAUAAUUAUAAUUUAUUGAUAUUUAUCUAAUAUCAUUUACUUCAUCCAUAUACGUAUAAAACAAAUUUUCGCUGUGUAUACAUGACACAUAGGCAAAAUUGAUGAGGUGUCGUCCAGUCACCUCCACGCAUAUGUUUACGAUCUUAUAUUUGGUCAUGGUAGCAUUGAAAUAUGAUCAUAAAUAAUACUACACAUCUUAAUGACCAUUUUUUGCAAUAGUAUCAUGACCUAAUGGACGCAAAAGGUCGUAACGUUGUGAGCUUUGGACCCUCUUAGACUUGCCAUACUAAUUUUAGAAUUUUGGUCAUGGAUCAAUGAUCAAUUAAACCACCGUCAUUAUUUUUGUCAUAAUUGAGCGUUUUUCCUGUAGUGAUAGCCGUGAGCCAUAAGGUGGUUUUUGUCUGCCAACGCUUGAAAUAAGUAUCGGUAAACUUAUCCGGUUUUACUGUAGCAGCAAAACCACUACUCGAAAAAUUUCUACACACAUUAGGUUAUUGGAUUGUUGAGUAAAUAGGAAAUUUUUUGAAUAGAUUAAUCCACGAAAUAAUCACUAACAUGGCACUGCCUAGAUUCAUGACAUACUAAUUACGGAGCAGACUAGCAAAUACUAAUGCAUAUAGUAGAAACAUCUACGCAUAUAGCUAGUACUACUAGAACUAAAAUAAACAGGAGCGGGAUAAACGAGUUAUAUCCUUCGAUCAGCCAGUUGGUCAUAGCAGCAGCAGUGACAGCGGCAACAUCCUCUGCCUUCUUCUUCUCGGCUUCGGCCUUCUCGCGAACGAGACGGUCGGCUUCGGUUGGCGAAGACAUGGCGAUGACGAGGGCGACACAAACGUAGAUGAAGCAGACAGACGGAGGCGAGCAGUCGCGUGAUCGCUCCCCAAAAAACAAAUCGCCCCUCUCCCGUACAUGAUCCGGAGAGGCGGGGUUUCGGAGGCUUGCUCUCCCGUCGAUCGUGUACGGGAUGAAUGAGACGGAGUCGCCGGUGGUAGGGUUGGCGGCACCGUAAAAAUAAACGCGUAGGUAUGAGCUCAGCUCGGCUCAUUUCCACAACCAGUGGCGAGGCGGACGACGGAGGAUGAGUAUGCGAGGGCCUCUUCUCUUCUCAUGCUCCAAUAUCAUGUAGAAGACAGACACUUAUAAAGGGGUUCAACUUCCUCUCCACUAGCAAGGUGAGACUAAGCUUUUUACCAUCCUUUGUCAUGUCAUCGUCUACAUGGACCGUUGGAGAUUUCUGAAAUUGCCUCAUGGGCCUUAGGCCCAUCACAGAUUUGAACACAUAUUGUUUUCUCCUUCUAUCUUUUUUGGUCAUUAUAUGCAAUAGAACAUGUGAGAGAUAGGACAAACAUGCAAGACGACUUGGGAGGCGACAAUGAAGAUGCCUUUUGGGGCUUGGGUGGUGUACUGAAUUUUUUAUUUUAAAGCUAGACACAGAAGUUGUUUAUAAUGCAUCCUUUAUCACAUCAAACGCGGAUACAACCUCCUCCUGUCGCAGAGUGAAAUCAACGAGGUGCCCACUAUAAAUCAUAUUAGUACAUUUGUGCCCUAAAAUAAACCAUUUUUUGUAAUGUUACAGGAACCUCUUUUAAAAACAAUAUAUGAACAUUCUUUGAAGACCACGAGAAUACUUUUUUUAAUUCACUGAACAAUAUAUGAACAUUCUUUGAAGACCACGAGAAUGUUUUUUUUUGAAAAUCACUGAGAAUUGAAGAGAGCGCUAAACGAUUCAUAUUUGGCCGAGCCACUAUAGGCUGUCCUCCCGCCGCGCUAAAGUCGAGAUAAAGACACGCUCUUUCAUAUUGUCUUUCACUACGAGAAAAUAUUGACAUAGAUUUUCAGAUAUAUCAUAUAUCUGUCUCAACAAGCACACAUAGCACUACCUCGUUCCUCAUGGGCAGGCCCAUUAAGGCCUUGUUCGAUUAAUCCUCCUCCGAAGGGGAUUGAAGAGGAUUGAAGUAAAAUUUAACUUGUUAGGGAUUUAAUCUACUCAAUCCCUGUCAAAUCCCUUUCAUUUCCCUGUCAACCGAACAAGGCCUAAGCUGUUUAUUUUAAGUUUCCUUGUUAGCUCCCACAUGGAUUGGACUAGUCAUUGGUAUCAUUUCAUUUCUCUUCUGGUGAUUGUUCGUUCCUAUGUGAACAGAACAACAUGUUUUUUAUUUUAAUUUUGAUUUUCCAUUUUAGUUUUCCUUUCAUAUAUAUAUAUUCCCUCCAUCCCAAAAUAACUGCCUUAACUUUAUACUAACUUUAAUAUAAAGUUAUAUUAAGCUUAAGACAUUUAUUUUGAGACGGAAGGAGUAAUUGGUUUUAUUCUAUAUUUUUCAAAAAGAGUGAUAAACCCAAAAUGAUAUUAAAAAGUUCACAUUAUUUUUAGACAGAGCAUUAACACUUUUAUAACUACAUGUAUAAUUUUUUCACGAGUGAACAUCUUUUUAUAUUUUUUUUCAUCAUGGGUUAAAAAGCAAUUCACCGUCCAUUUAUUAUUGGUCAUCAUGCAUAUAUAGAAUCAUCAUGUAGAUUUUACUUGUCGCUCAGCACUCACUAGGCGUCAGUGCUAUAUCUCACCUAUUGCAAGAUAGAACACGGUCCUCAAAUACUUCCUUCUUUCCUGACGUGUUUCUUCUUUUGUGCGCUAGAUUUUUUCUUGUUUUGGUAUAUAAAUUUUGCUUCUGUCCUAGCUCGCCCACGUGAAAUAUUCUAAUCCUAUUUUCGGUAUUUUCUGUUUUGUGAUUGGCAUCGAUUACAUAUUUAUAUGUUAAUCAUUUAUCCUGCUACAUGUUAAAACUAGCAAAAUGCACAUUGACCUUUUUUGAAUAUAUUUUUUCUUCAAAAAUGCAGUGAUAAUUUUUUAACAUGCAAUAUAUUUUAAAUGGCGUGGACAUAUUUUUUAGUAUCGCCAUUUCUCUGGAAUUGGCCCAUUUUUUUACAUUUCAUAAAUAAUUCGUUGAAUGCAUAGAUUUCUAUGUCAUGAUACUUAUUUUUUAAGGCAUAGAUUUCAAGAUAAUUUGUUGAAAGGUAUGAAAAUUCUUUACAUAUUACAUGAUAAAUGCUGUAAAUUUUCAAUGAUAUAAUUUCAGUUAUGAACAUAUGUUGUAAACUUUUGAACUUUGUUUAGAGACAUGAACAUUUUUUUAGCGACAUGAUCAUUUUUUGAAAUAAUGAAUACACAUAUUUAAACAUUUUUAAUGUGUAGUGAACAAGUUUUUACUGCUAAAUAAUUUUCUUUUUAUAAAGAGGUAAUAAAUAAUGAUCGUUUAAAACAAAAGUAAAAACAACAUAGAAAGGUAACAAGGUUGAAAUAUACAUGUAAGAGAAUAAAACAUAGAAUGUAACAACUAAUGGGCCGGCCUAUUAAACAACUUCGAAGCGACGCGUCAUUCAGCGAAAUCACUAAUUGAGGGGUACACCUUUUAAAGGCUAGUUCCAUCUUUCCAUAUUGCCACAAGUGACCCGUCACAUGUGUGUCACUUGUUGCAACCUAUGAGUUUCUAUUUUUUUGUAGAUCCUUUUAUUGAAAAUGUUUUAUAUCCAAAUCCAUGCAUCCAAAUCUCAAACCGUUUUCACGUUGGAUUCCUCACGUCGAGAUCUUCAAAAUUAUAUCCGUGUAGAUAGGUUUUCACAAACUUUUUUCAUGAAAAAUGCGAACAAAAUAACCAAACCGAAAGCACAUUUUUUUCCUUUUUCGAAAGAGGCAUGAUCGUACCCCUCGUGGAAGUAAAAAGAAGAAAAAAAAAAUUCUCCCCGUUUUCGAGCGGCAUGGUCAUGCCCCUCACGGAAGGAAAAAAGAAAGAAAGCGCAUUUUAUCCAUUUCCAAAAGGCACGCGGAAGAUUAAAACACAAAACAUAUUUUUUCCGUUUCUAAGAGGCAAGGUCAUGCCUCUCGUAGAUGCAAAUCCGUGCGUCUCGCAGAAGCAAAUACGUGCCCUCAUGGAAGAAAAAAUAAACAUGUAUUUUUUCGCUUCUAAGAAUUACGGGGUGCCUCUCACGGAAGCAAAAUCAUGCCAAUCGAGGAAGUAAAAAAUAUAUUUUUUGCUCAAUGAAAUCAAUUUUUCUUUCCAAAUGUUAAGAAAGAUCGACGAAAAACCAAAGAGCCAAAAUAACCAUGACAAAACCAAAUAAAAAGCCAAAAAUGCAUGCAAAAAAUGAAAUAAAAAUAAAAAAUUCGGAAGAAGCGUCUAAAGCAUGACACAUGGCAGGUGGUAAGAGAUUGCCAAAUGGCACGCUCUCAGCAUGACCCUUGAGAGGCUUCCGAAGGGGUGCUCCUCCACUAGUGGCACACUCUCAGCGUCAUUCAGUAUUGUAGUGAGCGGAUGUAUGCUUCGGGUGCACCGAGUGUAACAUCCGAGUCGCUAAAGGGGGUGAGCAAGAUGGGCCGGUCCAUGCAGGCGAGACCACAACCUGUUUUUCUGUUUUCUGUUUCUGUUUUCUAAACAUACGAUUUAUGUGUAUUUUAGGUCUUUGAAUCAUAUAGGGUCAUGGUAUUCACCAUACAGCAUGUAGAAUAUUUAUUCUUCACCCCUUCUGUUUUAACAUCACAACAUCAUAUUUUUAUGUUUGGUAAUAUUUUGUGUUAUGUCAGAAGUCAAACGCGAACGUAAGAAAAUAUAUAUCGGCUAUGACAAAUAUUUUAUGUUAAGUAAAAUAAUGAAAUUAAUUUAGUACACAACAUACAUAAAAAUGUAUAUUUUUUGUAGCCUUUAGGCUUACCUUAUUUUCUCGUGCCAAAUUUACCAUAUUGAAACAAUAUGGACAUAACAAUUUAUGUACCAAACAUAAUUUUAUAGCGAAACGAUCUUAAGAAUAACUCGAGUGCAAAAUGACAUACUCUGCACCCUGGGUGUUGAGUGGGAGAGGAUUUGGGGCAUGCAGGUGCGGGGCACCGAGUCUCUCGCGCGUGCUUUUUUUGGCUUUUUGAUUUCCAGACUUUCAUUUCUUUUGAAUAAAAAUUCUAAAUUAAGUUAUUUUUUCAUAUUCGUGUUUUUGCUCACGAGGGCUUCCGAAUAAGAUCCAUUUUUGAUGAUUUUUUUUGUGAAGUUCCAACUCUUGAAGCUUACUAUGAGAGCCACCGAUUAUAAAUCACGAUUUCAGUGCCGACGACCGACAAAAAAUUGCUUACACUUUCAGCUCUGAAACUUGAUACACACGAUCGAGAAAAUCAGAAUUUUUAGAUGCAAAAUCGUAAGUUUGAACAAUUAAAACAUAAAAUUUACUCUGCCGUCGUGCGGGGUGUAACUACUUCAUGAAUUGCGAGACAAUCUAGCGGCGAGGCAAGGCUUGACAGGUGCGCGCUCCUGAGAUUUUCUAGGCAAAGAUAGCAUUUUUAUGUAUAUUUAUGUAAAAGUACUUUAUAGUUGAGAUUAUCAUGACAAGUAAAAAUGACUUAUUCUGCAUCGUGGAUGAUAUCUUAGAACCACUUAGUCGACUUAACAUGCUAAAUGUGAAAAGAUGACGAUAGAGGUGAGACUGUGACAAGUUGGUGCUAAUCUAUUAGUAUAACAGGUCUUAUAUGGCACAAUCAAGAUCCUGACAACCCCGCACUCAUUAACCUAUCUUGUUUUGGCAUAAUAACCGCAACGAAAGCUCCAACAAAAGCAAGGAUUGAAAGGCGUCAAUCCAAUCGUGUGACCUUCAAAUACUUGGUGUAUCUUAAUGCAUUGCACCAGCGACGUCGUUUUUCUAGCUGGACCAAAGCUCUUUUAUGCAUGAAUGAUUGCUCACCCCACGUACUUUACGUCGUUGCAUGCACCACCCCUGAGGAAACUGAAGCAGCCACGUGGCAUACCUGGUGGGCAAUCUCUUCUUUUUGGCAUACUUGGUGGGCAAUCAAAGCUUUAUGAUUGAUAGUAAAAAAGAUGAACGUACGCCUGUAUGUAUAUACGUCAUGUACGUGGUGGCUCCUAAGCCUCAAAUGUCGCAAAGAGAAAAGUCACACGUGUUUAUCAUGUACACACAAAGCUCUUUUUAUAUUUUUUUUGGCAAAAUGAUGUACACACAAAGCUCUUUUUUUUUUUAUCUUUGGCAACAUCAUGUACACACAAAGCUCUCUUUUAUGCUUGGCAAAAUCAUGUAGACGGAGGUCAGGCUAUGUGUGCCUAACUAGUUACCAUUGAGUGUACAUUGGACCAGGCAUAGAUAGUAAUGGAAGUAAUGGUAUACACGUCAUCCAUUUGGAUACGAGCUAAGACGGGAGAAACCCUUUUGAUCCAAUCCGACGACAGCAUGCAGCUAGUGCGGGAAACGAUAGCAAUUUAAAAAGUAAGCGAGUACACCGAUCAUGCACAAAGCACCCUCCGAUGGAAAUGAGACGGGAUCCAACUUGCGGGGAGGCGAAUGGGACAGCUCGAUCGUAGGAUAUGAUAGGAUAUGAUAUUGUUUCUCUAAUAAGAAUUCGCGUAAUUGGGUUGCUAAACCCCCCUGGCUCUGUCGUUUGUAAUCUCGUGUCGACGAUGUAACCUUUUGCUUGACCAUCAAUAAAGCUUGAUUGACGUGGUGGCCUUCACUAAAAGAAAAGCAUGAUCUACCUUCACCUUAUUUUACAUCUGAUGGAUGUGUGCCCUUGGAUGCCCACCCAACGGCUAGAGGUUAAAGACUGAGGAUUUUUAUUGCCAUUGAAGAAAAUGAAAAAUGAGUCUCCAUGUGCCAGCAGCAAGUCCUAAAAGAAUGACGCAGAUUUAGCUUGCUAGGUAAGUUUCAGAAAAUGACAAAUAUAUAUUUAGUCCAGCAAAAAUAGAAUGCGACAAACCAUGAAGAUUUGAUACAAAAAUAAAUCAUAAUUAAGCUUCAUGAUGAUUAAAAAUACCGCGAGGUGAGGCUAAUUUAGAUGGUUAGGCCCCAUGUGGUGGAACCAAUCCAUCCAGAUUCAAAUCCUACAAUUAACACUUGCGCUCGCAUAUUUUCUGAAUUGACUUCGGACUUUGCGGUGCUAUACAUUCAGUGGUAUGGCGUGCCGUUAACUACACGGUGCCUAUGAAGACUUCAUCAAUAUCAAGAUCUACCGGUUCCUUCUCUCGAAAGUGCUCCCAGGAUAGAGUUUGUGAGCGUUUGCAUCUGUACCGUGUUUCUCAGAAAAUUAAUAAAAUUUAAUGGAUCUCAAGGUCUCCAUUGAUAUGAGCUUCGCCAUGUACAACCAAAGAAGCGCAGCACCUCCCCUCCCGUGGUUGUGGAAGGGGAGCACCAGGUUAGCCGAAUCGAGAAGCAACGGUGGCACCAACGAGGAAGCGAGUGAACAAAUCGGGCAAAUUGCCUGACAUAGUGGCUGGAUCUGAGCUCGCCUGGUGGAGCUCCCAACUGUAGUCACGAACCGUGUUUUGGUUCAGUGAUGUCUCAAAAACACCGGAGUAAACCUGAAAAAAUUAGGGUGUUAACUAAACCAGAGACGGGAAACCAAUCUAUGGUGGAAUAGUUAGAAGGAUAGAUGUAUCCCUAACCCAUUAGAGUUCAAUAUCUAGCCUUGAUACUGGUGCUUGCAUUUUUCUUCAUUUAUUUCAAGCCAUUUGACGAUGCUUGUUCAGUGAUAGAAGACGUUUUCGUCGACUACGAAGACGUCAUUAACGACUUUCUAUCUUAAAAUGAUGUAUCUGCUCAGUAUCUUGAAGAUGCACAUAGAGAUAGGAUACACAUGCAUACAUUAAUUUAGGUAAAUGUAUGUACGUAUGUAUAAGCGUAUGUACUGUGUUAAGAAAUAAGCUAAACCACAGACAUUUGCAAUCACAGAGAAAUCAAGAAAUAAAAGGUAAUUUGUGUCACAGGUUUGCUAAUUGAGGGGAAAAUAAUAAUUUUUCCUAAAUGAGGUAAAAAUAUGUCAGAAACAUGAAACAAGGAGAUUAAAAAAAUGAAUUCACUCAUUUUAUAUAUAUAUAAAAUUUCGACUGAUGAAUUCAUUAAACAUCUUUGCGAACAUUGAUGGGCUGGAUCGUGGUCUAUAAACACACAGAAUAAGUGUGCCGCCAAUCCUAGGACCCAGGCCGAAUCAUACGGAAUCAUCAUCAUCGUACUAGUUUGUUUUACAUACAUACAGUAGGUACAGGCACCUGCAGACCGUGGUGCGAAUAUUAUUUUUCUUGGAAAAGAAAAACGUCUUAUACGAAUAUUAAAGCUUGCACGACUCAUGCAUGAGCCAUGCAUGCCUGCAUGCGUGCGUGCGUGCGUGCGUGAAUCUAGACCACCUCGACAGAACGGGCAAAGCCCGCCCCCGGGGCCGCCGCCUCAGUAGCGCAUCUCCUGGGGACGUCGCCGGCCAUCUCGGUGACCGGGCGCACCUCGGCGCAUGAGCUCUUGUCGGCCUUGCCGACGUUGAUCACGACGACGUGGUCCUCUGCGGGCACCUUCCAUGCCUCUUUCCCCUCCUUGGCAUCGGUUGCCACCACCGGCGUCGCGUUCAUGUAGAACAUGUAGAGGACCAUCUGGAUCAUCCCGAAGGUGAAGCCAAGGAUGUUUGGGAGCUGGAAACACAAAUUUAAUCAUCGAUCACUGCUCAUGCUUGAGAAUUGUAUGCGUAUCCAUCUGCCAUUAGAAGGAUCGUUUGUGUAGUUACCGCGACGUAUUUGUCCUUGAUGAGCAGGCCGUAGAGGAACCAGACGAUGGCGCUGAGGGUGAGCGUGAGGGAGAGGGAGAAGGGCAUGUACUCCACACUCUUGGUCUUGAUCACACGACCCUUUGGGAAGGACAGAACACAUACAAGAGGUUGAGGAAUGAGCAACAAUAUAUACAGCAAAGUUUAUCGGUCGAGGGCUCACGAUGAUGCUGAGAGGCGCGACGAAGACGCACACGGAGAAGCCGACGCAGAUCCAGCCGAGUGAGACGACGCGUGUCUCGCCGUGGAAGGCGAAGAGGGUGAGGACGAAAAUGAGCCCGAAGCCGGCGAUGUUGAGGAGGAGGACGAUCUUGGCUGUGAAAAUCUUGGCCUUCCUGGGGGCGUAGACGAGGUACAUGAUGAUGUAGACGGUCUCGAUGACGCAGCCGGCAGCGUUGAUGGUGAUGAGGAGGCCCUCGCCGGUCUUGACCAGCGCGUAGAAGAUCCACAGCAUCGCGCUGAAUAGGGCCACGACAUAGGGCACCGACUGGAACCCCUCCGUGGAUUUGCUCUUGAAGAUCCGGUAGAAUGUUGGUCUAAUAUUUUAUUUUUGUGUGUACAUUAAUUAGUUAUACGAGAGAACUUAUUAAUUAACAGGAUCAAAUGAAAUACUUCCUCCGUCCUAAAAUUCUUGUCUUAGAUUUCUCUAGAUCUAAAUGUAUCUAGUCACGUUUUAGUACUUUGAUACGUUUAUUUCUAGAUAAACCUAUAACAAGAAUUUUGGGACGGAGGAAGUAAAAAACAACUUAGACAGUAGCUUACAUCGGGGCCAGGAGGCUCGAGAAAGAGAUGACGUUGCCUGCAAGGCACAAAGUUAGCAAAGUUAGCGAUGGGUUGUGAUAAUUGUACGACACAUUUACAUCUAUCUUUUAUGCGCUUUGUCCUUUUCAUAAAAAACACAGGCAAUUUGCUUUGUUGUUGUUUCUUUUUGGGAUUUUGGUGCACCAAGCUAGAUGGCACUAGAGCUAGUAUACUAGACUACAUCAGUUAAUCAAUCAGUGGCAAAGAUAAGAUAUAUAGAUAGAUGCUACAAAAGGAUAUAUGAUCUUAAACGACACAAAGUAGUCUACUAGUACUGCACUAGCAAAUAGCAGCUGUAAUAAGAAACUAUCAUAAUACAAGAGGUAAUUCUUGGAGAUCAUUUGUUCGUGGUAAGAAUAAUAUACCUAGCAGGCCGAAGGUGAAUGCCCAAGGGUGCUCCAUGGAUAGGCCACCCAUUGUUACAAAGAUAUAUAACAGUGAGAUGGAUGCGAAGAACUUGGUAUAACAGUGGGGCGAGAGAUUGUUUUUGCUGUCUCUCUCUCUCUCUCUCUCUAACCCUAGACUCCUGGCGGAGAGAAGGGAGAGGUCUGGAGAGGAGAGCUCUCUAAGUUGGUUUAAACUCUUAGCCUGAAUUGUAAGCUUGGUAAUGGGGUGCUUUAUAUAGGCAGGGAGACAUGACUGCCUUGGCGUAUGCAAGCUGUCCGAUCACACAUAUGCCACACAAAAUUAAUGAUUGGCUUUCUAGAAAAAAAAAAAAGGUUUCCAGCAAUGCAUAAUUGAGCUUAUCUAAUGUGCUAUGCUUGAUAGAGAUAAUGAUGGCAAAUUUUAAAGUUGUCGCUUUGGUGCACUCUUUAGCUUUUAGUGUGCAUAAUGCCUCUGCUGCUGAAUUGUUGUACACUCCGAAUUGUGUUGCACUACGUCAUUCUUCCAAUCUUUCCAACCUAGAUCUUUGGGGUGUGGUAUUAGCCGCCACAGAAGUGCGAACCAAAUGAGACAUUGCAACUCACUUUUCAGACCCUUAGUUGUUCACUGAAUUUACCCAAUGAAUGUCUUACAGGAAUAAGUAAUAAAGUUUAUAUGCUAUAUCUAUUUUCCUUGUCAAUGUUUGGACACAAAUAUAGUUAAACAUAGUGUCCAAAACUGAAUUAGUUUAACAGACUUCUCGUAUUCAAAAUGUAAGCAAUGUGUUAUUAAUCUAAUGUACCGACAUAAUUGUACUUCUAGUAAUGAAGGCACUAAUAGAAUAUUUAUCUUACAGAUGCAAUAUAACUUUAAAGAAGUAUGCAAUUGCACAUACAAUCAAAUAAUGCUAUUCACCUUAACCUCAUUUCAUAUAAAUACAAUCCAAUAAUGUAUUAGUUUGUGCGAGUAUCAUAGUCCUCAAAUGAUUUGUUCCUAGAAAAUGAUGCAACCAAUGCCUUAGAUCGUCAAAUUCAUAAAUAUAAAAAGGUCAUGCAGUUUAACUUUCCAAUCGAAUUGACUCGUAUACGUAGAACCAUCUUUUACUAUUACAACGUAUUUUAUUGUACAAUUUGUGAAAAAUAGUAGUGAAGUGUUUUAGCUUGCUUAUAUAAGGUCGGGAUAUCUUAGACUGCGAUAGCAUUGUCGUUGAUUAUAAUAUGCUGUUUGAGAUCAAAUCUGUAGGAUUUAUCACUUGAGUAGUUAGUUUUAGUUAUGACCUACAAAAUUGUCGAUAAAGGGGCGCUCUUUUCACUCAAAAUAUCACAUCAGUGGAAUACAAUCAAAACAAGUUCACAUCCAUUCUCUAUGUGACCAAGAUACACACAGAACCACACACACUCUAAAUAAUGCAACGAAAAAAAAGUUGUACGUUACUUACAAUACAAGGAGAGAGGAGGGGGCAAGCCUCAGAGCAUCUCUAGUAGUACCCUCAAACCCUCNNNNNNNNNNNNNNNNNNNNNNNNNNNNNNNNNNNNNNNNNNNNNNNNNNNNNNNNNNNNNNNNNNNNNNNNNNNNNNNNNNNNNNNNNNNNNNNNNNNNNNNNNNNNNNNNNNNNNNNNNNNNNNNNNNNNNNNNNNNNNNCCUCAAACCCUCAAACCCUUAUAAAUAACUGUUUUUUUACAGUUUGCGAAUAAAAAAACGCAUAGACUAGAACCCCUUAACCCUCAAACCCUUAAAAAAAAUUUGAGGAUCCAACCCUCAAACUCCCUCUCAACCUGUAGAAGUGAGGGUUGGAGAGCGAAAACUACCCCAACCCUCAAACCGUUCCAUCGUCGCGCGGGAGGGACUUUNCCUUUCCCCGCCCCCCACCGGCCCCGCCAUUCCGACCCCCCCCGCCGCCCCAGGCUGCCGCCGCGCCCCGCCGCCCCGAGCCGCCGCCGCGCCGUGCCCCACGGCCGCCCGCCGCGAGGCCGGCCCCAGGCCUCCUUGAGCUCUCCUCGCCGCCGCGCCAGAGGCGAGGCGGGCCAGAGGCAGCCGCGCCGCCACGAGCUCUCCUGUUUUUGCCCCUGUUUUUGUUAUAAGGGUUGGGUUUGAGGGUUCUAGUCUUUGCCCCUGUUUUUCAACCCUUAAAAGUGCCAAAAAAUGCAAAUUCUCAACCCUUAAAACUGGUUUGAGGGUUUGAGGNNNNNNNNNNNNNNNNNNNNNNNNNNNNNNNNNNNNNNNNNNNNNNNNNNNNNNNNNNNNNNNNNNNNNNNNNNNNNNNNNNNNNNNNNNNNNNNNNNNNNNNNNNNNNNNNNNNNNNNNNNNNNNNNNNNNNNNNNNNNNNNNNNNNNNNNNNNNNNNNNNNNNGAGGGUUUGAGGGUACUCCUAAAGAUGCUCUCAGAUGAUGCCUCCAACCAUUUCAGGUAAAGACAUCCUUGUCCUUCUGUUCCAUCCACGUACACACGGCUAUAAACAGUUGUUAGUGUUCAGAUCACUGAAGAAUAGACUACAAAGGGACCCAUUGCGUAGACUUCUAGAUAACCUGUAGCAAAGAGAAAUCUGACUUAUAACUAAUUUGUUUUCGAAAAGAAGGAUUACUCCCGGCUAAGCCUGGGCAUNNNNNNNNNNNNNNNNNNNNNNNNNNNNNNNNNNNNNNNNNNNNNNNNNNNNNNNNNNNNNNNNNNNNNNNNNNNNNNNNNNNNNNNNNNNNNNNNNNNNNNNNNNNNNNNNNNNNNNNNNNNNNNNNNNNNNNNNNNNNNNNNNNNNNNNNNNNNNNNNNNGCCGGGCCGGGCCGGGCUUCAGGCCGGGCUUUACAAAGCCCGAACUGGAAAUCCAAGCCCAAGCCCGGCCCGGCCCGGCAAAAAAAGUGAAAUCAGGCCCGAGCCCGACCCAAAUGGUCAUAAAAGGUGAAUUCCAUGCUGGGCCGGGCCGGGCCUCCGUGUAAAUCAUUGUUUUUUGUAAGCCCAAGCCCGGCCCGAACUGCUUCCCCGGUCCGAUUGUCAAGCCCGGGCCCGGCCCGAACACAAAGCCUAACCCGGCCCGACCUGAGUUUUUCAGGCCGGGCUCGAGCCGGGUCGUCGGGCCGGGCUGCCCAUGCCCAGAUAUACUCUCGGCCUCUGGGCCGGGCUGCCCAUGCCCAGAUAUACUCUCGGCCUCUGGAUCAAUAGAUGCAGAUAGUCAGUUAUUAAAAAUGAACCGUGUAUUAAAGAAUCAUGAACAGCUCCAACAUAAAUAAAGCAAAAAUCACAUGAAAAAAUUCCACAACCAACACAAAUAAAAUAAAAUGCUUACACGUUAUUUUAUUAUUGAACUGUUAUCCAAACUGAUUGUAUGUAUCCCGUGCUAUGCACUAUCUUCCAUCUGUUGCAUCCAAAAGCCAUAAGUCCUCUCAUUUCGGCAUGGUGUAGUAACAACCACGUACAGAUCCAUCCAAACACCCUACCUGCAAAUGUUAUUCUAAUUUUUACUCUAUCAAACACAAAGUCAUUCCGACACCUAUAACUAUGUAUGUUGCAAUCUGAGGAAAUUGUUAACAAGUAGCUGCUAGCUCGGCUUGGGAGUAGCGGUUAAUCGCUAAAUCAGCCUACUAACUGGACUAAUCGAUUGAUCAUUAAUCUGUGUAAUUUUAAACCAUAUAGAAGCAAACUUUGUAUGGAGAAAAGAACCUACAUUACAAAUCUGAAGCAAAUGACACCAUUUCAUUUUCUAAAUAUAUCAAAAACAUGUAAACAAGAACAAUCAUCCAUGUGGGCGUAAAAAAAUCAUCAACAAACAUGUAUACCACAACUUCUUUUUUUGCUUGUUUCUGCAUGAGAAGCAACUCCGAGAGAUGGCGGCAACACAUCAUCGAUAGACGGAGGAAAGGUGAUGUCGGCCGCGCAGGUUGUUUGAACGGGUCGGUUGCUAGAUGUGGCAAGUCCCGAAGAAGGAGGGGAAGUAGUGGCAUCCAGAGGAAGGAGAGAAAGUGGUGACACACAAGGGAGGAGGGGAAGCGGCAACGUGCAGACGAGGACCUAUCAUGUUGGCUAGGUGACAUCUAGUUUGAGAGGGGAGGAGAGGAGCGGGAGGGACGGGUGGAGGGCCAAACCAUAGCAAUUUAGAAGCAGAAGGAGCUGCGAGGGGUUAUGGGCCACACAAUUGGGUUUUGUUUGGCGACGAGGUAACCGGCCAACAUUGAUUAAUCGGACUGACAAUCGAUUAAUCGGUCUGACAGACCAACUAAUCGGUCCGACAGACCAUUUGGUGGGCCUAGCAAGUUAACGCGAUGAAUACGUGGUAUUCAAUUCGGACAUCCGACGAGUAGAGAUUAACCGGACAAUUAAGUGAUUAAUUGAAUGAAUUCUUGAACAAUAUUAUAUUGUUCUAGUAGAUAUAAAAGAAAUUUAGCAUGAGAGUAGGCUUUUGCUCUCAGGCUCCACAUUUCAAACAUUCCAAAAUCAGCUUUUUAAAUUAUAAAAAAUGGAAAAAAUACACAAGUACUUAUGGAUGUAUAUUAAAUGUGAGCGAAAUUUCACCACGAAUACUUUUUUGUGUCGCUUCUACAAAAAAAUCAUGCGAAUUUAUAAUGAAUGGUACAUGUGCUAUGAAUACGCCAAUUUGUCAUUUUUGUGUUGCUCGCUUAAAAAAGCGUUGGUCAUGAUGAAGCUUCACAGACAAGUACUUCCUUCGUUCCUAAAUAUAAGUCUUUCUGAAAGUUCAACUAAUGGACUACAUACGGAUGUAUAUAGACAUACUUUAGAGUAUAGAUUCAUUCAUUUUGUUUCAUAUAUAGACACCUAGUGAAAUAUCUUAAAAGACUUAUAUUUAGAUACGGAGGGAGUAGUAUACAUCCAUACGUAUAUGUGUAUCUUUUCAGAAUCUUUUCAAGCGUAUUUUUUUUUUCAAGUAAUGGGCUCCAAGGAGCUCCAGCUCCAUUAUCAAUAUCCGAUUUAGCACACCAUACACAAUUUGGCAAGCACAAACUAAGCAUUUUCUUCUCAGUUUCCUUCUAUUAACAGUGCAACUAGCUAAGUGGUCCUUUGGUGUUGAUACGAGGGACCGUGCUAGCUAGUUUCGAGUUCCUGAAAUUACAAUGCAAAAAUGAUGUGCUUGGCUUACUAAUCAAUCAAGUCAGCUGGCCUUCUCUCUAAAAGGUGUACACGCUAGAUACGUGCACUCGCAAAAUCUGUCUAGGAACGAUGUGAAAUUUUACAAUGCUCCAAAUUAGUAUAGACUGUUAAAUUUUUAACGGUAUAAUGGGUGACAUAAUAUCACUUCCUUGGUUAUAUCUGAACAUGAUGAUGUCACUCAAGUAACUUGGUUAACUUUCAGUCGAUUGAGAUCUAGCUACAAUAUCCUAAAUGCCGCUGCAAAAUAACAACUUACUCCUUCUAUGUCUACAUAAUUAUUGUUGGAAAAACUAGACUAGCUAGUUCUCCAUAACAAUAAUUAUUUAGGUACAGAGGGAGUACAAAGUAUAAUGCUACCCUUGUCCACCAGACCGUCAGGAUUAAAAGUAUGUCUUACCUCUAGGCACGUAAGGUAGUGCACCUUAAUAAAAGAACUAAAAAACUAUACCCAGCAUUGGUGCUGUUUGGUUGAAAAUUCAGUACGGAUGUAGAGUGAGUAAAUCAAUAAGCCUAGUUAGAUUCUUCAUAUAUGACUUCUAAAAAAAGGUUCUUUCUUUAUGAAGACCAUGCAUGUUCACUGUUAAUACUGAGAACUGACAUGCUGAUUCCUACAAGCAAAAAAAAAGAGGUAGCAUCUCUGAAGAAUCCUCAUAGAAGUUCUCUUAACUAUAUUUUGCACUUGACGGCGGACCCAUGAUUGGAAUUGGACGCACACGAAAGCUGUUGAUUUUUUGUUUGAGGGCUAUGAAAGCUGUUGAUUAGCAAUAGGUCGGCUAGCAAAGAACGGAUGCUGUUGCUCUCUCUUUUGGAAAGCCGGCGCAGAUGUAAUCAGGUCCACUGAAAUUUGACCACCUUUGCCUUUUGUCACCGAUAUACACGUUCACAAAGCGCGUGAUUUUCAGGGUGAUGAUCAUUCCCCUCGUGAUUCCUCAAAAAGUUUCAUAUGAGAUUCAUGGUCAAUAUAGUUUCUCCACCUAGUCAAUACAUUGGGUUCGUUCGAUCCUCGAAUGGGGAAGGUUGCCGCACGAGCUGAACCGGGCUCCAACCAUGCACCCUCGGAAAAAAUGCCGGCAAGAAAAUAGAUGCGUCUCAUACACAAGAGGCUCAAGACCCUCGCCACCCAUAUGUAGGUUAUUGUCAUUUUAAAUCUCAGAAUGAAUCAAACGAAGCCCAAAAAUCAUGAGACUUGCCAUGGUGACAUGAUAUGUCCAAUAGACGCUAUGCUAAAAAAAUUGAGAAUAUUUGACAAAGAUUAUCACGUAAAUUUCUUACAAACCGGACCAUCUUUCAUGAAGAAACUAGGUUUCGAGAGGGAACACACUACAUUUGCAUAUGAAGCAUAUGUUGCUUCAUCCAUUGGCAUCAGUUUUUUUUUUCACACUCAACACGCAUCACUAAAUCUAUGAUGCCAAAAGUUUGGCCUUUUUUGGCAUCUGCAUGCAAUUUAAUCCAUUGAUGGCAUUCUAGGCAUUUAAUGAAUAUACUUUCAAUUUGAACUAUAGGUACACUAGUGGGGACAGGGCCUAUAGCCCCGGCCCGUAAGGGGCUUUAGUCCCGGUUCACCAACCGGGACUAAAGGGGCGGGACUAAAGGCCUAACCUUUAGUCCACUAGUGGGGACAGGGCCUAUAGUCCCCGCCCGUAAGGGGCUUUAAUCCCGGUUCACCAACCAGGACUAAAGGGGCGGGACUAAAGGCCUAACCUUUAGUCCCGGCCCUGUUCCACGCCGGGACUAAAGGUGCUCCACGUGGGCGCCUCGUAGCGCCCCAGGGGCAGGCCCUUUAGUCCCGGUUCGUUACACGGACCGGGACUAAAGAGUUUCAGAUUUUGUUUAUUUUUGGGUUUUUUUUUUUGAAUGAAAUUAUUUUUGGGUUUUAGGGUUUUAGGGUUUAGGCGUUCGGGAGAUUAACGUGAUGCCUCGUUUGGUGUUCGGGAAUUAGUUUUCAUAUAAUUUAAAUAGAAAUAAUUAUGCAUAUAUAUAUAUAUAAGAUUAACUUAUCUUACAAGCGAGCAUAUAUAUACAAUUAUAUGGAGAUCCGAAUUAUCGGGACUAGAGCCCGUCUAUUCGAUUACAUGGACGAACAUUCAGUAAUGGCCCCUAGCUACACUAAAUUGUCCUUUGUCAUCUAUAACUUCCGUCCUUAGAAAGGUCGCAAGCUCCUCUGCAACAGCAAUCGCGCAUUGCUCUGGUAGGACCUUCGUCCUCAUGGCCGUGUACUAUAUAACAAGAGGAGAUGAAUAUGAAUAUCAAUCAUGAUAACAAAGAAUGACGGGUAAAAAUAGAGGUGUGAAUGUUCAUUGCUUACGUCGAAUCUGUGAUCCUUGUGCUCGGAGGUAAACGUGCGAAUGGUCUCGCAAACAUAGUAUCCGCAUAGAUGCGUUCCCCGUGGCUGCUGGUCGCACUUUACGCGAAUAGAAUAUAUAUAAUCAAAAUAGUAAUCUAGCAUCAUAAAUGUAUUGAAAAUAGAAGUAUAUCAUACUACUACUUACCUGAGCCGCUCUAAAGGUCAGCUUCUCAGGCUCGAUACCGGGAGUCACGCACUUGAACCGCUUCCAAACCCUGCCCGACAAGGAUAAUGAUUUGCUAAGUUUUUCAUUAAUUGAUAUAUCAGAAAAUCAUCGAAAGAGACAGAUAGAGCGCAAGAAUGAUUGAAAUUACCCUUGGAGCAUGCCCUGCAGGCUUUGGAACUGUUCCAAGGGUCUCGAUAAUGGGUCGAAGGCAUCAACUCUUCCCUUAUCAAUUUGAAUGUCCAACAGAAUCCAAUGGAAGCUGCACAUGUAUAUAUAUAUAUGUGUGUGUGUGUGUGUGAGUAACUUAUCAAUUACACUUAUAAGUGAAUGGACACAACAGAGUAAAGACCCUCACCUGAAGUUGUAUGGAAACAGUAUGUGGUCACAUAAAUUUUGAUCUGUUAGAAACCUUAGAAGGUUUUCCUCCGUCUCCUUGGGUUUAUCAGUUAGCGUCGCUAUAUGUAUUUUAUCUGGGUCAAUAAACCCAAUAUUUAGGAUGUUCUUUCUUUUACAAUCCAGAAUCUUCAUUCUGCAUAAUAGAGUACAAGUUAUAUAUAGACAAUGAAUUGAAAUAACUAAACAAGUUAUAUGUAGACAACGAAUUGAAAAACUUACAGACAAUAGCAACUCGUAAGCGAUUUGUCGAGGGCGUCGCCAUUGUACAUCUGGAAGAGUUCAUCAAAGUCGAUAUGGAUUUCUUCGGGGCGGCCGUAGUACUUCCGUGGGACACUCACCACGAUCAUCGUUCUCCCAUUCUUUGAUUCACUUAAGUACCAUGUAUGCAAGUAACGCAUAUUUGUUGGGAGAUCAUCUUUGCUGACCAAAGGUGCUCCCAUGACAAACUGUGGCUUAGGGGCUACCACAGCCUUGGGUAACCUGUCGUCUUGGGAAGCCAGAAUGUCUUCAACCGAGAUACCCCAUUCAGCCGUCCACUUCUUUGCUAAUUCGAAAUAUUGCCCCUGCACAGGAGGGGGGACAUUCUCGGUUAACACCUUGAGGGGUGGGAUCGACUGUUUGGCCUGUUGUCCAAGCUGAGGAACGUCUGAUUUUUUCUUGCUUGUAGUUGAACUUGAUUUGCUCCCACUUGCACUUGCACGUGAUCUGCUCUUUUUCACUUCCUUCUGCAAUGUGCGUGUAUAGUCAUCAGGAUUAUGGUGUAAGUCAUAGAGUGAUGGAAGGGUCGUGAAGUAUUUUGCAAAUGCUAUUUGCUUCUCGGUGUAUUCCGGGCGGGGCUCGGGUUCCUUCUUUUUCAUCUGCGCAUCAUGAUGUUCCUUUGCUAUCCUGGCGUUUUCCUCGGGGGUACGAUCAUAAGGUCUGAUAGGAAGAUUAGCAUGAGGUACCUUUGGGAGGGGCGACCAUUUGCGCUUUGUGGGGCUCCGUCGCUUAGAAAUCGUCGGCGGAGCGUUCUUGGUGGCACGCUUCCGCUUAGUAUCCGGAGCGGGCGGCGGCGGAGACGGACGACCCAAGUCCGGCGGCGGUGAUCGAGAUGGACUCGUGUUGUGCUGGCCAACGUCAUAUGGAGGGCUUGGAGGUGUAGGUGACCUGCGACGGCUCGGAGGCGGUGUUGUCCUUCGGGCCGAGACUGGAAGCUUGAUGUAGUUCUUGUCCCAUAGGAUGACUCCACCCAGUACUUCUCCGAGUGUCCUCUCAUCUUCGGGUCCAGCUAUGUCGAGCUCCAUAUCAUGAAACCCCGUCAUGAUUUCAUCCACCCCGACUUUAGCAAAGCCAGUUGGAAUCUCACGGCCAUGCCAGCGUGCAUCAGGGCCAGAAGGUAAAGCUUGUCCGACGGCCACCUUCAUGGAUAUGUUCUUGAAUUUCUGAUGGAGUUCACAUGAUGUUGACUCCUUGAUUCCAUCCACGGGGUAGCCGGGACCGCCCUCUAUCAUUCUUUGUUCAUCGUCGGGCGGGGCCUCAGGUUCAGCCACGCUGCAUUUCCGCUUAGAUGGGGCGCCGGUAAUAUCAAAUGCAGGAUCUUCCUGGCGCGCUACUCCUCUAAGCUCAUCAAUCUGCUUCUGUUGCUCGUUAAUCUUGGCAAGCAACUGGUUGAACCUGUCAUUCUCCUCAUCCUGCUGCCGCUUCUUUGCUCUCUCUCGGCUUCUGUAAGUGUCUUGGUCUCUGGCAACCCCAAGCCACCACGGGUAAGAAGGACCGAGGCCUCGCGUUCGUCCUUCAUGUUCGUCAUUGCCGAGGACCAGUGUGAGCAAAUCUUUCUCUCUAUCUGCAGUGAACUUUCUUUUUCCCUCCUUAAUUUCUUUCACUAUCCUUUUCCAAUUCUCCCUGGGUAUCCUAAGACCUUCACUGCAGAUGAGGUCCCCUGUUUCUUGUCAUACGAACCACCAUGCGCAAGGAACCAAUUUCUUGCUCUCAAUUCCCACUCAUCACGGAGUGGUUCAGGUACGAUGCCUUUGUCUAGCAGAUCUUGCUCUUUCUUAUCCCACUUUGGGAUGGCAGUCUCAUAGCCCCCUGGCCCCAGCUUGUGGUGAUAUUUCUUCUUGUCGGCAUUUAUCUCGUUCUUUUCUGAUAAUGCCUGGGCAUCUUCUGACUCCUUGUACUCUUGAAAUGCCUUCCAGUGAUUCGCCUGCUUGGCUAGAUACCCCUCGAAUACUGGCACUUUCUUUGUCUUCAGAUAGUUUUUCCAUAGCUUCUUCUUCCAGUUACAGAACAGUUCGACCAUCUUCUUUAGAGUCCACUGCUUGACUUUGGCCCUCAGUUUGUCUGCGGCGUCUUCAUUCUCACAUUCUGGCAGGCUGAAAUGUGACAUGAGAUCAUUCCAAAGAUUAUCUUUGUACCUUUCGGCGACAUAGUCACUAUCGGCUGCCCCUUUGCGCUUGUUCCACUCCCGAACACUGAUCGGGACGUGAUCCCUAACGAGAACUCCGCGUUGCUUCUUGAAUGUGUCAGCAACAUUCUUAGGAAGCUUGGGUUCGCCCGUAGACAAUAUCACCUCAAAGGUGUAAUGCGUCCAUGCAUCCAACUUUCUAGUCGGGCCUCGUUUCGUAGCUUUGCUCGAUGUGGAGGCCUAAGAGGGAGAAACAUUCGUCACAUGAAUGUAUAUGUAUACAAUAUGGAGCUAUCUCCAAUAUUUUUCACAUAUUACAAGUGAUUGUCGAACUUCAUAUGUAUACCUCGCCGGACUUUAUUAUUUCUUCACCGGCUUCUCCACCGGCUUCUCCAUCAGUGGAGCUAUCACCUUCUCCGUCAUUGGACCUAUCUCCUGCCCAUUCGGCUUCAUCUUUGUGUCGCUCGACCUCCAUUCCAUAUCCGGAGGGGUUUAGAUAUGACGAUGGAGAUUCAGCUGGUUCAAUGUCGGGGCCGUCUUUGAUUAUAUCUUCGAGAAGUUCUUCCUCUUCGAGGUUCUUGAUAUGUGGAUCCAUAGUUCUGCAAAAAACGGACAUUUGAUUAACUAAUAAACUAACAAACUAUAUAAGAGGGGUUGGAAACUUCGAAGUGUCGUUUUAUAUAGGAGGACCUUUAGUCCCGGGUCUUGGCUAGAACCAAAUCGUAAAAUAAAGUAGUAUUCAAAUUAGCAUGCAUUCAAUUAUAAGCAAAUACAUCAUCUCUUUUGUCCGUACAUCGUUGAAUAUUAUCACUAAUACUCCUUGAAUACUAUCAUACAUAUAACAUCACUGAUACAUCUAGAACCGUAGCGCCCGACAGGUAUCGGCACGGGCGGUGGACACCCAAAGAGAAGGAACCAUCACAGGAUCAUAGCUCCAGUGAGAUCCCCGAAGAACCUGCCAGGUAUGCUCGAACCUGCCCUCCAACGCAACCAUGUAGCGACGGACGUGCUCAUCCUCCUCGCUGACACGGUGACGUACCACCUCCGCGGGGUCCGGAAGCCUCGGCACCCUCACUGGCCCAGGCGACUGCCACCAAACAAGGAUCGGGUCAACGACGGGCUGGCUCCUCACCAACCUACGCCCCCUGGAAGGUAGCACCUCCCAAUACCAGCCGGGCGGAGCCCAGUCCCGGACAGGGCCCCUCUGAUCAAGCAGGUGUCCUUCGCCGAGUCGACAACGAGAAUGCGGGAUAGGCAUCGUAAAAUGAACUAAAAAAAUAAACUAGUUCUAUUAAUUUUCUUGCUAAAAAUAAACUAUUAACACUUAAGCAUAUACAAUAGCAAAUUAAACUAUUAACACUUAAGAAUAUACAAUAGCAAAAUUAAGCAAUAAUCUAAGAAACACUAUUAACAGUUAAGCAUAUACACUAUACAAUAGCAAAAUUAAAUGACAAAAAAAAUAUUUCUUCUUCUUGUAACCCUAAACUAUUUUUUCCUCUUCUUCUAUUUCUCCUCUUCUUCUACUUCUACUUCUCCUCUUCUUAUACUACUUCUCGUCUUCUCUUCUUCUACUUCUCCUCUCCUCCUCUUUUAAUUUUUUCUCUUCUUCUACUUCUCCUCUUCUUCUAUUUUUCCUCUUCUUCUCCUCUCCUCCUCUUCUUAUUCUCCUUUUUCUUCUUUUCUUCUCCUCCUCUUCUUAUUUUCCCUUUUCCUAAUCUUAUUUUCUUAUUUUUGUUCAUAUUUCUUAUUCUUGUAACCCUAACCUAAUUCUAAAUAUUACUAACCCUAAUAAUCUAGCACAAACCUAAUAACAAUAGGAAUUAAAUGACAAUUUUUUUCUUUUUCUUCUUUUCUUCCCUUUUUCUUCUUUUCUUCUCCUUUUUCUUCCUUUCUUCCCCUUUUCUUCCUUUCUUCCCUUUUUCUUCUUUUCUUCUCCUUUUUCUUCUUUUCUUCUCCUUUUUCUUCUUUUCUUCUCCUUCCCUUUUUCUUCCUUUCUUCUCCUUUUUCUUCCUUUCUUCUCCUUUUUCUNNNNNNNNNNNNNNNNNNNNNNNNNNNNNNNNNNNNNNNNNNNNNNNNNNNNNNNNNNNNNNNNNNNNNNNNNNNNNNNNNNNNNNNNNNNNNNNNNNNNNNNNNNNNNNNNNNNNNNNNNNNNNNNNNNNNNNNNNNNNNNNNNNNNNNNNNNNNNNNNNNNNNNNNNNNNNNNNNNNNNNNNNNNNNNNNNNNNNNNNNNNNNNNNNNNNNNNNNNNNNNNNNNNNNNNNNNNNNNNNNNNNNNNNNNNNNNNNNNNNNNNNNNNNNNNNNNNNNNNNNNNNNNNNNNNNNNNNNNNNNNNNNNNNNNNNNNNNNNNNNNNNNNNNNNNNNNNNNNNNNNNNNNNNNNNNNNNNNNNAAGUUUAGUCCCACCUCGCCGAGCGAGGGGGACAAACACUUGUUUAUAAGCCCCGUCGCAGCUUCUCCAUCGAGCUCCUCUCUAAAGUAGGCUUACGGGCCUAACCUAACUGAAAAUUGAAACUAUAUUCGAAAUUAUGGAGAAAAUUCAACCUGAAUUCAAAGUGAGUUCACUUCGAAUUUAGGUUGAAUUUNNNNNNNNNNNNNNNNNNNNNNNNNNNNNNNNNNNNNNNNNNNNNNNNNNNNNNNNNNNNNNNNNNNNNNNNNNNNNNNNNNNNNNNNNNNNNNNNNNNNNNNNNNNNNNNNNNNNNNNNNNNNNNNNNNNNNNNNNNNNNNNNNNNNNNNNNNNNNNNNNNNNNNNNNNNNNNNNNNNNNNNNNNNNNNNNNNNNNNNNNNNNNNNAAACUAUUUUCUAUUUUGAAAAGUAGUUAUUUUGACUAUCCAAACUAUUAACUAUUUUGUUAUUUUCAAUUAAAAACUAGGUUUAUUAAUUUUUUUUUUGCAUAUUUGAGAAUUUGACAAAACUAUGAUAAUGAAAAGUGUUUCAAAUUGAAUAAAUAAUUCAAAACUAUUUUCUAUUUUCAAAAGUAAUUAUUUUGACUAUCCAAACUAUUAUCUAUUUUGUUAUUUUCAAUUAAAAACUAUGUUUAUUAAAAAUUCUUUUUGCAUAUUUGAGAAUUUGAUAAAACUAUGAUAAUGAAAAGUGUUUGAAAUUGAAUAAAUAAUUCAAAACUAUUUUAUAUUUUCAAAACUAAUAAUUUGGCUAUCCAAACUAUUAACUAUUUUGUUAUUUUCAAUUAAAAACUAUGUUUAUUAAAAUUCUUUUUGCAUAUUUGAGAAUUUGACAAAACUAUGAUAAUGAAAAGUGUUUGAAAUUGAAUAAAUAAUUCAAAACUAUUUUCUAUUUUCAAAAUUAAUUAUUUUUACUAUCCAAACUAUUAUCCAUUUUGUUAUUUUCAAUUAAAAACUAUGUUUAUUAAUAAUUCGAACGAGAACUCAUCUCUUACAAAGGGAUUUCAUUUUUUUGAACUUAUUUGAACUCCAUACUUUUUGUGUGUUCAAAUUUCACCAUUCAAAGGCACAUCACAAAAUAUCAAUAAUUUCUGACUUCAUUUGGUAUUCUUCGUGCAUUUACUUAUUUUGUUUUGAGCUAGUUGAUCCUGAAAUUGAAAAGCACUACAAAUGAACUCUGAAAAUGUUGAAAGUUGGCAUGCUAUCAUCAUUUCACACACAUAGCAUGUGUUAAAAAGUUGAGAGGGCUACGACAAAAACUGGAUGCACUUCGUGUACAAAACAGACAAUCUCUCUCGAAGUAUUAGCGUUUCAAACGAGAACUCAUCUCUUACAAAGGGAUUUCAUUUUUUUGAACUUAUUUGAACUCCAUACUUUUUGUGUGUUCAAAAUGCACCAUUCAAAGCCACAUCACAAAAUUUCAACAAUUUCUGACUUCAUUUGGUAUUCUUCGUGCAUUUACUUAUUUUUUUGAGCUAGUUGACCCUGAAAUUGAAAAGCACUACAAAUGAACUCUCAAAAUGUUGAAAGUUGGCAUGCUAUCAUCAUUUCACCCACAUAGCAUGUGUUAAAAAGUUGAGAGGUCUACGACAAAAACUGGAUGCACUUCGUGUACAAAACGGACAAUCUCUCUCGAAGUAUCAGCGUUUCGAACGAGAACUCAUCUCUUACAAAAGGGAUUUCAUUUUUUUGAACUUAUUUGAACUCCAUACUUUUUGUGUGUUCAAAUGCAUCAUUCAAAUGCACAUCACAAAAUUUCAACAAUUUCUGACUUAAUUUGGUAUUCUUCGUGCAUUUACUUAUUGUAAAAACUGUAACUGAAAAUAAUUUUCUAACAUAAAACAACACAUAUCUUCUACUAAUAAUAACAAUGCAUUGUAAAAACUGUAACUGGAAAUAAUUUUCUAACAUAAAACAACUUCCAAUGAUUUCCCUUCACAACUAAACGUUUUACCUAAAUAUCUUUAGUUACAGAAAUAUUUGGAAUACAUGGAAGGACGAUAUAUGUGCACAGGAAAUAAAUUGGAUUGAGAAUGUGGUCAACCAAUCAAUGCCUACAUCAUGUUUCCUUGCUCUGAAUUUGUUUUUUUCAGAAUGGCGACUUUUCUCUCACAUAACUAAAUUUGAUAACAGGUUCAUCUUCCUUGCUCUAAUCCUCACUUUCAUCUUUUUUCCGAAACGACCCUCAGGCGGACUCCAUUACCAUUGAUAAUGAAACAAAAGUAUUUCACCACGUAAUGCAUGAUGCUUGAUCUAUCCAAGGUAGAUGACAAAAUAAAAGUACUACUGUCACGCACAAACAAGGAUUGGAAACAAUGGUGCUUUCAGUAAUCUGAAAAAAUGUUUUAUAAUGUUUGCCAAAUAAGAUUACCACCUAUCAGGCAUGAGUUGUUGCUUUAAACAACAAGCACUAACAUUGUUUUUAGCCUUGUGAAAUUUAAAUCGAAACCUGAGUAUUAAGCUUGUACUAGUUUGGAUAUGCCCAAAUCAAUUAAAGUUGGGGUGAAAUCAAAAUUGAAUAACAUAAAAGAUAUACCGAAUCACUUAAUCACUUGAGAUGUAGGUGUGCAUCACACCAUCUGGAACUAAAACGAAUGCAGACUUCGAGCUGGUAGCACAUCUCACGGGUGACGGUGCUGUCAAAAUUGAUGGAUUGAAGGACUAGAGGACAGCAGGAGCAGGAGCGAACAUCACCAAGCAAAAAAAAAUCAAGCAGCUGCAGUGUGUUGCCGGCUACUAACAGCAGGAGCAGCACGGGUCGGCCACGAGCGGGAGCGGCAGCAGCACGUUCGGUCUCAGGUCGAGGACGCGGGCCGCAAGCUCCUAAACCUAACCCUAGGUCGCCGCUGCGAGGAGAAGGGGAUGAACAAGAGAGGUGGAAGACGACUCACCGUGCAUCGCCGGAUGGCAAGCCACUACAAGCGGAAGGAGGAGGAGUCGGUGGUGCUUUGCUACUCAGCUCGUCGAAGCCCGACCACGAACAGGUCGGCGGCGCGACCGUAGAGGGGACGAGCUGUAGGUGGAGGAGGACCGCGGGCUCCGGAGCGAUCUUGGGGAGGGAGACCGCGGGCUCGGCAUCGCGUGCAGGUGGAGGAGCGAACGGCAGCGUGCGCGGGUGCGGGGAGGGUGGGAGCUGCAGCAGGUGGCGGCGGCGAUCUGGAAUGGGAGGAGCCGACGAGUGGGUGGCUAGGGUGCGGGGAGGGUGGGUUUGCUAGUUUUUUUUCUCCUUUUCUUCAGAAGGAUGAAUGGAUGAAGGAUCGAUGGACGUGGGAUUGCUAGGAAAUGACGGUAGGAUUUGUGCCAUGUCAUCGAUCCGUGGCAUAAAUGGUUCCACCAAUCAGAAUCCAGCUUAUGUAAUUGUUUUUUUUUCUUUUAUAUUUUUUAUCCUCUUAUUUCGAGUAAACACUCAACAUAUUAGCCUUAUGUGGUAUGUUUAAAUGAAUCUAUAUUUAUGGACCCAUAUUGGAUUUAGAUAUUAGUCUGAAUAUAUGUUGGAUUUAGAAAAUAUGGACCCAUAUUGUUGUCUCUAGUUGUAUUUUUUUGAUUGCCUAAAAAGAUUUGUCGAAUAUUUAUUAUUUCACUCAAAAUAAAGCUAUAUUUUUUGAUUGAGUGUUGUGGAUGGAAACACUUCUCAUUUAAUUAUGAUAGUAUUUGGCAUUACUGAAAAAUUCACCCACAUAUUUUUUAUUGUCAUGUUUAAGUUUUUAUUGUGUGAAACACUAAGUUAAGGUUCCCUAUACCACCUAUCAAAAAUAUUUAUCUCAAUAGGGUCUACACAUUAUGAGAUUAGCAUGGGCUAAUAUAUUUCAUUUUGGUAAUUAUAUUGUAUUUUCUAAAAUAUUUAGGAUAUUAAAAUGAAUAAUUAUAAUUUAUUGGUAUUUAUCUAAUAUAAUUUACUUCAUCCAUAUACGUAUAAAACAAUUUUUUGCUCUCUAUACAUGACAGAUAGGCAAAAUUGAUGAGGUGUCGUCCAGUCACCUCCACACAUAUGUUUAUGGUCUUAUAUUUGGUCAUGGUAGUAUUGAAAUAUGAUCAUAAAUAAUUCUACACAUCUUAAUGACCAUUUUUUACAAUAGGAUCAUGACCUAAUGAACGCAAAAGGUCAUAACGUUAUGGGCUUUGGACCCUCUUAGACUUGUCAUGACUAAUUUCAGAAUUUUGGUCAGGGAUCAAUGACCAAUUAAACCACCGUCAUUAUUUUUGGUCAUAAUUGAGCGUUUUUCUUGUAGUGUUGCCUGGCAUAUUAUCUUCAGGACGAAGAUCAAAGGUUAUUUCCAUACCCUCCUGAAAUCCAUAUGCCUUGCAAAGAUCUUCCCACUUUGGGCACCCAAAUUCUGUUUGAAAAACUGAAUUAAAUACUUUGAUAACAAAUGUGUGACCAUGUAUAGUCCUCAGGUUAGCGCUCCUCGUCUCAAUUCUUUCGUGGUCUUCGACACCGAGCCUCUCCAACACAUAUCUUCUUGCAUGACAAGGGAGGAACAUAUCUCCAUUAUCAUCAAGGUUCAUGCUGAAGAACCUAUCGUCUCGCAGGUGAGGCGUGUCGCACAUAUCCCGACAGUCGCCGCAAUAUUCACACUCCCAAUAUUCAUCGUCAGACAUUUCCUGUUUUAAUAUGUUAAAUGUGUAAAUAAAAAUCGCUGACACUAUAUCGAAAGAAUUGAACAUCUAUAUAUAAACAUAGUUAGGCCACUCAGACAUUUCGACAAAACUUAGCACAACUAAUUAGCAAGCAAUAGUGAGUAACUCACUACUGUUUUAUGCAUUAACACCAACAAAAGGAUGAUAUUUGUAGGUUGAUAAAAUAUAUAUGUGCCCUUUUUCCACUCCAAAGUUUAAAUAAGUUGUUUGAAACCAUUGGUUGUCUAAUUCAAACCUAAUGUGCCUACUUACAUGAAAUUUACAAACAUGAUUUUUUCCUUCUUUCUAGUUAGCCCAUCAAAAGAUCUUCAACAAACAUAUCUUGAUUUUCUUAUUAAGAUGCAUCUCAAGAUGACAUAUUGAACCGAUCGAUGGCCCUAAAAUCAAAAUGACAGCAGCCUUGGGGUGCCUAGAGCGGGAAGGGAGGUGGCGGUGGCGCCUGGAGGGGAUGGGCUUACCGGAGCGGGAUGGGGAGGGGGCUUACCGGAGCAGGCCGGAGAGGGGAAGGGGGCUUACCGGGAGGGCAGGGGGCGGCGGCGACGGCGAGGGAGGCGGCGGUGACGACGACGACGACAACGGCGAGGGAGGCGGCGGCGGGGAGGAGCGCGGAGACGACGACGACAUCGGGGAAGAGUUGCGCAAUCUCGCGGCGUCGAGGGUCCGUCCGCGUCACGAGGAGGAAGAAGAUCGAAACCGCGAUUUGGACAUCAUAAAAUUCCAAGUCUCGCUUAUAUAGGCGGAGCUUUGGUCUCGGGUCGUGGCUCGAACCGGGACNNNNNNNNNNNNNNNNNNNNNNNNNNNNNNNNNNNNNNNNNNNNNNNNNNNNNNNNNNNNNNNNNNNNNNNNNNNNNNNNNNNNNNNNNNNNNNNNNNNNNNNNNNNNNNNNNNNNNNNNNNNNNNNNNNNNNNNNNNNNNNNNNNNNNNNNNNNNNNNNNNNNNNNNNNNNNNNNNNNNNNNNNNNNNNNNNNNNNNNNNNNNNNNNNNNNNNNNNNNNNNNNNNNNNNNNNNNNNNNNNNNNNNNNNNNNNNNNNNNGACCCGGGACUAAAGGUGGUAAGUUUUAGUCCCACCUCGCUUGUCAAGAGGCGGUGCAACUAGUUUAUAAGCCCCACCGCCCCGAACCGUCUCGAGCUCUUCUCUAAAGCAGACUUACUGGCCUAAACGCACUCUAAAUUUAAAAAUGAAAAAAUAUAUAUGAAAUUAAAGACAAAAUUCAACCUAAAUUNUCCAUACUUUUUGUGUGUUCCAAAAUGCACCAUUCAAAGGCACAUCACAAACUUUCAACAAUUUCUAACUUCAUUUGAUAUUUUUUUCGUGCAUUUACUUAUUUUAUUUGAGCUAGUUGACCCUGAAAUUGAAAAGCACUACAAAUGAACUUUGAAAAUGUUGAAAGUUGGCAUGAUAUCCUCAUUUCACCCACAUAGCAUGUGCUAAAAAUUUGAGAGUGUUACGAUAAAAACUAGAUGCACUUCGUCUUCAAAACGGACAAUCUCUCUCGAUGUAUGAGUGUUUCGAACUAGAACUAAUCUGUUACAAAGGGAUUUUUUUUUUGAACUUAUUUAAACUCCAUACUUUUUGUGUGUUCAAAAUGCACCAUUGAAAUGCACAUCACAAAUUUCCAACAAUUUCUAACUACAUUUUGUAUUUUUCAUGUAUUUACUUUUUUUUAGAGCUAGUUGACCCUGAAAUUGAAAAGCACUACAAAUGAACUCUAAAAAUGUUGAAAGUUGCCAUGGUAUCAUCAUUUCACCCACAUAGAAUGUUCUAAAAGUUGAGAGGGUUACGACAAAAACUGGAUGCACUCCGUGUACAAAACGAACAAUCUCUUUCUAAGUAUGAGGGUUUCGAACGAAAACUCAUGUGUUACAAAGGAUUUCAUUUUUUUGAACUUAUUUGAAAUCCAUACUUUUUGUGUGUUCAAAAUGCACCAUUCAAAGGCACAUCAUAAAAUUUCAACAAUUUCUGACUUCAUUUGGUAUUUUUCGUGCAUUUACUUUUUUUAGCUAGUUGACCCUGAAAUUGAAAAGCAGUACAAAUGAACUCUGAAAAUGUUAAAAGUUGGCGUGGAAUCAUCAUUACACCCACAUAGCAUGUGCUAAAAAGUUGAGAAAGUUAUGACAAAAACUAGAUGCACUUCGUGUAUAAAACGGACAAUCUCUCUCGAAGUAUGAGUGUUUCGAACGAGAACUAAUCUGUUACAAAGAGAUUUCAUUCUUUUGAACAUAACUCCAUACUUUUUGUGUGUUCGAAAUGCAGCAUUCAAAUUCACAUCACAAAUUUUCAACAAUUUCUGACUAUAUUUUGUAUUUUUCAUGUAUUUACUUAUCUUUUUUGAGCUAGUUGACCCUGAAAUUGAAAAUCACUACAAAUGAAAUCUGAAAAUGUUGAAAGUUGGCAUGAUAUCAUCAUUUCACCCACAUAGCAUGUGCUAAAAAGUUGAGAGGGUUACGACAAAAACUGGAUGCACUUCGUGUACAAAACGGACAAUCUCUCUCGAAGUAUGAGGGUUUCGAACGAGAACUCGUCUAUUACAAAAGGAAUUUCAUUUUUUUGAACUUAUUUGAACUNNNNNNNNNNNNNNNNNNNNNNNNNNNNNNNNNNNNNNNNNNNNNNNNNNNNNNNNNNNNNNNNNNNNNNNNNNNNNNNNNNNNNNNNNNNNNNNNNNNNNNNNNNNNNNNNNNNNNNNNNNNNNNNNNNNNNNNNNNNNNNNNNNNNNNNNNNNNNNNNNNNNNNNNNNNNNNNNNNNNNNNNNNNNNNNNNNNNNNNNNNNNNNNNNNNNNNNNCAUUUGGUAAUUUUCAUGCAUUUACUUUUUUUUGAGCUAGUUGACCCUGAAAUUGAAAAGAUCAACAAAUGAACUCUGAAAAUGUUGAAAGUUGGCAUGGUAUCAUAAUUUCAUCCACACAACAUGUGCUAAAAAGUUGAGAGGGUUACGAGAAAAACUGGUUGCACUUCGUGUACAAAACGGAUAAUUUCUCUCAAAGUAUGAGGGUUUCGAAAGAGAACUAAUCUGUUACAAAGGGAUUUCAUUUUCUUGAACUUAUUUAAACUCCAUACUUUUUGUGUGUUCAAAAUGCACCAUUCAAAGGCACAUCAUAAAUUUUCGACUAUUUCUGACUUCAUUUGGUAUAUUUCAUGUAUUUACUUAUUUUUUAGAGCUAGUUGACCCUGAAAUUGAAAAGCACUACAAAUGAACUCUGAAAAAAUGUUGAAAGUUGGCAAGGUAUCAUCAUUUCAUCCACAUAGCAUGUUCUAAAAAGUUGAGAGGGUUACGACAAAAACUGGAUGCACUUCGUGUACAAAACGGACAAUCUCUCUCGAAGAAUGAGGGUUUCGAACGAAAACUCAUGUGUUACAAAGCGAUUUCAUUUUUGGAACUUCAUAUUUUUUUGUGUUCAAAAUGCACCAUUCAAAGGCACAUCACAAAUUUUCAACAAUUUAUGACUUCAUUUGGCAUUUUACAUGCAUUUACUUUUUUUGAGCUAGUUGACCCAGAAAUUGAAAAGCAGUACAAAUGAGCUAUGAAAAUGUUGAAAGUUGGCAUGGUAUAUUUAUUUCAACCACAUAACAUGUGGUAAAAAGUUGAGAGGGUUACGACAAAAACUGGAUGCACUUCGUGUACAAAACGGACAAUCUCUCUCGAAGUAUGAGGGUUUCGAACGAGAACUCAUCUAUUACAAAAGGAAUUUCAUUUUUUUGAACUUAUUUGAACUCCAUACUUUUUGUGUGUUCAAAAUGCAUCAUUCAAAGGCACAUCACAAAUUUUCAACAAUUUCUGAUUUCAUUUGGUAAUUUUCAUUCAUUUACUUUUUUUGAGCUAGUUGACCCUGAAAUUGAAAAGCACUACAAAUGACCUUUGAAAAUGUUGAAAGUUGGCAUUGGUAUCAUCAUUUCACCCACAUAGCAUGUGCUAAAAAGUUGAGAGGGUUACGAUAAAAACUGGAUGCACUUCGUGUACAAAACGGACAAUCUCUCUCGAAGUAUGAGAGUUUUGAACGAGAACUAAUCUGUUACAAAGAGAUUUCAUUUUUUGAACUUAUUUAAACUCCAUACUUUUUGUGUGUUCAAAAUGCACCAUUCAAAGGCACAUCACAAAUUUUCAACAAUUUCUGACUUCAUUUGGUAUUUUUCGUGCAUUUACUUAUUUGUUUUUGAGCUAGUUGACCGUGAAAUUAAAAAGCACUACAAAUGAACUCUAAAAAUGUUGAAAGUUGGCAUGGUAUCAUAAUUUCACCCACAUAGCAUGUGCUAAAAAGUUGAGAGGGUUACGACAAAAACUGGAUGCACUUCGUGUACAAAACGGAUAAUCUCUCUCGAAAUAUGAGGGUUUCGAAACUCAUCUCUUACAAAGGGAUGCAUUUUUUUAAACUUAUUUGAACUCCAUACUUUUUGUGUGUUCAAAAUGCAUCAUUCAAAGGCACAUCACAAAUUUUCAACAAUUUCUGACUUCAUUUGGUUUUUUUCAUGUAUUUACUUAUUAUUUUUGAGCUAGUUGACCCUGAAAUUGAAUAGCAGUACAAAUAAACUCUGAAAAUGUUGAAAGUUGGCAUGGUAUCAUCAUUUCACCCACAUAGCAUGUGCUAAAAAGUUGAGAGGGUUACGACCAAAACUGAAUGCACUUCGUGUACAAAAUGGACAAUCUCUCUCAAAGUAUUAGAGUUUCGAACGGGAACUCAUCUGUUACAAAGGGACUUCAUUUUUUGAACUUAUUUGAACUUGAUACUUUUUGAGUGUACAAAAUGCACCAUUCAAAGGCACAUCACAAUUUUUCAACAAUUUGUGACUUCAUUUGUUAUUUUUUGUAUAUUUACUUAUUUUUUUGAGCUAGUUGACCCUGAAAUUGAAAAGCACUACAAAUGAACUCUGAAAAUGUUGAAAGUUGGCAUGGUAUCAUCAUUUCACCCACAUAGCAUGUGCUAAAAAGUUGAGAGGGUUACGAAAAAAACUGAAUGCACUUCGUGUACAAAACGGACAAUCUCUCUCGAAAUAUGAGGGUUUCGAACGAAAACUCAUGUGUUACAAAGGGAUUUCAUUUUUUGAACUUCUACUUCCCCUAGUGCAUAAAAAAUAUCUAGCACAAGGAGAAGAAGGAGAAGCGACCCCCACAACAACAGUCGACAUUCUUCUUCUCUCAUAUAUGGUGGACACUCCCUCACCGAUUUUUCGACCGUCGAUGAUGGUCGCUACUCCUACUUCACCUAGUGCAUAACAAAUAUCUAGCAUAAGGAGAAGAAGGAGAAACGACCCCCACAACAACAGUCAACAUUCUUCUUCUCUCACAUAUGGUGGACAUUCCCUCACCUGAAUUUUUCGACCGUCGAUGAUGGUCGCUACUCCUACUUCCCCUAGCGCAUAACAAAUAUCUAGUACAAGGAGAAGAAGGAGAAGCGACCCCACAACAACAGUCGGCAUUCUUCUCUCAUAUAUGGUGGAUACUCCCUCACCUGAUUUUUUGACCGUCGAUGAUGGUCGCUACUCCUACUUCCCCUAGUGCAUAACAAAUAUCUAGCACAAGGAGAAGAAGGAGAAACGACCCCCACAACAAGAGUCGGCAUUCUUCUUCUCUCAUAUAUGGUGGACACUCCCUCACCUGAUUUUUCGACCGUCGAUGAUGGUCGCUACUCCUACUUCCCCUAGUGCAUAACAAAUAUCUAGCACAAGGAGAAGAAGGAGAAGCGACCCCCACAACAACAGUCGGCAUUCUUCUUCUCUCAUAUAUGGUGGAGACUCCCUCACAAAUCACUCUACUUUUAGAGCAUUUGAAUUGAGAUAAACUAGAAGUGAUAGAUGAAAGGAUGAAGUAGCUACCUUUUAAAACACUUGUGCAGUAGGUGCACGACCAAACCUAGACAAAUAUUGAGGAAAAUGGAGCUUGGAGGUCGAGCUUGGAGAGGAGAAAGCUUAAGUAGUGUGGCUCAGACAUUUGAUCGAACACCUCAUGUGCAUGAACUAGAGUGGCAAGAGCAUUGCAUGGUCACACCUCAACACCCAAAAAACAGAGGAGAGGGUGGGCAGGGGCGAGGGUUUAUAUAGGCAACACUUUAGUCCCGGUUUUUGUCUAAAACCGGGACUAAUAGCCUACCCUUUAGUCCCGGUUCGUUCCACAAACCGGGACUAAUGCUCCGCGGCACGCCACGUAGCAGUCGAUGGAUCUUUAGUCCCGGGUUUUGCCCCGAACCGGGACUAAUGAGGUGAACCGAACCGGGACCAAUGCCCCGGCAAACCGAACCGGGACCAAUGCCUACCGGGACUAAUGAUCUUUUGGCCCUCGGUCGAAAGACCCUUUUUUCAACUAGUGUACAUGAAAUAAUCACCAUAAAUGGAUUGAAAAACCUUUGGGGGAUCCUUUAUUAUUGGUUUAGGCCUUAUGUAAGCAAAAAAAAAGAGAAAUCUGAGACAUCUAGUGACCAAGACCAUAAAUGGAUCGACAUUUUAUUGAUAAAUUCAAACGAAGAUCCAAAAUCAUGAAAUUUGAUAUGGUAUCAUGAUAUGUUCCCUACAUGUCAUGGUAAAAGUUUGAGAAUGUUUCAAAAGAGUUUUCACGUAGACUGCUUGAAACGAGAUCAUCUUCGAGUAAGAAACUAGAUUUUAAGGAGUUGACCAAGUUUGCAUAUGAAGCAAGAGAUGCUACAUCGGAUGGCGUUGAAACCUUUUCCACACUCAAAUUAACCAUUAAAUGUGACAUGUGUAAAUUCAAUGCUUUUCUAGUCUGUUUGCCACACUUAAAUUUAACACUUUAAAUGCAUUUACCUCCAUUAAAUAUAUAGAAAUCCAUCUAGUAUAUUAAAAAUAACAAAAUACCCUGAAAAGUACCGAAGUAUUACAUGGAACGUCCAAUUAUGUACCAUUAAACCAGAAAAGAAUUAACCACAACCGUAAACAUAAAAAGACUAAAACCCUAAGAUUACAAAAAAUAUAUAUAUAUCAAUGACAAGCAAGAAAACAAUAUGCAACAGUGAUAGUUGGCGCAUACAUACCCAAGUACAAAUGGCAUGCAUCAGCAUGUGUCUGCCAUUGGUAUUUUAGGCCAUAAUAGCCGUGUGGUCAAAAUUACCAGUGGUGGGCACAUAUUUCUGCGCGCCACUAGCAACUCAAUGUACCAGUAGAGGGCCCGUGUUUAUGCCCACCACUGAUAAAUUUGGUCCAUGACUAAUCUGAGCCCAUGUUGCAAGUUACAUAUGCAAAGUCAUGACGUAACUGGUACUACUUAGAGCAUCUUCAAUAGAUGGUCCAAAUGUAAAAAAUAACUAACUUUUGGAUCGUGUGGGACAAAAAGGGUGCUCUAACACACGGUCCAUAUGCACAAAAAAAAAUUGGACUGCGGCCUCUUCAUGAUGUAAAAUCCAAAACCUCGCGGUGCAAAUUUACAUCACGAGGUGCAUCUGGUCCAAAACCAGCCGCCGCCCGCGAACGCCCAACCGCCACUUCCUUUCUGUUCCAGCCCGCACCCGUCGCCCGCCCGAAGACCAGUCGGCCGGAAUCCGCCGCCGCGACCGCCGAAAACCACGCCGUCGGCGCCACCACCACCCUAAAUCCCCGCCGCCGCCCUCCGCCGCCGUCGCCUGCCUCGCCGAUAGCCGGCUCGCAGCCGCCCGGACGCUGCCGAAUCGGGAGGCAUCCGGUGCGGGAUUCGGCGCCUUCGGCUGUCCGGCUGCCGCGGUAGGCCUCCGCCGGGUCUAAGGUUGCCGCCGACCUCGUCCCCGUCGGCCGUGAGCCUGUUCACGGCCGUUGCGCCGGCCGCACGACCGCCGCACGAAGCCCUCCGCUCGGCUGCCGAAGUACUGUUUGCGGCCCGGCGAGCUCCUCUUGGCCGGCCUCGAAGCUCUUUUCUUAUCACCGUCGUCGUCCGGAGGAGCCGACGACAGCCAUCCUCAGCCAUCAGCAGCAGCCAAUCCAACCGGCAGCCAUCUUCUUCCACCGCCCGCACUAGGUGUUCGACGGAAUUCCCCAAGGUAAAAAAAAAUGACGAAACUUGAUGAUUUAACUUGGGAUUGGAUAGUAUGUUUGACGGUGGUUGUGUGAAAUGUAGAUGAGCUCGGUUGACUCCUCUUUCAUGGAUGAUUCAUCGUUGGACGAGGAAUUUGAUUUGCAUGAAGAAGAGGAGGUUGCUAUGCUAGUGGCCAUGCACAAGAGGAAGAAACCGAAGCACGGUGGUCCCGUUUAUGGUCGUGCAUUCAUUCGGAAAGAACGGAUUGACGCGCACAAACAGAUUGAUGCGCACAAACCGAAGCACGGUGGUUCCGUUUGUGAUUCAUCGUCAGACAAGGAAAACAUUUAUAUUACAAUUUCUAUCAUUUGAUGGGCAUUCCUGUUAACCCCAUGCGAAAAGAACAGCGCAUCAGACAUUUCAUGAAGGUGUACAGUGAAAUUAGAGACACCGAUGUGCAUGACCAACUCCAUAAAGAUUUGAUGGAAGAGCAUUGGAAAUGGCAUGGCGAAAGAUCCGCAUAGAUUCAUUAUUUGUUUGUUCAAAACUAUGUUGUAUUAUGCAAAACUAUGUUGUAUUUGUGUUGCGCUUCAUCUCCUGGAUCUGAAGAACUAUGUAAUAAUUUGAUAUUGUGCACAUGAAAUUUUUUAUGUUGUUUCAAAACAUGUUUUUAUGCAAUAUGUGCGGCUGUACAGUGGCUGGACAGCGGCUAAACAGCAGACGCGUGGCUGUUGGCCAAUUUUGGACCAUGAAUUUGGACCAUCUAUUGGAGUUGGUCUUUUGGACCAUGAGAAUUUGGACCAUCUGUUGAAGUUGGCCUUUUUUCGAAGGUUCAAAACGCACUUUUUGGCGGUUCAAAUUUUAAUCCUUCGGUUUUGGACCGCCAAAUUUUAGACCAUCUAUUGGAGAUGCUCUAAAUGGCCAGACUACGAGUGGCAUGUGCAAAUGUGUGCCCGCCAAUGCUAAAGGUCCACCCAUAUGAGGGAGAGGCGAGGUGUCUCUCCAUUGUGCGAGAGAACAUCUGGAUGCCGCCAGUGAGGUCUCCCCGUCGUGGUCAGCCAUGCAACUUCACCUUAUGAAGAAGAAGGGUAGGUGGUCGGUGGCGACGACUAGGGUUGUUGGGUCAGCUCGAGCUGCACACAUGGGAGAGGCGCACGGAAAGCAAGUUCUUUUAAGCAUGGGUAUUCAUGUGUUGUAUCUUGCUACAGCUAAAUUUCAGUCGGAUGAGACUUGUUUAUGUCUCACUCGAUGCUAUAUUAAUGAGAUAUUACACAUAGAUCUGGACGGAAUCCUUCUUUUUAGUAACUUAUAUCUUAUUGGAACAUAUACGUGAUGAUGUCACUUGGCUGAGACUUAGAAAGUCUUAGGCCCCGUUUUUAUAAAAAGUCCUAAAUUUUUUUUAGUCCUUACUAAAUAGUCCCUUGUCCCUACCUAUUUGGUUCCAUGGAGUAAACAUGGACUAGAGGUUAUUAAAUGACAUGCUAAGUUACCCCUACUAAUGGACUACAGGUUAUAAAAUGACAUGCUAAAAGCAGGGGCACUGUUGAAAAAAGUCCGAAAAGACUCUCCCUUAGGGACUUCUUUCUUUAGUCUCAAAUGCCCACUUUUAGUCCCUAAAAGUCCCUUAUUUUUGAUUUAGAUGGGAUUAAAAGGGUUUUUUUAGUCUCUACACCAAAAAUUCCCUGUAAACAAACACCCCCUUGGUCCUCUGAGAUUUAGCCACAACAUAGUAAAUGGAGCUACAAAAUUAAAUUAUAUGAUGAUUAGUGAUGCACUUUUCCACCGGACGGUCAUGAAAAAAAAGUCUAGAGAUGCACUUUUCCAUCGGACGGUCACGAAAAAAAGUAUGUCUCAUGUCUAGGCAUUUAAGGUAAGGAACUCAAAAUCUAUACACGUGGUGCUAUUUGGUUAAAAAUUCGGUACAAAUGUAGGGUGAGUAAAUCCAUAAGCAUAGCACGAUUAUUCAGCUAUGAAUUGGGGGGAGUAAAAGAUUGUUCAUAUUUGAUGACCUGCAUGUUCAAUGUUAGUACUGACGGGGCUUGCUCGCGUCGCUCUCCAGGGGAGCGGCCCGAGCGUGACCUAGCGCCACCAUCGCCACCACCUCUGAUGCUCCUCCCUGCCCCCGCUGCCGGCGGGCGUCGCUGCCAGGCAAAGCCCGCGCAGCAGCCGGCGGCGGCGGGCCUCUCUUGUUGGGGAACGUCGCAUGGGAAACAAAAAUUUUCCUACGCGCACGAAGACCUAUCAUGGUGAUGUCCAUCUAUGAAAGGGGAUGAGUGAUCUACGUACCCUUGUAGAUCGUACAGUAGAAGCGUUAGAGAACGCGGUUGAUGUAGUAGAACGUCCUCACGUCCCUCGAUCCGCCCCGCGAACAAUCCCGCGAUCAGUCCCACGAUCUAGUACCGAACGGACGGCACCUCCGCGUUCAGCACACGUACAGCUCGACUAUGAUCUCGGCCUUCUUGAUCCAGCAAGAGAGACAGAGAGGUAGAAGAGUUCUCCGGCAGCGUGACGGCGCUCCGGAGGUUGGUGANNNNNNNNNNNNNNNNNNNNNNNNNNNNNNNNNNNNNNNNNNNNNNNNNNNNNNNNNNNNNNNNNNNNNNNNNNNNNNNNNNNNNNNNNNNNNNNNNNNNGAGUCCCGGAUGAGAUCGCGGACGUCACGAGGGUUUCCGGAAUGGUCCAGAAACGAAGAUUGAUAUAUAGGAUGACCUCAUUUGAUUACCGGAAGGUUUUUGGAGUUACCGGGAAUGUGCCGGGAAUGACGAAUGGGUUCCGGGAGUUCACCGGGGGGGGCAACCCACUCCGGGGAAGCCCAUAGGCCUUGGGGGUGGCACACCAGCCCUUAGUGGGCUGGUGGGACAGCCCAAGAAGGCCCUAUGCGCCAUAGGAAGAAAAUCAAAGAGAAAAAAAAGGAGGAGGUGGGAAAGGGAAGAAGGACUCCACCUUCCAAACCAAGUUGGAUUCGGUUUGGAAGGGGAGACCUUCCCCCUUGGCUUGGCCGAAACCCUUAGGGGUCCUUGGACCCCAAGGCAAGGCUCCCCCUCUUCCCCCUAUAUAUACGGAGGUUUUAGGGCUGAUUUGAGACGANNNNNNNNNNNNNNNNNNNNNNNNNNNNNNNNNNNNNNNNNNNNNNNNNNNNNNNNNNNNNNNNNNNNNNNNNNNNNNNNNNNNNNNNNNNNNNNNNNNNNNNNNNNNNNNNNNNNNNNNNNNNNNNNNNNNNNNNNNNNNNNNNNNUGAGACGACUUUUCCACCCACCAAACCAAGUCCAACUCGGUUUGGGGGGGGAGCCUUCCCCACUUGGACUCGGCCGACCCCCUUGGGGCUCCUUGAGCCCCAAGGCAAGGUUCCCUCCCUCCCACCUAUAUAUACGGAGGUAUUGGGGCUGAUUUGAGACGANNNNNNNNNNNNNNNNNNNNNNNNNNNNNNNNNNNNNNNNNNNNNNNNNNNNNNNNNNNNNNNNNNNNNNNNNNNNNNNNNNNNNNNNNNNNNNNNNNNNNNNNNNNNNNNNNNNNNNNNNNNNNNNNNNNNNNNNNNNNNNNNNNNNNNNNNNNNNNNNNNNNNNNNNNNNNNNNNNNNNNNNNNNNNNNNNNNNNNNNNNNNNNNNNNNNNNNNNNNNNNGGAGCUCGGGCGGAGCCCUGCUGAGACAAGAUCAUCAUCAACCUCCGGAGCGCCGUCACGCUGCCGGAGAACUCUUCUACCUCUCCGUCUCUCUUGCUAGACCAAGAAGGCCGAGAUCAUCGUCGAGCUGUACGUGUGCUGAAUGCGGAGGUGCCGUCCGUUCGGCACUAGAUCGUAGGACUGAUCGCGGGAUGGUUCGCGGGGCGGAUCGAGGGACGUGAGGACGUUCCACUACAUCAACCGCGUUCACUAACGCUUCUGCUGUACGGUCUACAAGGGUACGUAGAUCACACAUCCCCUCUCGUAGAUGGACAUCACCAUGAUAGGUCUUCGUGCGCGUAGGAAAAUUUUUGUUUCCCAUGCGACGUUCCCCAACAGUAUAUGUCUGUCGCGUCGUUGUCGAUAUAACCCCCUCCCGGAUAACUUCGACAUGAGGGGCGGUCGAUAUAUAUACCCACUCUCGACCGUGAUAAAUUAUACCACGGGAGCACCCCCUCGGCCCUCUCGCUCGACCAAAACUCUCGAGGACACCCAAACCCUAGAGAAAAAACGAUGUUGGUCUCCUACCCCCUCCCGCCGCGCCCCUACCCGACAAACUCUCUCGAGGCCACCCAAAUUUACCAAGUUAAAAGAGCGUUGUCAUCGAGGCCACCCCAAACCCUUGAAGCGUUGUCUAGGCCACCCCAAACCCUAGAGAAGCACCGUCGAGGCCACUAACAUGAUUCCUUAUUGUGAUUAGCUAGCUAGUUCUACGUUUGCCACUAAUAUAUAUCCAUCCGUACCAUGUUAGAAUAAUAAUUGACAUGUUGUAAAUAUUUGCAGAAACUAUGGAUCACUCCCGAGACGAAGAGGAAGAAGCGAUGUUGGGGGAGAUAAUCGCACAAGGAAGUGGUGUCAUUGCAUCGUUUCUCAGAGACACCGACGCUACAAGAAAUAUGCUCAUACACGACGUUUUUAAGACGUCGUUGAUGAAUUCGUCAUAAAUCUAUGACGAUUUCAUCCGAGAUUGUCGUAAACCGUUUGAGGGGAUCAAAUCUGCAUAUAAAUUACGACGAUGUGAGUCAAAAAUGUCGUAACUGCAUAAGAUGAGAUCGUCAUAAAUUUUACGACAAUUAUAAAAAUGUCGUAACAUGUUCUAACUAUGUUGACAUGUUACUCGUGGGUCCAUUCUAUGUCACGCGUCAAACCGGCCUAGUUUGUGAAGAAACCUACUAUUCUAUCAUUCCAAAAAUUAUCAUAAAUAGUUUGGAUCAUAUAUUGCUCAAAUAUGUGAAAACCCUUCCUUUCAUUGUUCAAAAAUAAUUGAGCAAUAUUCAUUCUCCUAUUAUGUUCAGAAUAGCACUUUGUGAAGGAAGUGCUAUUUCCAUUUUUUUGAUUGCCCUCAAAAUUGUCGUGCACUCUUUUUUUCAUUUUUUUCCUAUCCAAAUCAUUGCCUCAUGAAAACUUACGUAAUCAUUUGCCUAGUAAAUCUUUCUCAGCAAAUUUCCAAAAUUUGUGUUUAGCUGACAGCUUUGUGAAGGAAUUACUAGCUAGGAAUAUCGUGAUGAGUUGAAUUUUUUCCAUAUCUUCUAUAUGCCAAAACCAUAGCUCUCCACCAAAUUUCAGCCCCAUUUAACAAUCCAUUUGAGCUCAGCAUCCAAUCUUUGUUUUUGGUAAUAUUUUCAGUUUAUGAAGAAACUACAUUUUAUAUUGCUUUAUAGUUGAUGAAAAUUUACCACGAAAUAAAACUAACCAUAUAACUUAACUCCACGAAAUAAAAUUUGACCUGCUUCCAGUUGAAUCGGCAGAAAGUUUUGUUUUUCACGAGAGGUGAAUAAAAGCUUUUGACACCCAACUAUUUGGUCAAUUGUAUAUUAAAUAUGUACUAGUAUUUUAGAAAAUUGAUGGAGUCCAAUUUUGCAACAAAUAUUGGUAGGUUCUUAAAAAAACUCAUUUUUGCCACUCGGAAAAUAAUUAAAAAUAGCUAGAAAGAUGAGAAAUGCAUACAAAUUGGUACUCAUCCGUCAAAUGUGAUCUAACACUAGUGAAAUUUUGUGUGAUGCCCUUUGCAAAUUUUUUUAAUAGAUACUUCACAAAAUUCCUCUAUUUUAAGUACUUCGGAACUAUUUUAAAUCACUGAUAUUUCGAACCAAUCAGAACUCUUUCCACAGAUCGAUGACAUGGCGCCCAUCCAUCCAUCCAGCUCACCAUCUCACAUCCAUCCAUCCAUGUAUCUACAAGAAAAAAACAUGGAAAAAAGAUAACCCACCCGCAGCCAAACCCUAGCUCAGACCCCUCCCCCAUCGCACCCUUUCUCCCUCGUCCCCAUCUACUCGCCGCCGCCACCUCCUCCUUGUCCCCGCCUCCCUCCCGAUCUAGUCCUCUCUCCCGAUCGAUGGCCUCCGCGACGCCGUCGCCAAGCUCGACGAGAUCAGGUGCCCCGCCCCGACCCCCCUUGCCUCCCUCCACCGGAUCUAGUGGCCAGUAGGCGCCGAGUCCGCUUCCGCUCAACUUUUUUCUGCUCUGUUUUGUCGGUGGUGAUGCAGCGAUAACGAGAAGACCGGGUUCAUCAGCCUCGUCUCCCGCUACCUUAGGUGAUAAUGCGAAUCUUCCCGGCCUCCAUGAUCUCGUCGCGUCUAUGCUGUUGCUCUCUCGCGCGUGGGUGGGUGGUUUCUGAUGGUUGUGUUGUGAUGUGUUGUGCGUCCUACAGCGGUGUGGCGGAGUAGAUCGAGUGGAGCAAGAUCCAGACCCCCACCGAUGAGGUCGUGGUGCCCUAUGACACCCUCGCGCCCCCUCCCGAAGGUAUCAUCUCGUCUGAAAUGCUUCUUCCUGUCCUCGAUUCGGAUUCGUCUCGAAUUUUCAGUCUGUUUGUGUGUGUGGGUGUGGAAACUGAACGCUGGAUCGUGUGUGUGCUGCAGAUCUCGACGCCAUGAAGGCCCUGCUCGACAAGCUCGUGGUGCUCAAGCUCAACGGAGGCCUCGGAACCACCAUGGGCCGACGCGGCCGCCGAGGAGACCCUCGCCGCCGCACCCUCGACGCGCCGCCCGCCGGAGCGCCGGCCGGGUAGAAGCUCGCCGGAUUCCAUGGACCACGACAUGCAAGCACGCGACACCGUGAACACUCCCUCCCUCUCGCUUCUGCAUCGAGUUGUAGUUUUAGUAGAUACUAGCACUGAAGAAGAGCGGCGACACGUCGUCGCUGCGCCCGUGACAGAUGUGGUCUGUAAUUUGUACUGGUCCUUGCAAGUCUUUGUAUUUAUUUACGGAGUUUCCUGCUAUGUGAUUUACCUUUGCAUGUGUUUGGCUGUGUGAUGCGUGGUUUGAUCUGUGGAUACAUUAGUCAGUGCCAUGUGCCAGCAUCUGAAACGGGUUAACAUCUCUCUUCUCGUAGUAGAGUAAUCAAUCAUGCCAGCAUCUGAAACGGGUUAACAAAUACGAGCUUGCACUGUUCUCUGUUUUGUGAUAAUAGCAUAACAUACAGCUCGGCAUAAACAUCAACAGGGUUAGCUGAAUAGUUGUUGUUACAUCUGCAAAUGUCACCAUGAGUGGAAUUUACUUAUGAUGUCAAUGUGUUUCUUACUCAAGUUGAUAUUUUUCUUCGUUUUGCUUCAUGUGCUGUUCAAACAUCAGGAAUUCGCAUCCGAGAAGGCUACUACGGAUACACUUCCCACCAUCUCUUCUGCCGCCGACUCGAGCUCCUGACCACAAGAAGGGAAGGCAUCGCGCAGGAGCACCAUCGCCCUCGCCGUUCAUCGCUCCGCCUGAGGCAUCACCAUCGCCAUCGCUAGCCCCUCCACAAAGGCCAGGCCUGUGCCUUCUGCUCCACAGCCAAGCCAUGAUCCUCGGGUUGAUUCCCCAGCCCAUGUUGUGCAUAAGCAUUCCUGGAGAGCCUACGGUUUGGACACGGCAGGUGGUGCGGCCUUCCUUGUCAUGACUACGACAUUUGUUGUGUACUGCCGGGCGAAGAAAGUCGGUACUGUGAGGCCUUGGGUAACAUGGCUAAGCGGGCAACUGCAGCGAGCCUUCAUGACAGGUAUCCUUCAUUGUAUGUGUGCAUAUCUGUUAUCAUAUAUUUUGUUCUUUGGUUGCACAUUAACACAUGAUCAAUCAUUCUUCCAGGUGUGCCUUCGCUGAAACGAUCAGAGCUGGAGGCAGCCUCCGAGGAUUUCAGCAAUAUAAUUGAUUCUACGGCUAACUGCAUGUUGUAUAAGGGAACAUUAUCAAGCGGAGUUGAAAUAGCAGUUGUGUCAAGUUUAAUAUCAUCUAUGAAUGUUUGGUCAAAAGCAUGUGAAUCUUAGUACAGGAAAAAGGUAAUCUGCCAUUAACCUCCUUAUAUGCACACUUUUUUCUUUUGCGAAAUACACAUUAACUGAAAUGGCUGUGGUCUCGUAUCUCAAGUUUAUCGAAAGUGGGCCACAAGAACUUUAUAAACCUGCUUGGCUACUGUGAAGAAGAAAAUCCUUUCACCAGAGCUGUGGUGUUUGAAUAUGCACCAAAUGGGACUCUUUUCGAGCAUCUCCAUGGUAAGUGUGUACAUAAUAUAUCCUUUUAGUUUUCUCUCUGUCAACAGAAUGAUUCCUAUAAUGUUCAGACACCACUUCAACAAUUGCAGUAUUUGAUAAUGCUUUUGAUUAUGUUGCAGUUAGAGAAGCUGAGAACUUGGACUGGAUGGCCCGACUUAGAAUAUCGAUGGGGAUAGCGUACUGCCUCGAGCAAAUGCACAAGCUGAAUCCACCCGUCGUGACGUGGAGCUUCAGCUCAACUACUAUCUACCUCACCGAUGAUUUUGCCGCAAAGGUCUCUGAUCUUGAUUUCUGGAACGACACCAAGGGAUCGGAUUCCGUCACCGACGACUGCACCAUGCUGGACAUAGAGAGUAUCGUGCAUCGGUAUGGCAGUGGUUGUAUUUUGCCGAAUAAAAGACAGCAAAACUGCAGGUAGAUAAACAACCACAGUUUCAUACAGAAGCCCAUACAGUUUCAGUGAACUAUAUAUAUCUCGAGUCACACACACACACACACACACACACAUUUCAGUCAACUAUAUAUAUCUCGAGUCACACACACACACACACACAUUUCUUGUCUCUGUCUAGAAUGAACAUGCGCUUGUACAUGAAUAUGAACUCGGAUGUAUGUGCAUGCAUUGGUGCAGUUCAUGGAAGACAUGUCUGCAUCGGCUAAAAAGUUAGAAGAAUAGAUAAAAGGGGUAAAGAAUGGUACAGUACAACAAACAAAUCUACAACACGGCAGUGAAAUAGGUCUCUAUAUGUCCUAGGAAGCUACACUCUAGCUUCCAGAUCCUUCAAUGAAAGCAUGGCUUCCAGUUAGUGAAGCAUAAGUCAUACGUAGAUAUUUUUAUAUAUGCCUUUACCGAUAAACUCUGUCUGAAAAUCCCCUGCAAGUAGUACAGCUCUAGUAUUUGAGUACCGAGUUUAAUCGGGCAAAUAUGAUGUGUAUGUCAGCAUUGUAAUCUAGCUAUUCAGAAUUUCAGAAAUCUAUCUGACAUGUUCACUACCAGAUAUGUAGAGGUUUCUAAAGGACAAUUUCUUACUAUCGGCAAACAAUAAGAAUAUGAGAAACCAUUAAAUUUUAGUAAGGACACUCUAACUGAUUUUGAGGAUAGAGGAGCCUCUGAUACUGUCCAUAUUUUGCUGCCUCGAAUAUAAGAAUUUGCACAUUCCAUAACUAGGUCAUCAUUCCAUAACAAUAUAAGAAUUAUUUCUAAUGAAUUAAUACAUUUUUGUUGCUAAACAAAACUAGGGUAGAGGAUCCGUUUGCUAAACAAAACUUAUAUUUCCAAUGAAUUAAUACAUUUUUUUUUCAAAAAAGGGGUGCUUUAUUACUUAAAAGGUUUAAGUAUUACAUGGUUUUAGAGAUUAAUCUCUAGAGGGAGCACAUAUGGUGGUUGCCUGAACCGAGCCGUCUCUAGUUAGUUGAAUGUGAGCGCCUACCAAAUCUCCCAAUUGAAUUGGAACGCACAUAAAUAACAGUAGUACUAGUAUUUUGCUGUAGGGAAAGGGGAAGGAUAAUAGAAAUAAAUGAACCUGGUUCUUGACAUGAAGAAUGGAAAAACUGACCUUAUGUCUCGAUUUUCAAUCAAUUAUCUAGAACUGAAGACUAGUGGGACUUGAAGUCUCCCCAAUAGUGGCUUUGUUGGUUUCUGGUUUGGUGGUGUUUGAUUCUAUCCAUUUUAUAGGAUGCCUACAUAGCAUACACUUGAUGUCUCAGUAGUACUACCUCUGUACAAAAAUAUAAUGCAUAUGUACGGGGGGAGUAGUUAUUUAUUUGUUACUAUUAUCAUUUAGUGAUAUUCAAUCAAUCACUUUGUUAUCCUCUCACUGUCCUACUUAACACUGCCUCUGUUUCCUACUCAAAAAGCACGGGAAAACAGUGUUUGCAUUUUUAAAGGACGGGUAGAAGGCACUCAAGACAAGUAUUGCCAGUGACACGACGCUGUAAUGACCCCAUGGAGUAUGGUGAGUAACAGAUGAUAUCCUUUCUCCAUCUAAAAGUUUUCCUUUUUUUCUUCUUCUAGUAGAACAGAAGUAACAUAUGCAUACUCAACUUGUAUCCGCCCUUCAUUUAUACAGGUAUCCCAUCAUACAAUGACCCCUUGAACUCUUGGUGUAUAUGCCAUGCUGUUAUAGCUUUCUUUUAGAUGAAAGCAAAUUCACAAAUAUCUAGAUUUGGCAAAGACAGGAUAAACGUGAGCAAAUACAUAUGAAAUUAGCUGUUCAUUACGGUCUAAUGUUUUUUGUUUUGUCUCUUUUUCUAUUGCUAGGGAAGUGAUGAGAAGAUGUCGAUGAUGCCUACUUGGGACAUUCAAAUCAACACAACAUAAAAAUUUCUGAACCUAUGUCUCACAGGAGAGUGGAAUGAACUCCAUUCUUAGCAGAUGUGUCAUUGUCUUGUUGUGCAAUUUUGUCCGUUUUUGCUAUAUUAUGUAAGGAAAUGUAUUCAUGAGAUGAGUUAUUGUGUUAUGUAAAUCUGGGAGAUGUAUUAUGUGAUGUUAUAUGAUGGGUGAUUUUAAUUUGACUUGAGUUUUCUUGAUUUGAAUAUGAAAUAGUGUUGGAUUUAAUACUGGACAAAUAAUUGGGCUGAAAAGGCAUAACAAAUAGAAACGAAACCAAAAAUAUAAAAAGGCCAAAACUGAAUUGGACCAAACGUAUUUGGGCAUUAAAAGGCCACGACCCAAAUUAUAAUGACAAAAACAAUUCAAAAAAAAAUACAAAACUGGUUGUAAAUAGGCUAAGGCCCAAAAAGAAGCCCAAUAAGAAAAAGCCCCAAAAAAUAAAACCAACCCAUGUGAUCAAUUGAAAUGGGUUGGGCUGAUUUCAGCCAUGACGUUUUGAUUUCGUCGUAUUUUAAUCACGUAGGACUGCCACGUAGGACUGGGUUUGAUUGUCAACGACGAUUUAAGAUCGUCAUAAAGGUUACGACAAUCCAGGAAUCGUCGUAAAAGUUACGACGAUUUUGAUCAAAACGUCGCUGCUGUUCAUUUGUGACGCUCCGUUUUUGACGCUUGGUUUUUCGUCGUGAGAUCGUCGUAAAUUAAAAACCGUGACGAUGUAGCGACGAAAAAAUAGCGGCGUGUAUUAGCAUAUUCCUUGUAGUGCGAUGGUCUGGAAGGACCGGGUGAAGAAGAGGGCUAUGUUCAUGAUGAUCUGGAAGGACCGGGUGAAGAAGAGGGCGUUCAUGAUGAUAUGGAAGGACCGGGUGAAGAAGAGGGUGUUCAUGACGGCUCCGUUGACCGAACCGAGUCCGGCGAGGUAUAUAUAUAUUAGUUAAGCCCGUGCUGACUAGUUAAUUGAUGCAUUCCUUGUUUUCAUAUGUACACAUAUUAAAUAACUCUCGUCUUUCUUCUUUUUUCUCUAGCCCUCCGGAUCGACCUCAACUUCAGUAAAGAAACGAGGCCCGAAGAAAAAGUUGCGCUCGGAUGAAAGGUUUGAGAUCACAGCAAUCGUGUGCGAUGGCAAGCCGAUUGAACCCAUCCGGACAAGGGAUGCAUUUCGUGCUCAGUGCGGGGUUCUUGUUAGGGACAAGAUC
rnacentral:lncRNA from 1 species